CAUCCGACAAGAGGCCAAGGUUUUGGGCCAGGAGGUAGCGGGAGUUGCUUGGCGUUUUGGCUUUUUAGCUUCUGGGAUUUUGUCAAGUAAAUUAAAGCCACAGCUAAGAGAAGAAUUAGGUAUGGGAAGCUCAAUGAAGUUUUGAGAAAGCCAAUGACAAUGCUUGCAAAACAUAGUGUUGCUUGAAAAGGAGCUAGGAUUCUGCAAGAAAUUGCAGAGGUAUAUUCUCCAUGAUCACAAAACUCUUUACUGAGACUGACAUGUUUAUAAUUUACUGAAAAUGGGAAGAAACUUUCGAACUCUGAAGGAUGUGCACACAUUCCCUCUAACUUUGUCUCCUAUUUAUAGAGCUUGGAGGACUGCUUUUACCUAGUUUUCUAGAAAGUUUUUUUAACGCAUUGAUUAUUAAUUUUUACGGUUUUUUCUUGAUUAUUUUUAACAUUAAUAAUCUUUUUACUUUUCUAUUCUCUUUUAUAUAACAAAACAAAUGAAAGGUUAAAAUAUUUUAAUAUUUGGUUUGAAUUUGACUCAAAUUUGGCCGCUUUUUUAAUUUAUUUAAAUUCGUCCAAAAUAUCUAAAAAUCGAAUUAAUUUCAAUCAUCAAUAAAAUUUCAUUGAGCCGAACUUAAAUAAUAAUAUAUUCGGAUGGGUUUUUGUAAUUUCUACUCAAUAUACCAUGUUAGGAAAUCUCCUAAUAUGGAAGGUGAUACUCGCAUAAACCUACAAGUAAAUCUGAAUGAGUACUCCCCAUUUAACAACUUUAAUUAUUCAAAUCAUUUUUAAGCAAUUCAUAUGGUUUUUUUUUUUAAAGUAGUUUAAAUAAAUACAACUAGUCAUAUUUAGAGAUUUUCAUUUUUCAAAUAUCAUAUAUUUUAGAUACUACAGUAUUACUUUUUUCAUGAUCCUCCCAAACCUAGUCAAAAUGGCAGAUAUUCUUACUUUUAUAAGAAGUAGUUUUGUAACUGUUAAAAGAACAUAUAACAUAGCUAUCUCUCCAUUCAAUAUAGGAAACAAAUAAAUAAAUUUAACUUUGGUAUUGUCUGCAUUGGGUCGAGGGGUAAAAUCAACUAAGACCUUUUAUUACCUUCUUCUUUUCUCUAUUCUUUCCUUUAGUGUUUAGUCUUUCAACAAUGGAGGUCUACUUAAAUUACGUUAAUUUGACUAAAUAUCAUAUACAUUCCUACAAUUUAUGAGUUGUAUUUCAAUUUUGAAUUAAGGUUAAGAUAAUCGGCUGUGAACUAUAAACGUGUUUUCCUAUCUAUUAAAAGAUGUAAGCAAACUAAUUCUAAUUUUAGAAAAUUAUAAUAUUUUAUACCAGCAAAGUGCUAAAAAUCUUAAAUUUAAUUAUUAUUAUUUUAUUAUGUGAAUAAUAACGAGAUCAAAUAUUGAAAUUCACGUAUAUUAAUUAUUAAAAUUCCCUGAGGAACAUAAAUCUUGCGACUGCUAUCUCAGAAUCGCCACCGCGAUAUGCCUAAUUUGAAUUCCAACUGGCAUGACCACAAUAUUGGGAGCAACAAAGUCUCUAUUAUAUUGGUGAAAUCGCGUCUGCAAUACGAGUUUUGUUAUUGCGGCAUUCUUAACUGUUUGGAAGCCUAAAACAACCAUAUCCAUAAAGUCCAAUGAAGAAGCGCCACAAGAAAAAGAGCCAUUGUAACUUUAAGAAUUGCAACCGCAAUUCAGCAAGUGCGUUCGAUAUUGAGCAAGCACAACCACUAUUCUUUAGUUGUGACCGCAACAGUUCUGACAAUACAUUUCUGCACUAGCUUGAGCUAAGAAAAAAGAUGAUCGGUAAGAGUUAUGUGAGUAAUGCUUCUUUGGUAGUUUGGAACUAUAAAUACUCCCUAGACUAUUUAUAAAUGAUGAACAACCUAAUAUAACACAUUUUAUUGAUCCUUUAAUUCUCACAUUUGUGUAUCAAUUUUAUCUUUAUAAAAAGUUGUUGUAAAAGUUUAAGUGUUAGCCUUAAGCACUUAGAUGGGUCUAAGAGUUAGCCUAGUGAUAAAGACUCUUGUAAGGGUUUGAGUGUGAGCUACAAACACUUAAAAAGAAAAGUUUAAGAAUUAGCCUAGGUAAAAAAACUUUUAUGAAGUUUGAUAUGAAUCUAAAUACUAAGUUUGAGAGUGACCUUGGAAAAUAUUCUAGUGUAUAGGUUUGAGAGUGAGCUUGUAAAAUACUUGAGUUCAAUCUUUCACCCGCAAAAGGAUCAACAAUAGUAAAAUACUAAUUGAAAAUUGAGGAAUGUAUGUAGGGUUAGUUAAUACCCAAACUACUAUAACUUUUUGUGUUGAUUUUUCUUCCCUCUUUAUCUAAUCCUCUGAGCAAAUUUUAAUUACCCAUCAAUUUUUUAACACUAAUUCAACCCUCUUUCUUAGUGCAUCUAGGUCAAAUAUGAAAUAAGGACACUAAAGUUACUUGCUUUAAAAUAAAAGGACACUAAAGAUACUACUAAUAAUAAAAAUUUGAUUAUGAUAUCAAAAACAAGCUUAAUAGUAAUGUAUUUUACGUAUUAUUUUUAUUUUUUAUUUAUAUUUCAUACUAAUAAUUAAAAACUAAAUUUCAAGCUAAUUUCAGUCACUAAUAAAUUUUUUAUUAAGCCGAACUUAAACAGUAACAUAUUCGAAUUGGCUUGUGUAAUUUUCACUCAAAAUGCAAUGUUAGGAAAUAUCCUAAUAUCAAUAAAAAAAAUAUUUAACAUAUAUAGUCUACUAUCUAUUUAGUUUAUAUUAGAAAUUAUAAUAAUUUAGAUAAAAAUUACUAAAAUAAUUAUUAUAUAAAAUAUAAUAAGUUUAGCUAUAAGAUAUGAAUAUAAAAUUAAUCUAUAAAUAUAACAUAUAAUUUAUUAAUAGAAUAUGUAAUUAAAUUCUGUAUAAAGUACGAUUAUUAAACUAAUUCUGUUAAUAGUUUCAAGUCCUUAAUUUAUAAAAGGUACAAACUAACUUCUUAUGCAGGUAAUAACUUCUGCCACUUUGACUAGGUUUGGAAGGAUCAUAUAAUAGUAUUACUAUAGUCAUCUAGAAUAUAUGAUAUUUGAAGAACGAAAAUCUAUAAAAUAGGACUAGUUCUAUAUAUUUUUAAAUUAUUUAAAAAAACAUAUUAAUUGCUUAAAAGUAAUUUGAAUAAUUAAAGUACUCGUUAAAUAGGGAGUCCUCAUUUAGAUUUACUUGUAGGUUUAUGCUCUAGCAAUGAAGCCGGACGGUUCCGGUUCAUAGUUCUGAUUCUGGCUAGUUCUAACCAAUUUUUAGAAAAUAAAAAAUUAAUUAAAAUAAAUUAUUUUUUAUGAAUUAGAGUUAUAUUUGAUAGUNNNNNNNNNNNNNNNNNNNNNNNNNNNNNNNNNNNNNNNNNUAAAAAUAAAUAAAUAAAAUUAUCCUUAAAUUCUCUCCGUUCAAUUUAGGAAAGAAAUAAAUAAAUUUACCUUUGGUAUUUUUUGCAUUGGGUCAACCAACUAAGAAUUCUUUUUACAUUCUUUUCUCUAUUCUUUCUUUUAGUGUUUAGUGUUGCAACCUUUUUUUGUUUCCAAUUUAAGGUUCUUGAUUAGAUAUAUAUUUAUACAUCGGUACAUUAGCAUAUUAAUAGCUUUUCAAUCAAUAGAUAAAAGAAGUUUUAUAUUUCUACAGUUUAAUUAAUAUUUAUAAAAAAAAUUAUUUUUUAUUUUUAUGUGUUUGAAGAAAAUGAAAAAAUAAAAUUAGUAUGAUAAAAUAUAAUUUAUUUAUUUAUAUUAUAAAUAACUAAGAAGUAUACGGAUGAUUAUUCCUUAAUCAUUAUUUUACUAUUAGAUUAUAUUAUUUUAAUAUUUAAAAUAAUUUUUACAGAUAAUAUUAUAGUAUUCAUAGCCAUAGCAGUUAGUUAGCUUUUCUCGAUUUGGUGACCACAGAAAGAAAUGUCAUCUAUCAAUAUUUCAAAUUUCAUGUGAAUUUCCAACUGUUCUAAUGGACCACUGUACAAAUUCGAAAUUCUUAAAUAUGCAAAACGUUUGAAUUGAUAUUAAGUGAAAGUUAAAAAUAAAGGUCGAUAAAUUGAUAAUAAAAAUAUUAAAUAAUAAUACUAACUUAGAAUUAUAAUUGAAUGUAGCUUAUUUCUAAAUAUAAAAAAUAAUAAUAUAAAUAAUUAUUAAAUUUUAUAUUUAAUCUCAUUUUAAUAAUAAAUUUUUUAUGUUAUUAGAAUCAUUCAAUUUUAAUUUAGUUACUAAUACAACAUAUCAAUUUUUAUUUGUAAAAAUAACUAAAUUAAAAUAUAAUCCAAAUAAACUAAAAUUUCAUUAUUAAAUAAAUAAAUAAAAAUAUUAUAUUAUUUUUAUGACUAUGUUUAUAUAAUAUUAAAAUUAUAUUUUAUAUAUCAAAAUUAUAUGGUGCAUUAAUGUCUUCAUGGCUCGUGGUCCAACUCCCGGCUAAUGUAUGUGAUUUUUAAGUGGGUAUUUUUCCCCACUACUAGCGGUUCACACCGGCUCACCGUCAGGACAUGUUUACUGUAAGCAUGUUUAUAUUAGCAUCAAAGUUUGUCAGAACAUGUUUACCAUAAGCAUGUUUAUAUUAGCAUCAAAGUUUGAAAGGGACGUUUUUUCAUAAAAUUUCAGGUUGAAAUAAUUGUUCAGCAAAAGAUUGCCAACCCUACCAUGAAAAAGCUGAUGAUGGAGCUUUUUCUAACUCAUGCAUUUUGCUCUAUCUGUUUUAUAGAAAAUAUAUUCUAUAAAAGUACUGUCACGAUCUGAUUUGUGGGUUCCGUGACCGGCAUUAGAAAAUGAGUAGGCGUAAGGCUAUCGAAUUCUGUAGUAAGCAUGACCAUUUACUAACUUAAUUAAAUCUCAAUCCAAUAGCACUCAUCCACAAUUAACCUUAACUAUUAGGUUCUAUAUAUUUAGAAUAUGGACUGCCAGCAUUAAUAGGAAAGAUCAGAAUUUAUACGAAAUUACAAAAUGAUAAAUUUAAAAUUUUUAUUGUGGAGAUUUUAGAAAUUUAAAAGUCAAUAUACCAAUAAAAUUAGUUACAUUAAACUCGAAGAUGAAGGAAUCGGGCUGCUGGAUGAAAAGAACUACGGAAAAACUAGCCACAUCUGAAAAACAGUUAAAUUGAGACUGUCAGUCUCGGGAGUGAGUUAAAAUUAUAUAUCCAAAAACAAUUACAAACACUUCAAUAACACAUUUAUUUAAUUUAACAUAAAAUAUCAAGUCAUGCAAAAAUAUACGUGUCAUGCCAUGCUUCUAUAAAAUAAAUUUCACAUACUACGGGACGGAGAACUUCAGUAGAACCCUAAUCCCCAUUACUAAACAGUCUUAGCCCUUCGGCUCUCUCGUUCCAACAGAACUGGCGCCCAAAGAGCAAAGCUCGACCAUGGUCCUUAAAUCUAGUCUGGUCACUUAUAUUUCCAAUAAAGUCGGCGCCCAGAGAGCAAUGCUCGACCAGGGAUCUUUACUCCCGCAAACUCAUUCCACUCAGCCCAGAGAGUUAAAUUCGACCAGGGCAAGUCCUAAACCAUUCUUCUAUUACCUUGCUCAAAUUCAAACCGGUGCACACGCAGUCUUGAUGCAACCAUCAGGUGGCAUGUUCUACCUGUCGUCCCGUCCCGAGUCAACAUACACUCACAAUAGCAUUAUGUAGAAAAUGAUACAUAUAUGAAUAGUAACUAAAUGAAUAAUUUAAGUCUAUAAUUAAUUAAUCACAAUUGCUAUUUAAAAUCUGUAUAUGACACAUGUAAACAGAUAUAUGAUUUUAACUCACAAUUCUGACGACCUCCUAGCUCUGCUCCGAUGCCUUAGGUGGAGCGAGCCGAACUGACGGAUUUAUCUAAUCAUGAAAAUAUUUAAAUCAGUAAAUAUAAGACCUUUGGCAAUUAACCCUAGGCCUAGACUCCUAGAAUUAUUGUCUAAAAAUCUCAACUCAGAAGAAUUCUAUAGAAAAUUCGGCAGAACCUCCUCUAAAUUACAGACUUUUAUCCCCCGUAUAACAGGUCCAGGACCUACCAGAAAACACUUCAAUUAUACAGUGAUUAAUUAUUAGGAGUCGGGCCACCAAAACUGCAUUAAUUUUUUCGACUCCGUAACACAACAUAAAACACGAUUAUUAGCAGACGAUCCGACAAUUAAAUAUUUUAACUAACAAUCCUCACAAUAAUUUUUUAAUGCUCAACACAAUUAAAUAAACACAUAAUUUCAUCAACAACCUCUAAAAUCUACAGUUUGAGAAAUUACCGAGACGCUUGAUCACUCGGUCGACUCGUCUCCAGCCACCGGAGUCUGAUUGAUGAUUCGAGCACGCCUACGGACUCGAGACAACGAACUGACGAUGAUUCCAACUUUCGAUCUUCCGAUCCGACCCCCGAUCAUACAGAGACAUUUACGGACAAUCUCGACCGUCGAUUUUCAAACAGAGUCCGAUCGCCACGAAACCAGUGCUAUUGGAAAGCUUGAGAUAAGGAGAGUCCGGAUAUGCCUUCUGAUCAUCCAUCCCCCGCUGGAAUUCGUCGGAAAAGCCCAAAAUUCUGGCUGCCCCUAAUCUUUUCACCUCUCCAGAUCUUGCAAUUCCGAGAGCCUGAAGGGGUGGCGAUGGUCGGAAAAGGAAGCCUAGAAGUUGCUGAUCAUUUUGAGCUUAAGAAUGUCGCAAAUGGUUGCCGGAAACUCCAUAAUCAGCAGCAAGAAAAAAAUCUGUCGUUUCUAGCCAUUUUCGCCGCCUGCCAAUGCUUCCAGCUGCAGCCACUAGUGCCAUCGAGCUCGCCGACGACAGCAGCAUCCUUAGCCAUCGCCGCUGCACCACGGACGAGCCUCCUACACUGCCGCCGCCGAUGGUCGACGCCCUCUUCUUCUUCUUCUCUUUCUUUUCUUUCUUUUCUUUUCUUUCCUUCUUUAUCGACACUUUGGUCCCUGAACUUUUCUUCUUUACCAUUUAGUCCCUCAACUUUUUAAUUACUAACAAUUUCGCACUGCAAAAUUUUCAAUUAACCCUUUAACUUUUCUUUAGUUUUUCAAUUAAGCCCCUAACUAUUUAAUUUGGGCCAAAUUAAAAUCAAUAAAAAUAUAGAACUACUUAUUUACCCUUGCUUUUAAAUUUAAAAUUACCAAAAUGUCCUUACCUACACAUUUAAUUAUAAAAAUACCAACCAUACAGAUUUUCAUUUAAAACUCCAAAUUAAAACAAUUAUAUUUUCAAUCCUUAUUCCAAAAUUAAUUGUCAAUUUAAUCCUAACACUUAGUUAACUUAAUUAAUCAAUUUACUAACUAUUUUUCAAUUAAAAUCAACACCAUUAGCUAAUUAAAAUUUACUAUUUUUUAAUAAAUUCUUUUUAUAAAAAUAUUAUUUACCAACUCUUUCAUAACUUUUAAAUAUAGAAAUUAAUUCAUAUACUCAUAUAGGGAGAAAAUUAAAUGACCAAAAACAUAAUUUAUUGCUCAAGGAAUUUACUUAAUUAAUUUCUUGAAAUCAAACUAAUUUGAUAUAGAAAAAUAACUCUCUUAUUUUUAUCUACAAUUGAAAUUCUAUUUUAAAUCAUCUCAAUUAAAUUAAUUAAAAAUAAAGUAAUAUAAAUUUAAAUAAAAACUCAUUAUUAAUUAUUAUUAAUAUUAUUAUUAUUAUUAAAAGAAAAAUUUCAAGAUAUUACAAGCAUUUUCAAUUUUUUUUUGUUUUUAGUACAUUUUAAAAAGUUUAUGAACGAAAUUUGGGGUCAAAACAAUUCAGCCAUUUUCUAAAAAUAAUGAUAUUUUACGUUUAAAAAUAGAAAACAACCAUUUUCUAUAUUUUACAAAAAACUAAUUAUAUAUAUACACAUAUAUAACCUUUCAUAUAUUUUAUUUUGUUAUAUAUAUAUAUAUAUAUAUAUAUAUAUAUAUAUAUAUAUUUAUAUUUAUAUAACCUUCCAUAUAUUUUAUUUUUUUGAAAAAACAAAGAAAAUAUUUUGUCCUUAAGAUCAAGUUGUUGCGAGUAAUAAUGGAAGCUGAGAUACUCAAAGUUGAAUGGGCAAGAGGCCUGUCACGACCCCAUCCAUGGACCCGUGACCAGCACUAGGGAAUGGGUAGGCGUAAGGCCACCGAAUUCCCUAGUAAACCUGAUAUUUUUCUGAUGCCACAAUUAUCUUAACAUUCAAAUUUUACAUAAUUAAUUCGAUCUGCCAAAAAAAUUAGGCGAGACCCGAAACUACAGAAAAUUACAUCUGAUACAUCUACUAUUACUACUGUGGAGAAUCUAAGAUUUUACAAAUUAACAUACCAAAUCAAAUACACCACCUGAUGAUGAAGGAGUCGGGUUACUCAUUAAGAGUCAAGGAAAAACUAUCAGUCCCGAAUCUGAAAGAAAAAAAAAGUAAAUUGAGACUGUCAGUCUUAAGAGUGAGUUAAAAUCAAAUAAUCAAUAGACUAUUGCAGUCUUCACAAAAAAUAUUAAUUAUUCGAAUCAGUAUAUCAAACCCUGAACAUAAAUACAAAUCAUAAUAUAAUCAUACCAUAAUAAAAAUAAUGAAAAAUAAAUAAAUCAAAACAUAUUUUUACUUUUACGGGACGAGUGGCUCAGUAGAAUCCUAACCCCAAAUUCUACUAGCUUUCUCCCGCAUUAGAGGGGAAAAUUAGCAAAGCGAGAAAAGACAGAAGGAGAGAGAGCAGCAUCUUAUUCUUUUUGCGAGAACUUCCAGAUCAAAAAAGCAUUCGGAACUGGCGAGUGCGCUAGUUGGUCUUACAGACUGACGCCCAGAGAGCAAUGCUCGACUAAGGACCUUACCUCCAGUUUGGUCAUUUAAGUAUCCAAAUAAGCCGGCGCCCAGAGAGCAAUGCUCGACCAGGGACCUUACCUCCGACAAUUUACUCAAAUCAGCCUAGAGAGCCAUGCUCGACUAGGGAAAAACUCAUAAUAAUCUUAUUACCUGUCCAUGAUCAUUACCGGUGCGCACGCGGUCCUGAUGUAGCCCAUCAAGUGGCAUUGUUCUAUGAAAGCCACAUUUCCCAAAUCACAAUCAUCACAUUUAAUAAAUAUCAUUGUCUAAUGAAUUCAUUCAACACAUAUCGAAAUAAAGAUUAAAUAUUUAGGGUAAAGCAACAUGCAAUUUGUGUGGAAAAAAAUAAUAAUAUUCGUAUUAUUAUAACAUUACUAAUAAUAAUAUUUAUAUUAUUUUCAAUAAUUAAUAAUCAAGUGAAAUUAUUUAUAUUGCAAUACUAAUAAUCAUAUUAAGCAUAAAUUUCUAAAAUAGCAUAUUAAAUUCAGACUUAGCAAUAGUGCAAUGAUUAAGUGACUUUAACUCACGAUUUGGCGACCUCCUAGCUCUGCUCCGAUGCCUCAGUUGGAGCGAGCCGAACAGACAGUUCAUCUAAUCACGGAAAACUAAUUUAUCAAUUACGCUGAACAAUUGACAAUUAACCCUAGGUCUAGAUUCCUAAGACUGACUGUCUAAGAAUCUCGACUCGGGAGAAUUCUACCGAAAAUCCGGCAGAACCUCCCCUACAACACGGACAUUUACCCCUCGUAAAACGGCUCUAGGACCUGCCAGAAAAAUACUAGAAAUAUCCAACAAUUUAACACAACGGGAGUCGGGUCCUAAAAACUUCACUAAUUUUCCGACUCCGCCACUGAGCACAAAAAUCACAACUACGACAGGUAGUCCGACAAACUAUUAUUUUUGACUCACAAAUAUCAUCUAAUACUCAACACAAAUCAAUAAGCAUAAAUUAAAUCAAAGAAUUCCAAAUCAACGGGUCAGAGAAUUACCGAGAUGCUUAAUCGCUCGGUUAGACGAUCCGAACAUACCAUCGGACUCGAAACGACACGCUGAUGAUGAUCCCCGCUUCCGAUUUUCUGAUCCGACCCCCGAUCACCCGGAGAGAUUUGCGGAUGAUCUCGGUCGUAAAUUCGUAAACGAAGCCCGAUCGCCACGAAUCUAGUGCCAUUGCGAAGCUUGAGCUGAGGAGAGUUGGGAUACGUCUUCCGAUCAUCCAUAGCUCACCGGAGCUCGCCGAAAAAUCUGAAAAACCCCGGCUGCCCCCUACUUUCUCUCUCCACCGGUUCUUCCAUCUCCGGCCACCACAUGCGUCGCUGCUGCUGCCAAAAAGAAGCUCUCUUCGAGGAAGCCGAUCACCACCGAGAUCGGCCGACAAGGCCGCUGGAAACGGCCGGAAAAUCACCUAGAAGUCGCUGCCUCCUUGCACGCUUCCGCUGCCUGCCGAUGCCACUAGAGCCGCUGCCGCCGCUGCCACUGCGCUCGCCAGCGCACGCCGCUCCGUAGGCCAGUGCUCCACACCCGCGGCAGUCGCCACCCACGCCCGCAGCGCUUAACUCUUCUUCUUCCUCUUCCUCGCUUCUUCUUUCUCUCUCCCUGAUCUUCUCUCUUCCUUUUCUUCUUUCUUAUUAGGCCCUCAGACUUUCCUUCCUUACAAUUUGGUCCCUCAACUUUAUUAAUUACUUACUAUUUCAUCCUGCAGAAUUUCCAAUUAACCCUUAAACUUUCCUUUAGCCUUUCAAUUAAGCCCCUAACUAAUUAAUUUGGGCCAAAUUAGAAUUAUUGAAAAUAUAUAAUUACAUAUAUACCCCUGACCGAUAUAUUUAUUUACAAAAAUACUAAACUUACAAAUUUCCAUUAAAAUCCCAUAAUAAUAAAAUUAUACUUUUAAUCCUUAUAUCAAAAUAAAUUUCCAAUUUAGUCCUAAAAUACAAUUAAAUUAAAUAGCCAAUUUGCUAAAUAUUUUUCAACUAAAAAUUAAAUACCACUAGCUAAUUUAAAUACCAAUUUUUCCAAAAUUCUUUUAUAAAAACACCCUUUAUAAAUUCUUUCAUAAUUCUCUAAUAUAUAAUUUUAUUUAUAUAUAUAUACAUUUGGGAAAAAUUUGAAUAACCAAAAAUAUAAUUUAUUCCUCAAAUAAUUUACAUAAUUAGUUUCUUAAAGAUCCAACUAAUUGAGUAUAGAAAAAUAACUCAUUUAAUUGUCUAAUAUUAAAAUUUCUAUUAAAUCAUUUCAAAUUAAACCAAAUAAAAAUAAAAUAAAACUAAUUUAAAUAAAAAUUUAUUUAUUAAUUAUUAUUAAUAUAAUCAUUAUUAAGGAAAAAAUUUCGGGUAUUACAAGGCCGAUACGAUCAACUCAACUUGAUCGAUGAAACCAGAAUGAAGGCCAUGUAUCACACACAUAAUACCAGUAAAGGACUGCUCGAGCUUUUGACAAGCAUGUCAAGCCUCGACCUUUAAAGGUGGGUGAUUUGAUCCUUAAAGAGGGAAAACCGGUAGUUCUGAACCGUUUAGAUAAAUUUUGACCUAACUGGAAAGGCUGGUAUCUUGUUAAGAAGAUCUUCUCUAAAGGAGCAACAAUAUUAUUAGACUUCGAGGGCAAUGAGUUUAGUCAACCAAUCAACAUAGACAUGUUCAAGCAAUAUUACAUAUAAUAAAAGAAUAAUAAAAGAAUAAAAAAAUUUAAUGAAAUAAUAAGCUUGUUGGAUUGAAAAUGUGUAAAAAGUGGUCCAAGCAAAAAUUAGAGCGGCUCGAUCAGGUGAAAACCAAGAGGCACCUUAGGAAAAAAUAAGAACUAAAUAAAAGAAGAAAGAGUGCUUGGUUGGUUAGAAAACCUAAAAGGGCUAACCGAUUGCAAGAGUCGGACUGUUUUCGAUAUGUUUUAAGAUGUACUUCGGUUAAACUAAUUAAUGGUAUGACUCCUAAUUAUGAGAACAUGGUUUUUUUUUGGGAUUUUACAUGUUUUGCAAUUCUGAAACAACAUCUAACAAAUAAAUCAAUUUUCUUUUUUCUUUUUUCGCUAUUCUAAUCCUUAGUCAUUAACUAAUACAGGAACAAUACAACAUCAACUCUAAACGUCAGUGUGCCUGAGCGGCUGCCCAAGCUCUGGAAGUGUCAUCCACGGCAGAAUCACUCAGCUCCUGUAAGUUUGAAAGGAUGGUCUGGUAGCUCUAAGUGUUGCGGACGUGGUAUAAGAACCAAGCAAAGACAGGUCCUGGCUCGAAUUCUAGCAUGAUAGGAGGAAUCCUCUGCAGCCCUCAUACUGAUGGACAAGUAUGGAUAGGUUAUAAAAAGAACUGAAAUCAAGCUUUAAAAGCACCAAACAGGAGGUAUAGAUCUCCCUGACGAUCUUGGCAGCAAUGGAGCAAAAAUGUCUUACCUAGCAGCUCAAUGUGCAAAUCUGAAUCAUACAUGCAUAGACAUGCCCCUAAAAAGGCAACCACCUAGUAUAUACUCCAAAAGCAAUAUGUAUACUGAAUAUAUUAUAUAUUUAUGAUACUGGUACAUGCUAUACAAAUGAGUGUAUACUGCUCAUCCAACUAUAUAAAAUCAAAUUUAUAAAUAUCACAAAAAAUCCAAACUACCAUUAUCUAUUCUCGAGUUUCUAUAAAAAAAUAUUUUAAUUGUUAUAAAUCAAUUUUGCUAAAAACAAAAAUUUUCUCGUAAAAGCAUUUAAAUAAAAUAUACAAAUAUAAUACAAUUGAAAACAACACUGUUAUAAGCUUAUCCAUUCAUCUUGUAUACAGGACUCGAAUUUACUAUACGGAACUCAAGUCGCUAACUUUUUCUCAAACUAAUAUUCAUAUACUUAAUCCUAUAAGUUAUAUAGAAAUGAAAUUAGAAAUAAAUUUAAAAUUCUCUUUUCUAAUAAUUCUUACCUAAUAUCUAGCGUCAAACCCGAUUUAUAACAAUUCUAUUAAUUCUCUAAUUAUUUAAACUAAUUAAGGCUACUGAAAUUUUAACAGCAUCUCCUAUGUAAAUCGGAUUAAUUUUCACCGUAAAAUGGAUCCAAAACCUCCAAGCAAUCACAACUCACAAAAUACUCGUCCAGAGCCACAAAUUAUUCAUUUGAAAAGUCCAAUUAAACGUCCGUUUAAACUCCAGCAAAAAUAAUUACUUAUUUUUUUAUUAAUUACCUCGAGAUGAUUUAAUAACUAAUGCUAAUAAUAAGUACUCUUACUAAUUCAUUUAUCCUUUACAACAAUUGUUCAUAAUUCUGACUAUUAUAACUACCUCUAAUUUUAAAAUCCAAUUCAAUUCACCAUAUCUAUCAUAGGAAUAAUAUCAAUAUAAUUCUCCUUAUUUCCCUUUACAUUAACAAAUCUUUAAUUUAUUUAUAAAAAUAAUUAAUUUUUCACAUUAUCAAAAAUAAUCUAUAUAUUAUCAAAAUUUCUAUUUACUAAUAAUAUAUUUAAUCUACUAAGUUAAUUAAUAACCUAAAAUUAGACAAGCAAAAGAAAUUUAUCUCCACACACGUAACGCCUAUCGACUCAUUACCGGUCGUUGAUGUCUGUUCGAAGAUCCGAAGACACCAUCAAACUCGUCUCAAUGUAUAAAUCAUGGAUUAACUAUUAUUUUUUCCUAAAGAAUCGAUAAUUGACCAAAAAAAUAAAAAAUGCUCUUGACCAUCUGAUCAUAAACAGUGUCUGAUCGAGGUGAAACCAAUGACAUCUGAAAGGUCGUUUUCUAAGGAGUUCAUUUGUGUAUUUUAAUUUCUUAAUAAUCUAAACACUCUCCACAUCACAUGAUGAUGAACCUGAAAAUGGGAUUUGCAAAGGUCUAAUUCACUCUUCCACUGCUGUAAACGGAGCCAAAACAACAAGCAUAAAAACAAUAAUUAAGAAAUCGAGCCAUGAAAAAGAUUCAAGAAGAGUUUAUUUUAGCCAUCUAAAUAAUGUUUUAAGAUAAAUAUUGAAUUUUAAUGGAGAUUUUUAUUUUUCAGGCCAUAAAUUAUGUCUUAAAGAAAAUAAAUAAAUAAGAUAAAAAGCAAUUUUGUAAUUUCACAGAAAACUAAUGGUAAUAUAACUAAAAAUUAGACGAGAACAGCUUCUAGCAUAAUAUGAAAAAAGAGAGAUUUUAAAAAUUGAGGUCUUGAUUAAUGUAAUAUUGUAAAUCUCAAAACAGAAAUAGUAUUAGGGAUAAAUUAAAUUGGAGUACCAAAUUCUUCCUUUUAUACUAAAAAUAUAUUAAAUUUAUGAUAUAACUAAAUCAUCACUGAAAUUUAUACUUUGUAAAAAAAAAAAAUCAAAAUUUUGAUCUUAAAAGAUAUAUGACCUGUGCUUUUCUUGUAACAAAUCAAAGGUUUAAUAUAUUUUUGUUGCAAAAUGCAAAAUUUAACGACUAUCUAUAUGAAUUUACUAUCUAAGUGUGACAAAAAAUUCCAUUAAUGUUACUAAAGUUAAAGUUUAGCAAUUAUUGAAUUAUAAAUAAAAUAUUUUUUACUUUUUUAUUAUAAAGUGUAAAGUAUAAUAACCGCCAAUAUAAUUUAUUGAUAAUAUUACCUUAGAAUUUAUUUAUAUACCAAGUGAAAGAAACUGGAACUUAAAAUCGAUAAUAUUGCUUAGUUUUGCCUUUCUUUUUUUUCUUUUUUUUUAUCAGUUAUGGUGAAAACAUCACAUUUAACUUCAUCCCUUUGCAAGGUUGGUUUCAGUAGAUUUCUUAAUUAAUCACAAUUUCUUCACAAACCAAGACUUUAUUAAAGCAGAAUUUGGGUAAGGUACCCAGUACAAAAACUGACCAACUAUAUCAACAAAAAAUGGAAAAUGAAACGGUACAAGAACAAAAAUAAUAUAAAACAUAUAACGCACGCGAUAAAGUCACUCUCUUGUAACAGUUGCCUUUGCCAAGUUGUCUGCAUAUUUUCAACACUUAUAAAUUAGUCUAACAUGUUUAAUUUGGAAGCAUGCAUGUGAUUAUGCCGGGUACAAAUUUGCAGGCAAACGUGGCUUUGCGAGUGCAACUAAUGGUUUGGCAAGUGCCAAACUAUUCUUAGACUCUGAAAGAUCAAUGCUUGUCUCAUUAGGGGGCACGCUCCAGCUAAACCCUUGAAGAAGCCUAGCAAAUAACAUAACAGUCACUGCAGUUCCCAAUAUGAUGCCUGGACAACCUCUUCGUCCUGUACUAAAUGAAAGCAAGUUCAAAUCAGGCUCCGUCAGCAUCACUUGACAUCCAUUUCUCUUGAAAUGACGCUCUGGUUUGAACAUGUGUGGUUCAUCCCAAAUCCGGGGAUUCCGGCCGAGGCCGACUCGGCUAAGCAAGACAUGGCUACCUUUCGGAAUAAAAUAGUUAGCAACAGUUGUAUCUGCUAUGGAGACAUGAGGAAGAUUGAAGAAGACAAUAGGGUGGAGGCGAAACGCUUCUUUAGCACAUGCUUUUAUGUAAUUGAGCUGUGGAAAAUCUGACUCUUGGACUAGUCUCUCCCUUCCAACAACUCUAUCCAAUUCUUCUACUGCUUUCUCAAGAAGUUUCGGUUUGUUUAUCAUCUCUGCAAGUGCCCAUUCUAUAGCAUUUGAUGGAUUAUCUACUACUGCCAUCAUUAUUUCCUGCAAAAAUUGAUAGUUGAUAUUUAAUUAUUGAAAUUAGCUGGUGGGAAAUAUAGUAAUUAAAAUGAAAAACACAGUGAAAAUAUGCAUACAACUGGUAAUUUUCCUUAUAUCCAUACCAGGGAUAUAUUCAAAAAUAAAUUCUUUGUGAAGACAAUAGAGCGUGCAUGCACGCUUAAUUUGAUAUAUUCAUUUAACAAAAUCACCAGUUGAUAUUUAGCUUUGUUGAAAUCAGUUGGUAGGAACUAUUGUUAUUAAAAUGGAAGAUGCAAUAAAUUUGAAUCUUAACCAACAUAUUUAAUGUUUGCCGAACUCAAAAUGACGAACUGAACUUCUUGCAAGAAAGGACAUGCAAAUGGAAUUUUCCUUAAAUCCAUUUCUUAAAUCAGGUGCAAAAACAUUAUAUUUCGAAUGUGUUGUGAGAGGGAGUGAGAGAGAGACGGAAUUUACAGUAAUUUGAGCUUUAAUCUCUUCUGUUGACAGCAAAGAGUUGCCACUGGCAUCUUCUAGAUUUAUGAAAACGUCAAGCAAGUCAUCCACUUCCUUUUUGGUGCCAUCCUUCCAUUGUUGGACCCUCUCUUCAAUUAUGGGAUCUUGAUAUUUAUUUAUGGUCCCAAGAGCAUCCUUCAUGACCUUCCCAUGGCCAUCCAAGUCAAGCCCUGUCAAGCAUGGCAUGUAAUCAGAAACACAAAACGCAUAGCUAUGAGCAAGGACUGUGAAAAUCGCAUCAACAUGCUCUUUUUCCUCGAUACCAGGUCCUCCGUCCUUCAUUCCCUCCCCGAAGAACCUUUUGUUAAACACCAUUUUCCUUGUUACAUUUCCACAAUAGUGCCGUCCAGUGACUCUCACGUUAACUGAUCCACCUUCCUCAACAGUCUUGCAUUGGUUAUAUACAUAACGUACAAGGUGAUCAGCUGCUUCAAGUCUUUUUCCGUAAAACCACUUGCAUUUUUCCACAGAAAGAAAUUGCGUUACCAGCACUCUCCUCAUUUUCUUCCAUUGUUCUCCCAAGGGCACAGCACCUGUUGCCAAAUAACCUCUUGUAGUGAGAUCGGUGGACAUGGUUAACGGUCUGCUUGCAAAAAGAGCAUCCUGUACUUCCAAGAAUUCGCGGCUAAUCUCAGGAGAAGUGACAGGAAUCACAUGAACGUUUCCAAGACGGAUACAAGCAAUUUCAGUGUUCAUUUCUUUCAUGAGCUUGUGUAUCCAUCGAAAGGUCGGCUUAUUUGCUAGCAUCGUUGGCAGGCAUCCGACAAGAGGCCAAGGUUUUGGGCCAGGAGGUAGUGGGAGUUGCUUGGCGUUUUGGCUUUCUAGCUUUUGGAAUUUCGUCAAGUAAAUUAAGGCCAACGCCAAGAGAAGAACUAGGGAACAGGAGCUCAACAAUGUUCUGAGAAAGCCAAUGCCAAUUCCUGCCAAAUCUGGAGUGCCAUGAAGAGAAGCUAGCCUAGUGCAAGAUAUUANNNCUUGCAUGCUUUGCAGGAUGCUGUUUCGAACAAACUCUCACCUCUUUUAUCUCAUUUGCUUUUUUCUUUUCCUUCUUUUUUUGUUUACACAAUGCAAUAAUUAACUCUAUAAUCUCUCCCAUUUAUAGGGCUGAAUCCAAAAUCUACGAUGUAAUUCAAUAUAGCAAUGCAAUAGAACGAUUUGUUAAAUCUGAAUAAUACAGGACGCGUGAUCCGUAUUUAUACUUGUAUCUUAAUAACUCUACUGUAUAUACCAUAUAUUUGAGCUUUUAUUUAUACAUUUAUCCAAAUCAUAAAUUAACUAUAUAUUAAAUCUUCUUCUAUUCAUUUAUACAAACCAUUUACACAUUAUGGAAUUCAAGUUUAGUUUGGCCACACAACAUAUAUUAUUAUUAUUUAAGGUAUCAUUUUUAUUUCCUUUUGAUUUCAUAACUAACCUCAUUUAUGCAUUCAUGUAUAUACAUGUCUGAAAGAAUAUUUCAUAACUAUUCUUUUAAUAUCAUCGCGUUUGACAAGCGAUUAGAAAACAAUCAAAAUUAAGUUAAAACGAUAUGGGAAAAUAACGGAUGAGAUGGGAUACAAGGGCUGUGGAGUAGCAACUUUAAAUCUCAAAAUUUUUUACCUAAAUUUGGUGUAUGUCCUCGCCUAUAUACUAAACCGAUAAAUGAUAUUUAUUAAUUUUAAAUAAUUAAAUAUAUAUCAAUUAUCCAAUAUAAAAGUGUAAAAUACUCAUAUAUAGUCACUCUCCUAUUAGAUAUGGUGUAUACAUCAACGCUAGAUAAUAAUUUUUUCUCUAAGAAAUCACCAUUGUACUAGUCCUUUCAUAUUAUUCUUGUAACAGUUUAUGGCCGAUAGAAUUUGGUGUUGUUAUACUAUAUAGUCCCAUAAAAAAAAUGAAAAAUUAAAUAGUUGGACGCUGAAUAGAGCCGUUACACGCUGAUAUCACCGAACUAUCUAAUUUGGCUCCUCCGUCCACUACCCACAACCACUGUCCACCUUCAUUAGUGCUAGGGCUAAGUUUGCCAGCAACUCUUCUACUCCCGACUAGUGUCCUGGCCUCUCUCUCUCUCUCUCUCUCUCUCUCUCUCUCUCUCUCUCUCUCUCCUAACCUUCCUUCCUCCCCCUACCCGUUUCCUUUUUAUUCUUCUCCCUUUUCGUUCUUUACUUACCCCUAGUUAUUUACUCUUAAACCCCUAACUUGUAUUUAUCCUUUCAAUUAAGCCACUAAUUUGUUAUAUUUGGCCUAAAUUAGUUACAAUUAUUAAAAUAUAAAAAAUAUUUUGAUCCUGCGUGACACUUUUAUAUCUAAAUCCCAUAUUUAAAUCAAACUUUUAUUUUAACCCCAUUUUAUAUAAACAAAUAUUAGUUUAAUCCUUAGUUAAUUUACUCGAUCAAAUUCAUUAAAAUCUAAAUACUCAAAUAAUUAUUAUUGUUAUAGCACUGUAAAUAAUAAAUUAAAUCCUUUAUUAAGUCCCAUAGUCUUAUAUUAUUUAUUUAAAUAAUACACCUUACCUAAAUCAAAUAAAUAAGUUCCAUAAAUAUCUCAUUAUUAUUAAUACUAAAGAUAAAUCCUUAAAUAACACUUUAAUUUUAGGUCACUGAUAGGUUGAUAUUAUGUAUAUAUAAUUAAAGUAUUUUAGUAAUUUAUUGGUAUAUUUUAUAUACAUAAUAUGUAAAAAUAUAUGUUUAUUACCUCAUUUUAUAUUUAUUGUCUAAUUUCAGGUGACAAUAGCCAAAAAGAUAGAAUAUGAGCCAAAAAUGCAUAAAUGGACUUUAAUUAGACUGCAGCUGUAAAAGGCUCGGAAUAAAGACACGUGGACAACCAAAAUUGCAGGCCUAGUCGAGUUUAUCAAUAUCCAUGAAAGAAAAAUUAAUUAUGAUGUAAUUAAGAUAAAUUAUUUUUUUUAAGUUGUUUAUUUUGUUUAGGAUAGUUAACAGAUAACUAUAGCAGUGUUAUGCUUAGAGAAGGACUCUGAAAAAAGAAUCUUUACAAGAAGUAGAGCAGUUAAACAAGGAGAGCAUCGUUCUAUUAUUCUUCUCUCUGCAAAUUCCCUAUAGUUCGUCUUCUACAACAUUUAAUUAGUUUUGCAUUAUUCUUUCAAAGAUUAGAGAAGCUUUUCAGGACGUGGAGAAUAAGGAUCAAUCUUCUUCAUCCCUUGAAGAACUUCUGGAUUUUAAGAGAGUUUUAAUUCUCUGUUUUAUAUUUCUUAUGUCUUUCUAUUUAAUUAUAAAGACUGUUGAAUUAAAUAUAUCAGGCUAAGUUCCAUAAGUGUUUUUAGUUUGGCUUUUUACUUAUAUAUGAACUUUAUAUAUUAUGAGUUUAAUAAAUAAUUUCUUUAUCUUCAUACAUGUAUUAGUUUCAUCUAUUAUUGUUGAUUGACCAUUAUAUCAAUUUUAAUAGUAAUAUGUGUUUUGAAAAUCUUUAGGUUAAAAGUAUUAGAAACAUCAUCUUUACUUUAAUCCAUAUUGGUAUAAGAAACCUAGGUUGCAUCAUUAGCUUGAGUGACUUAGGGAAAAGGUACAUCACCAUCUCAUUCAUGAGAUUUAGAUUUAAAGGGAAAUAAGGAGAUUACUAAGUAUAAACUAGACUAAAUGCUAAUUUAUCAUACAGUUUACAUUAAAUAUUUUAUUUGCAUAUUAUUUUCUAUUUUAUUUAAUUUCUUUCGUAAACCUUCAAAACUAUUCUCGAAGCAUUGACUUAGAGUGUUUAGAUUUAUUUUUAGAUAUUUUUGUAUGAUAGUUGGUCUUUAUAAUAUAAGCUCUAAAUGUAAUUCAUCAACGCAAGAUUCCUACAACUUGAGAUCAGCUAUUAAAAAGGGAGAAGGAGACUAAGAAGUAGAUAGUGAGUUUGUACCUCCAGGAGAAAAAUAAUUUGAAGAAAAGCUAGAACAAGAAUUUGAAGAGGAGGUUGAAAUGGCUAUGAAAGAUUAUGCUCGUCCCAUAAUUGGUAACACUACUUCAUGCAUAAUUCUAGGUGAUGCAUCUAGGAAUUAUAAACUUAAGAACAUUCAUUUUAAUAUGAUUCCUUCAUUCUAUGGUAUGCCUAGUAAAAAUAAAUUACAUUUAUUUAGAAAUUUUAUGUUACAGUUUAUAUAUUCCCAUUAUCUAGACUAAAUAAAUACCAACUAAGCAUGAGAUGUUUUCCUUACUCAUUAAAAGAGAAAGCAAAUGUUUGGUUAAUGACCAUGCCUCCUAAUUCUUUGAGAACUUGAGAUGAAAUUUAUCAAAAAUUUAUGAGUAAAUUUUACUCAUAUUAAAAGACCAAAUAAUUAAAGGCUAAAAUUUUCAACUUUUAUCAAAAUGAUACUAAAUCUUUUCAUAAAGCAUGAGAUCGCUUCAAAUCACUUUUAUUGCAAUGCCCACACCAUGGAUAACCCACUUCCUGUGACCAACCAAUCAUUCUAUGAUGGUUUAACAUAAUAAUAUCAAUAUAUGGUUUAUAAUAUAGCUGGGGGUGCUAUGUUAGAAAAAACUGUUGAUGAGGUUUGUGAUAUCUUUGAGAUGUUAGAAGCCAAUUCACAAUAAAAGAGUAUGAGAACAAAAGGAGUAGGAGUAAAUGAAGUUGUGUCUAAUAAUGAGAUGGCUAUGCAGGAAUAUACCAAGCAAUAAGGUAUGUGGUAUAUGUGGUGUUUAUGGUCAUGGUGCUAAUGUUUGCUCAUCUUAUGAGAUUUAUGCAUGAAAUAAUUAUGAACAAGUUAAUUUGAUAGAAUCUUAUCAGCCUAGGCAACCUAGGAAUAAUCCAUAUUCCAACACUUACAAUCCAGAAUGGAGGAACCAUCCAAAUUUUUUCCUGGAGAAAUAAUGAUCAAAACCCACCAUAAAUAACCUAGGUUACAUUAUUAGCUUGAGUAACUUAGGAAAAAGGCACAUCGCUAUCUCAUUCAUUAGAUUUGGACUUAAAGGAAAAUAAGGAAUUACUAAAUAUAAGAUAGACUAAAUACUAACUUAUUAUAUAGUUUACAUUAGACAUUUCAUUUGCAUAUUUAUUUAUUUAUUUAUAUAAUUUAUUUUAUAAACUCUCAAAACACUGGCUUAGGGUGUUCAGUUUUAAUUUUAGGUGCUUUGUGUGAUAAUUAAUUUUUAUAAUAUAUGAUUUACAGUUAUUUUGUGAGAUCGAUUUCGUGAUAAAUUUACUCAUAUUAUCAUUCGAUUCGUACACUUACGAAUAUUAUAUUUGAGACAUCAAUCACAUUAUUCAAAAUAAUAAAUCAUAUGCCCAUUACUUGAAUAUAUCAAAUGUUUAUUACUUGAUUAAUAUGAGAUUAUUAUUAUUAUUAUUCCUGUAAUUUAUAUGUACUAAUUUAUUAUUUAUUUUUAGUGUUAAAUUGUACAAAAUAUCUAUAUAUUAAGUUGUAGAAAACUCGAGAUGUCAAAUACCAUAUGAGUUGCAUUUAUAAAUUUAAUAUGAUGAUAUAUAUGUUUCAAUAUAAAUAACUAUUAAGUUUGAGUUUUCCUUCCUGUUUGUCAUGAAAAACUGUCCACUUGCAAUGGCAAAAAUAAUAUUAUGUGAUUCUUAAGGAUUCAACGCCCAGUUAUCAAGAAUCGAGAGAGAGCCAUGACACAUCUUGUCCUCUACUGAUCAAUCAUUCACCCCAACUUAAAGCACUAGGCACGAGCCAUGAGACAUAGGCCUUGAUAGUGGUCCUGUCCUCUAUUUAUCAAUCAUAUCCCUCAAUUGAAGCACGUUGUUAUUUCGAAGAAAGAAAAAAUGUACGAUUUUGUGCAAGAAUUUACAACCAAGUAUUUAAGGGUGGCCUGAUCCAUUUAGAUAACAGUCUGCCCCACCGAGCAGUACUAUCACCAAAAAGUGUGAUUCUAGUCAUUUAUAUACAGAUAAAUGCCUCAAAAGGCAACCACUUAAUGUAUACACUGAGCUAUAUGCAUUUUCAUAAAAAAUAAUAUAUUUUAUUUGACAUCUCAUAUUUAAAAUGUGAUAUUUUAGAUCAUAUAAAUAAAUAUAUGUAUAUUUAUCCAGCUAAAGAAAAUUAUAUUUAUAUAUAAAAUAUUAAAAAUAUUAUUCUUCAUUUUCAGUUUUUACAAAGAAUAAUUAAAUUAAAAUCACCUUUAAAUAAAUAUUUUUUAUGAGAAACAAUUUAAAAGAUCAUAAUUAUAUAAAUAAUAAAGUAAAAAAAAUACAAUGUUAUAAUUUUAUCCACUCUCCCAGCAUGCAAGACUUUUAACCAAAUCCUUAACCGAACUAUAACUUUACACAACCUGCUAACUUUAAAGAGUUAUUUAAACAUUUAACUCUAUUUUUAAUAAUAAUUUUAAUGUUUUUUUUGCUAACAAUCCUUAUCCAACUUCUAAUAUCUAUAUAGUAUCUCGUUCUUGACAAUCAUUAACUUUUAUAAUUAACAUAAUCAAUCAUCUUAAUAACUAAUCCACCUUAUCCACUAAUUACACUUCAACUCAUUUAAUUAAUAGGAGUAUUAAAAAUAUUAAUUAUAAUAUCACAUUAACAUAUCAUUAAUUAUCAACCAAUAAUUAUAUAUAAUUAAAUACCUCAGUUACUUACUAUAAGUUUUAUAAUUCAUAUACCACCUUCUAAACUAAUUAUCAUAAUUUAAUAAUAAAAUUCAUAAUGUAGUUAAUAUUUAUUUUUCUUAUGUUCUCCAUCUUCCCAAUAAUAGAUUUUCGUCCAUUUAAUCUAUAAAAAUAAUAAAUUAAUUAAUUCCUUAAUAUAGGUACUAACUAAUAUAUCUUCAAAAAUGUUAUAAUCUUUAAUUAAUAAUUAUGUAAUACCCGAAAUUUUUAUAUAUUUAAUAAUGAGUUUUUAUUUAAGUUAAUUUUAGCUUUAUUUUUAUUCGGUUUAAUUGGAAUGAUUUAAAUACAAAUUUUGAAUUUUAAUGUUAGACAAAUAAAUGAAUUAUUUUUCUAUACCCAAUUAGUUGAAAUUUUAAGAAUUAAUUAAGUAAAUUAUUUGAAGAGUAGAAUAUAUUUUUGGUUAUUCAAAUUUUUCCCAAAUGCAUAUUUAUAUAAGUAAAAUUAUAUAUUGGAAAAUUAUGGUAGAAAUUGUAAAGGAUGUUAUAAAAGAAUUUUGAGAAAAUUGGUAUUAUAAUUGAUUAGUAGUAUUAAAUUUUAAGUUGGAAAUUGAUUAUUUAAUUUAAUUGUGUGUAGGAUUUAAUUGGAGGAUUAUUUUGGAAUAAGGAUUAAAAGUAUAAUUUUAUUAUUAUGAGGGUUUAAUGGAAAUUUGUGAGUUUGGUAUUUUCGUAAAUAAAUAUGUCGGUCAUGUGUAUUUUUGUAAUUUUAUAUUUUCAAUAAUUCUAAUUUGGCCCAAAUUAAAUAGUUAAGGGCUUAAUUGAAAGGAUAAAAGAAAGUUUAGGGGUUAAAUUGAAAUUCUGCAGGAUGAGAUUGUAAGUAAGGAAGUUGAGGGACCAAAUUGUGAUAAGGAAAAGUUUGGGGGCUUAAUGUCGAUAUUGAAAGAAAGAAAAAAGGAAUGGAAUCGGGGAAGAAGAAGAAAAAGAGAGAGAGAUGUCGGGGGAGAGAGAGGAGCGCGCGGAGGAAGGAGCUGCGGCGUCGAGGCCGUCCGUCCGGGGUGCGGGGCUGGCCGGCGAUGCUACGGGAGUCAGCGGCGGCGGCAGCAGCGGCAGCGGCAGUGGCACCAGCGGGCGACUGCAGCAGCUCGCGCGAGGAGGAAGUUGGCCGAAGCUUCCUUGCCGCCGUGCGGGCGCUUCCGGCGUCGGUGGUCGCUGAUCUUGGUGCCGAUCGACUCCUCUCGGCCUUAGCUUUGUUUUGGUGGCGGCGAUGUCGACAAUGGUGGCCGGAAACGGAGGUUCACGGUGGAGAGAGAAAAUGGAGGCAGCCAAGCUUUUUGGGCAUUUCCGGUGAGCUCCAGCGAGCUAUGGAAGAUCAGAGGACAUAUCCCGACUCUCCUCAGCUCAUGCUUCGAAAUGGCACCGGUUUCGUGGCGAUCGGGCUCCGUUUGCGAAUCGACGGCCGAGAUCCUCCGAAAAUCUCUCCAGAUGAUCGGGUGUCAGAUCGGAAAAUUAAAAGCGGGGAUCGUCAUCAGCGCAUCCUUGUGAGUCCGAUGAUGUGUUCGGAUCGUCGAUCGGACUCCGGCGGCUGAAGGCGAGUCGACCGAGCGAUCGAGCAUCUCAGUAAUUUUCUCUGGCCGUUGAUCUUGGAAAUCCUUUGAUUUUAAAUUUAUGCUUAUUGUUUUAUGUUGAGUAUUUAAUAUUUGUGAGUCAAAAAUAAUUGUCUGUCAGUUUGCCUGCCUCGUGUUUUAUAUUGUGUGGCGGAGUCGGGAAAAUAGUGAAGUUUGGAGACCCGACUCCCGUUGUUUGAAUUGUUGAAUAUUUGAAGUGUUUUUCUGGCAGGUCCUAGACCCGUUUUUACGAGGGGUAAUGUCCGUAUUGUAGGGGAUGUUCCGCCGAAUUUUCGGUAGAAUUCUCCCGAGUCGAGAUUUUUAGACAGUCAGUCCUAGGAGUCUAGACCUAGGAUUAAUGAUCGAUUGUUUCAGCGUUUUGAUAAUUGUUUUCCGUGACUAGAUUGUCCGUUUUUUCCGCUCGCUCCAACCGAGGCACCAGAGCAGAGCUAGGAGGUCGCUCAAUUUUGUGAGUUAAAGUCAUUUAAUCAUUGCACUAUUGCUAAGUCUGAUUUUAAUAUGCUAUUUUAGAAUUUGUGCUUAAUAUGAUUAUUAGUAUCGCAAAAUAAAUAAUUUCACUUGAUUAUUAAUUAUUGAAAAUAAUAUAAAUAUUAUUAUUAGUAACGUUAUAAUAAUACAGAUAUUAUUAUUUUUUUCGACACGAAUUGCACAUUGCCUUAUCCUAAAUUUUUAAUCUUUNNNNNNNNNNNNNNNNNNNNNNNNNNNNNNNNNNNNNNNNNNNNNNNNNNNNNNNNNNNNNNNNNNNNNNNNNNNNNNNNNNNNNNNNNNNNNNNNNNNNNNNNNNNNNNNNNNNNNNNNNNNNNNNNNNNNNNNNNNNNNNNNNNNNNNNNNNNNNNNNNNNNNNNNNNNNNNNNNNNNNNNNNNNNNNNUGGGAAAUGUGGCUUUAGUAGACAUGCCACUGUGGGUGCAUCAGACGCGUGCGCAACGGUAUGAUCAAAGUAAGGUAAUAAGGUUAUUAUGGAUUUGUUUGCCUGAUCGAGCAUUGCUCUCUGGGCUGAGUUCAGUUGAUUGCCGGGAAUUAAGGUCCCUGAUCAAGCAACGCUCUCUGGGCACCGGCUUAUUUGGAAUUCAAGUGUUCAGGCUAGAGGUAAGGACCCUGAUCGAGCUUGCUCUCUAGGCGCCAGACCUGUUGGAUUAAGAGAGCCGAAAGGCUACUAGAAUUUGGGGUUAGGGUUCUACUGAGCCACUCGUCCCGUAAAAGUAAAAAUAUAUUUUUAUUUAUUAUGGUAUGAUUAUAGUAUGAUUGGUAUUUAUGUGCAUGGUUUGAUAUACUGAUUUGAAUAAUUAAUAUUUUCUGUGAAGACUGUAAUAGUCUCUAGAUUAUUUGAUUUUAACUCACUCUCGAGACUGACAGUCUCCAUUUAUUUUUUUUCAGAUUCGUGACUGUUAGUCUUCCCGCGACUCUUACUCAGUAACUCGAUUCUUUCAUCAUCGGGUGGUGUUUGAUUUGGUAUGUCAAAUUGUAAAAAUCUUAGAUUCUCCGUAGUUGCAAUAGUAGAGGUAUCAGUUGUAAAUUUUAUGAGUUUCGGGUCUCGCCUAAUUUUUCUGGCAGACCGAAGUAAUUAUGUAAAAUGUAACUAUUAAGAUAAUUUAUGGCUUUAAUAAUAUUAAUUUGAGAUGAGAUUUGUUUGAGUUGUGAGUUUCAGGCUUACUACGGGAUUCGGUGGCUUUACGCCUACCCAUUCCCUAGUGCCGGUCACGGGCUCACAGCUGGGGUGGUGACAAAUUAUCUAUUUAUUCUACUGAAAUUUAUAUUAACUAUGUAAAAAUUAAACAAUAUGCAUAUAUGUUAGCGGACUCGGCAUUGGUCGUUGGAGUCUGAUCGAUUAUCCAAUGAAUCUAAUAGACUCGUAAUGAUACAUAGAUCAUGAAUCCAAUGUGAUCCUUCAUUCAAGUUACCGAUCAACUCUGAAAUAGUCAAACAGUUUUGGCUAUCAAUUUUUCAAGAGAGUCAUAUCACUAUAAAACUGGUGUAGAUAGAAAAUUUAUAAGGAGAAUUUAUUAUUCUCUAAUUACUUAGAACACGUCACAAUUAGAUGAAAUCCGUUACAAAUCAAACUAGCUUUGUUUUCUCUCUCUACUGCGUCUCAUCAUCCCCAGUCAAAGUAGAGGCCGCCAUGGUCAUCACUUGAAAGCUCAUUAUAAGAUGAGUCCAAUGCCACUAGUUCUAAUAACCGGCCUACUAAAGGAAGGAGAUCCGCUAGUUGGAAUUUUUAAUCUUCUAAACUUACUCCUCCAUACGUUGCCCACAAUCGCCAAGUGGUAACAGCAAGGUCACUUAGUGACUGUGGGCAGCGUAUGGAGGGGUAAGUUUAGGACACUAAAACUUCCAAUUGGUAGAUCUCUCUCCUUUAGUAGGGCCAAUGACUGGAACUAGUGGCAUUGAACUCAUCUUGUCAUGAGCUUUCAAGUGAUGAUCCUGGUAGCCUUUACAUUGAUCAGAGAUGACGAGACACAGUGGAGAAAGAAAACGAAGCUAGUUUGAUUUUAACGGAUUUCAUCCAAUUCUAAUGAUGCAACCAAGGAUGCAUCUAAGUCAACUAGCAUGGAUCCACUAGCCUAUGGAGGACCAAUGACACGAGCAAGGAGUAAGAAGUUCAAGCAAGCCUUAAAUUCUUACUUGGAGCAUGUUUUGAAGAUGGCUAAUGAUGGUGCUUUUGAUGAUGAUGCCUUGAAGAUAGUGACAUUAAUUGCUAUUAAUGAAAGAGCAAAAAUUUAGGCAGAAGAUCAUUUUCAGUAAAGCCUGACCACGCCUUACAAUCCAUGAGCUGCUGGAACCUCAAAAAAAGUGUUGAAUUUUUCAAGAUAAAUUCGUGGUGGACCGAUUUUUAGUUAAUUUCCUCUAUUUUUGGAAGUACUGGAUAAAGAGAACUUUCUCCCAUGAAUUUAGAAUUUUAAUUUUUUUAGAUUACUCUUUAUCUUAUCCUUCCUUAUAGGGAUAAGAUCAGCCGCAUAUUAGGAGUCUUUUAUGGUUUGAUUUUUAUUCCUUAUUUCUUAGUUCUUUUUAGGGUUAGAAUCAUUUCAAAGACUCUAUGAAUAGAGCUAUGUAUUUCGGCCAAAGGCAUUAUAUUUUAUAAGAUCAAUAUAUCAUUUUGAAUGAAGUUUAUUUUCCUUGAGUUGUUAACUCUUGAAUUUCUUGAGAUUAAAUUAACUUGUUUAGUUUAAUUUCACAUCUACAUGUUUGAUCAAUCAAUUAAAUUUUUAUUAGUUUCUUGAGUUGUUUGAACAUUCUUCAUCUAUUUAUAACUAAAAGGGCUUAGUAGUUCUAUUGCUAAGUUUGUUAAUUCCAUAAUCAAUUACAAACUUUCAAGUUAGAUUUUGGAGCGAUAAUUCAAACUUAUUGGUAAUGGUACUUCCUCUUAAAUGGAGAGAGCGUUUAUUAGUUGAUUAUCUCACCAUUGCUUAUCUUGGUGUUUGAACGUAUCCAGUUCGAGUUCGUAUCAGACGUGCUUUGGGUAAUCAAAGAACAAUAAAAUCUCCUCCUCAUAAACUUUCUAUCUACACCAGUUUUAUAGUAGUCGGACUCCUUUAAUAAAUUGAUGUCCAAAAUUGUUUGACUAUUUCAGAGUGAUCGGUAACUUGAAUGAAGGAUCAUACAUUUGAUUUGUGAUCUAUGUAUCAUUACAAGUCUAUUAGUAUCAUCGAAUAAUCAAUCGGACUCACUCUGAAGACUAGCACCAUAUCCAUUAACAUAUGGUAUAUGAAUUAUAAAACUUAUAACAAGGAAUUAGAGUAUUUAAUUAUAUAUAAUUAUUGGUUGAUAAUUAAUUAUAUUAUUAAUAUUGUUAAACUCCUAUUAAUUAAAUGAGUUGAAGACUAAUCAGUGGAUAAGGUGGUACACCGGGUAGCUGACAAGACUCUAAGACUAUCAUGAUUGAAGAAAGUGUAGUGGACUCGGCUCUAGACUACCUUGCUGAAUUUAUGUGAUUCUUAAGGAUUUAAGCUAGUUAUCAAGACUCAAGAGGGAGCCAUGUAACAAUGAGUCUUGGUCUUGUCCACUAUUUAUCAAUCAUCCAUCUUCGAUCACCCUAUAUGCAGAAAUUACAUAAUUAAAUUUAUAAUUUCAUCUAUUUUGACAAUUUUAUUUUGAUUAAAGUUUUUUAGUUAAAUAUCUUAAAUCUAAUUUUUUUUACAUUUAAAAUAGUUGUUUGAGAGUUCAGUUUAAACAUAAGAAUUGAUUGGGAAAUUACUAAAAAAAUAAAUUUUGUGUAACAUUUAUAUAAAUAUAUAAAUGGUUUUAAUUAUAAGACAGCUACUAAAUGGAAUUGCAGAACGUUUUUACACUAUUUUUCUAAUUAAAAACAGAAAUUUUAAUAUGCCAAUAAAAAAAUUAUAUUAAUUAUGUAAAAUUAAUUAAGUAUUUAAAUUUAUAUUGAAAUAAUUAAGAUUACUUAUUGUAGUGAAAUAAUCUAAUGAAACAUAUAUUUUGGCUUUCUUGAUUUUCUAGUUCUCCAACUAUAGAGCUUCUAGUCCGUCCAUAUAAAGAAAUAGAAGCAACAUUGUAGAGAUUUGAUUUUCUCCUUUAUCAAACCCUUUUACCAAAACCAAUUUUUAGAUUUAUUUUUUCUUAUAACCAUCAAAAUCUCAAGAGUGUUUUUUUUAAAGACUACAUUGUAUUAUCCGCAUAAACGAUAACUAAUAUAUAUAUAUAUAAAUAAAUUAAAACUUCUUUUUAACUUUUACUUUUUGCCUCUUUUUAAUUUAUUUAUAUAUAUAUAAAAAUAAAUUAAAACUUCUUUUAACUUUUACAUUAAUAUAUUUAUAUAUAUUAAUGUAAAUUAAUUAUUUCAUUUAACCAUUUAACUAAAAUAUAAUUAAUUCUGGCAUAAAUUACUAACACCAUCAAGAGAAGCUAGCAUAGUGCAAGAGAUUACAGAGGUAAGGUAGUAUUCUGCAUGGCCACAAAACUGUCCCUUCGAUAUGGUGCUUAUAAUUGACUAGAACUGGAAAGCUUGCACACUUUGCAGGAUGCAGUUUUUGGCAAACUCUCAGCUCUUUUUAUCUCAUUUGCUAUUUUCUCCUUUUUUUUUUUUGGUCACACGAUGUAAUAAUCUUCACUAUAACCUCUCUCCCAUUUACAAGGCAAAGCAUAUGGUUGCUCGGCUGGUUAAAUGCUAUUAAUAAAAAUAGUAAUUCAUUAUUUUUAACAAUAAGGCACAAAGAUUUCUUGAUUUAUCAUGCUAUUGCUUUAGGAUUAUAUACAACCACAUUGAAAUAAAAAAAAAAAUCGCUACUUUAAACCGUAAAUACUAAAUCGCUACUAUGGAUUGUCGUUAAUUAUUAAAAUUCAUUGAGGAACAUGAAUUUUGCGACUGCUAUCUCAGAAUCGCUGCAUGGAAAAGAGCCAUUGUAACUUUAAAAAUUGCGGCCGCAAUUUAGCAAGCGCGUUCAAUAUUGAGCAAGCGCAACCACUAUUCUUCAGUUGUGACUGCAACAGCUCUGACAAUGCGUUUUUGCACUAGCUUGAGCUAAAAAAAAGAAGAUUGGUAAGAGUUAUGUGAGUAAUGGUUCAUUGGUAGUUUGGAACUAUAAAUACUCCCUAGAAUAUUUAUGAAUGAUGAAAAACCUCACAUUACACAAUUUAUUGAUCCUUUAAUUCUCACAUUUGUAUAUCAUUUUUAUCUUUAUAAAAGGUUGUUGUAAAGGUUUAAGUGUUAGCCUUAAACAUUUAGAUGGGUUUGAUAGUUAGCUUAGUAAUAAAAACUCUUGUAAGGAUUUGAGUGUGACCUACAAAUACUUAAAAAAAAGUUUGAGAGUUAGCAUGGAUAAAAUAACUUUUGUGAAGUUUGUUGUGAGCCUAGACACUAAGUUUGAGAGUGAGCUUGGAAAAAAUUCUCAGAUAUAGGUUUGAUGUGAGCUUGUAAAAUACUUGAGUUCGAUCUUUCACCCGCAAAAAGAAUCAGCAAUAAUAAAAUACCAAUUGAAAAUUGAGGAGUAUAUGUAGGGUUAGUUAAUAUCCAAACUAUUAUAACUCUUUGGUGUUGAUUUUUCUUCCAUCUUUAUCUAAUCUCUUGAGCAAAUUUUAAUUACCUAUCAAUCUUUUAAACACCAAUUCAACCCUUCUUCUUGGUGCAUCUAGGUCAAACAUGAAAUAAGGAUACUAAAGUUAUUUGCUUUAAAAUAAAAGGACACUAAAGAUACUACUAAUAAUAAGAAUUUAAUUAUAAUAUCCAAAAUAAGCUUAAUAGUAAUCUAUUUUACAUAUUAUUUUUAUUCUUUAUUUGUAUUUCAUACUAAUAAUUAAAAACUAAAAUUCGACCUAAUUUCAGUCACUAAUAAAUUUUUAUUGAGUCAAACGUAAACAGUAACAUGUUCGAAUCGGCUUUUGUAAUUUUCACUCAAAAUACAUUGUUAGGAAAUAUCCUAAUAUAGAAGGUGAUACUCAUGUAUGCUUUUAUAGAUGCUAGGAUAGUUAUUAUAUUUAUUUUUAAUAUAUAAAUUAAUAUUAAUAGAAGAUAUUUAACAUAUAUAUCGUUUGAAAUUAUAAUAAUUUAGAUAAAAAUAGAUAAGAUAAUUAUUAUAUAAGAUAAAAUAAGUUUAGUUAUAAAAUAUGAAUAUAAAAUUAAUUUAUAAAUACAAUAUAUAAUUUAUUAAUAGAAUAUGUAAUUAAAUGCUGUAUAAAGUACGAGUAUUAAAUUAAUUUUGUUAAUAGUUUCAAGUCCUUAAUUUAUAAAAGGUACAAAAUAACUUCUUAUGCAGGUAAUAAUAUCUGCCACUUUCACUGGGUUUGGAAGGAUCAUAAAAUAGUAUUACUAUAGUCAUCUAGAAUAUAUAAUAUUUGAAGAAUGAAAAACUAUAAAUUAUAAAAUUAUUUGAAGAAUGAAAAUCUAUAAAAUUAUUUAAAAAAAUAUUAAUUAACUUAAAAGUAAUUUAAAUAAUUAAAAUACUUGUUAAAUAGGGAGUCCUCAAUUAAAUGUACUUGUAGGUUUAUGCUCUAGCAAUGGAGCCGGACGGUUCCGCUUCAUACUUUUGAUUCUAGCUAGUUCUAACUAAUUUUUUUUUAAAAAGAAAUUAAUUAAUUAAUUUUUUUUUUUUUUUAUGAAUUGGAGUUAUAUUUGAUAUUUCUGGUUCCAGCUCAGGAGAAACUAAUCUUAAAUUAAUUUUCUGAUUCUAAGCCGAUUUCAAUUUUCUUUUAACUAAUUUAAUUUAAUUUAUUUAAUUUAUAUUUUUUAUCUAAAUAUUAAAAAUUAAUAUCAAUAAUAUUAAAAUUUAUAAAAUAGAAAAAUAAAUAAAUAAAAUUAUCCUUAAAUUCUCUCAUUCAAUUUAGGAAAGAAAGAAAUAAAUUUACCUUAUUUUUUGCAUUGGGCCAACCAACUAAGAAUUCUUUUUACAUUCUUUUCUCUAUUCUUUCUUUUAGUGUUUAGUGUUUCAACGUUUCGAAUUUAAGGUUCUUGAUUAGAUAUAUAUUUAUACAUCGGUACAUUAGCAUAUUAAUAGCUCUUCAAUCAAUAGAUAAAAGAUAUUUCUACAACUUAGUUAAUAUAUAUUUUGUUUUAUGUGAAAAGUUAUUUUUUUUAAUUUUCCGUCUGAAAAAAAUGAAAAAAUAAAAUUUGUAUGAUAAACUAUGAUUAGUUUAUUUAUAUUAUAAAUAACUAAUAAUAUUAGCAUCUUUAUAUUAGCAUCAAAGUUUGAAAGAGACGUUUUUUCGUUGGAAGUUUAAAACAUUGCCAACCCUACCAUGAAAAAGCUGAUGAUAGAGCUUUUUCUAACUCGUGCAUUUUGCUCCGUCUGUUUCAUAGAAAAUAUAUUCUAGAAAAGCAUUUACAAUUUCUUUUUUGUUUAUGAAAAGAAAUUUGGGGUCAAAACAAUUCAGCCAUUUUCUAAAAACAACGAUAUUUUACGUUAAAAAAUAGAAAACAGCCAUUUUCUAUUCAUUGGUGAUAUUUAAAAUAUUUUUCAAAAAACUAAUAUAUAUAUAUAUCCUUUCACAUAUUAAUUAUCCUAAAUCACUUCCGAUGAUCUUUAACGACCUCUAAUAAUACGUAUCUCAUGUUGGUCCUGAGACAAUCAUUAAAAAUAUACUUAAUAAUACAGUAAAAUCUUUUUAUAUUCAUGCACUUGAAAUUAAAUAAAAUUUAUCAUUAUGAGGAUAUUAUAAUUUAAUGGAGGUUUGAAUACUAAUCUUUUUUUACUUUAAUACUUAUUUUUUUGGUGAAAUAAUAGCAACUAGAAAUAAAGCACGCUAAUAUCUUGUCAUAUUAUACAAAUAUGAUUAAUGAGACAAAAAAUAAUACAGUAAGAUAAAAAAUAGCAUAUAUUUUUAAAAUAUAUAUAUACAAAUAUUAUUAUAUAAAGAAAGAUUUUUUAAGAUGAGAUUUAAAAAUUUAUAACUUAUUACGAUAUAAAAUUUAUUUUUCUUUAUAACUGGUUCAAAUUAAGAUAGAUUUUUUUUUAAUAAAUUCUCAUCUUAAAAAAUAUCUAUACGGUACUUUUUAUAAUGAAUCAAAAGUUUAAUACAUUUUUGUUAUAAAGUGUAAAACUUAUUGAUUAUAUAUGUAAUUUACUCUCUAGAUGUGCCGGAUCAGUAUUAUUAAAAUUAAAAUGUAGUAACUAUUUAAUUAUAAAUAAAAAAUUUGAUAUCCUUUUAUCAUAAAGUAUAAAAUUUAGAGACCACCAAUAUAAUUUAUUUGAUCAACGCGAGCCUGUGUCUUUCUUAAAGAUGAUUGGUUUGAGCUAUACGAUGUAGAAUAGAAAUGUGAGCUUGAAGACAUCCUCUACGUUUUGAAAUAGUACGAGAGCUUUAGGCUCGAGAUGGAUCUAGGAAUUUAUUUUCUGUUUAAAAAGCUCAAAUGUAUUGAGAAAAAAUAGAUAAAACGACAUCUUAUAUUUCUAAAGAAACUGGGUUGGAAUUGGGUUAGGCUAGGUUUUAGGAUAGAGAUUUGGUUUAAAUGGUUUUAUGAUUAGGAAAAAAUUUGUCAAUUUUUCAAAAUAUGUAUCAAUCUAAUAUUAGGUGUUGAUUGGUCCAAAUUGUAUAUAGAUAUUUAAAGGUAUUUUAGAGAUUUAACGGUAUAUUUCUAUAUAUAAUAUGAUGUAAAUAUGUGUUCUUACCACACUUUAGUUUUCUUAUUUAAUUUUAGAAAAUAAUCGUCAAAGAUGAGAAUUUGAGCUAAAAACGCACUAAUGGGCUUUAAUUGAACUUCAGCUGUAAAAGGCUCGGAAAUCAGACAUAUGGGCUAUCAAUAGGUUGGGUUUAGCUGAAUUCAUUAAGGCCCAAGAAGGAGGAUUUAAGUAAUUAUGAUGUAAUUAGUGGAUAAUUAUCUUUUAAGUUGUUUACUUUGUUUAGGACAGUAAGAAAUAAUUAUAGUAGUUAUAUAUUGAGAAUAGAACUCUAACAAUAGGAUCUCUAUAAGAAAUAGAGAUUAAUUAAAAUGGGAGAGUUUAGCUAAUACUAUUCUCCCUGAAGAAAGGAUUCUACUAGUCUCUGCAGAAAUUUCUAUAGUUCAUCAUUUUCUACAUCUAACUAGUUUUGUUGCAUCAUUCUUUCAAAAAUCAAAGAAGCUUUUUAAAGAUGUGGAGAGAGAGGAUCAAUCUUCUGCAUUUCUUGAAGGGACUUUGAACUUUGAGGGAGUUUUAAUUUUAUGUUUUAUGUAUCUUAUGUCUUUCUAUUUAAUUACAAUGAUCAUCGAAUUAAGUAUAAUAGGUUAAGUUCUAUAAGUGUUUGAUUUGGCUUUUUACUUAUGUAUGAACCUUAUAUAUUAUGAGUUUAAUGAAUAAUUUAUUUCCUUUCAUAUAUGCAUUAGUUUCAUCUACUAUUAUUGGUUGACCACCAUAUCAAUUUAGUAGUAAUAUUUGUUAUGAAAAUCUUUAGGUUAAAUGUAUUAGAAACAUCAUCUUUAUUUUAAUUUAUAUUGGUAUAAGAAACCUAAGUUGCAUCAUUAGCUUGAGUGACUUAGAGAAAAAUGUAUAUUGCCAUUUCAUUUGUUAGAUUUGGACUUAAGGGAAAUAAGGGGAUUAUUAAAUAUAAACUAGACUAAAUGCUAUUUUAUCAUAUAGUUAUUAUUAAUCAUUCUAGUUGCAUAUUUAUUUUCUGGUUAUUUAAUUUCUUUUAUAAAUUUUAAUAUCAUUCUCAGAACAUUAACUUAGAGUGUUUAUAUUUAUUUUUAGUAUUUUGUGUGAUAGUUGAUCUUUAUAAUAUAUGUUCUACAAUUGUGAGAUCGACCUCGUAGUGAGCUUGCCCAAACUAUCAUUCAGCUCAUAUAUUUGCGAGUACUAAUUUAGACACAUCAAGUUUUCGGUGUCGUUGCAGGGGAAUUAUGUCAAUAUUAUAUUCAUUAAUUGUCGGGUAGUGUUUCUUGUGUUUUUGUAUGUUGCAUGUUAUUUAUCUCUGUUUUAUUUUUAAAUUCCGUUCUUAAGUUUUUAAAUUUGAAAUUUUUUCUUUGAUUUUGUAUACCUAGCAGGAAAACGAGAUCAGGUGAUUCAUAAACUCAAAAUUCCUACAAUUUGAUAUCAACUGUUAAAAAGGAAAAAGGAGACCAAUAGGUAGAGAGUGAGUUUGUACCUCCAAGAGAAGAAGAAUUUAAAGAAAAGCUAGAACAAGGGUUCGAAGGAGAAGUUGAGAUAAUGACUAAUGACCAAAGAGAAGUUGCAGCUCAAAGGCAAAUGGCUAUGAAGGACUAGGCUUGUCCUAUAAUUGGGUAACACUACUUCAUGCAUAAUUUUAGGUGAUGCAUCUAGGAAUUAUAAACUAAAGAAUAUCCAUUUUAAUAUGCUUUCGUCAUUUUAUGGUAUUGCCUAGUGAGGAUGCAUUGACAUUCAUUAUAGAGUUUUAUGCUAUAGUUCAUACAUUCCCAUUACCUCGACUCAAUGAGGACCAAUUAAAGAUGAGAUGUUUUCCUUACUCAUUAAAAGACAAAGCAAAGGCUAGGUUAAUGACUUUACCUCCUAAUUUUUUAAGAACUUGGAAUAAAGUUUAUAAAAAAUUUAUGAGUAAAUUUUACUCAUGUCAAAAGACUAGAAAAUUAAGGGCUGAAAUUUUUAACUUUUAUCAAAAGGAUAUUGAAUCCUUUCAUGAAGCAUGAGAUCGAUUCAAAUCACUUUUACAACAAUGUCCACACCAUGGAUACCCACUUUCUAUGACCAACCAAUCGCUCUAUGGUAGUCUAACACAAUAAUAUUAAUGUAUGGUUGAUAAUUCAGCUGGGGGUGCUAUGGUAGAAAGAACUGUUGAUUAGAUUUAUGACAUCUUUGAGGUGUUAUGAGCCAAUUGACAAUAAAAGAGUCUAAGAACAAAAAGAGUAGGAGUGAAUGAAGUUGUGUCUAAUAAUGGGAUGGCUAUGCAAAUAGCUGAAUUAACUAAACAAGUUAGGAUUCUUGCUUCAACUGAGAAUGUACAAAGCAAUAAGGUAUAUGGUAUAUGUGGUGUUUAUGGUCACGUUGCUAACGUUUGUUCGUCUUAUGAGACUUGUGCAGGAGAUGAUUAUGUACAUGUUAAUUUCAUAGAAUUUUAUCAUCCUAGGCAACCUAGAAAUAACCCAUACUCCAAAACUUAUAAUCCAGGAUGGAUGAAUUAUCCAAAUUUCUCCUAGAGAAAUAACGAUCAUAAUCAACCACAAAUACUGAGAAAUCAAAACCAGUCCCAGUAUCAGAAUCAAGAGCCUCAAUACCCAAGGAAUCAAAACCCUCAAUUCCCCAUCAAGGACAAGCCCUUCAAAGAAAACCAAGUUUGGAAGAAAACUCGAAUCUUGUAUGACAGCUACCCAUGAUAGAAUGGAAAGGAAUGGGAAGAAAACUAAUUCCAUAAAAGCUUCAAUGAAGUGAUUAAAAAUUCAAGUUAGGUAAAUUGAUGAAGCCGUAUGAGAAAAUAAGAAAGAGAAAUUGCCAAGUCAACUUGAGCAAGCUAAAAAGCAAUCGCUGUUCUUAAUGAUGGUGAGUUAUUUGAUAAUGUUGAAAAUUAAUUGAGAAAAAUAUUCUUACUCAGGUACAUCAAAAGAAGAUAGACUAGUUAAUGUAGAAAUAAUUGAAGGAGGCUUAUAAAAAGAAGAAAGAGUAUAGCCAAAUCUUAGGUAAAAAGAGAAAGACAAUAAGACUUUUUAGGACCUAAGUUUCAUAAAGCAGCUGAACCUUAUAAACCUCCUAUUCCGUUUCCAAACAGAUUGAAAGAAAGAAAACAGGAUAAACAAUUUUCUGAGAUUUUUGAUAUGUUUUCUAAGGUUAACAUUAAUUUACCCUUGUUGGAUGUGAUUAGGAAUAUUGCUAGCUUAAGCAAAAAAUUUUUAAGGAACUUAAUUCCAACAAGAGGAGAUAUGGGAACAAUGAAAAAAGUUAUGGCAUCUAAAAUAGCAAGUGUAAUUCUCCAACAAUAAUUACCUCCUAAGAUGAAAGACUUUGUGAGCUUUACUACUGAUAUUACAAUGGGAGAUAAAAAAGUUGCUAAAGCCAUGUUGGAUUUGGGAGCAAGCAUCAAUUUGAUGCCAUAUUCAAUAUGUGCACAACUUAGUUUAGGAGAAUUGAAGCCAACUACUAUGUCUCUGUAACUGGCUGAUAGGUCAAUUAAGUAUCCAAGAGGCAUAGUGGAAGAUUUGCUGAUUCAGGUAGGAAAACCGAUAAUCCCUACUGACUUUGUGGUUCUUGACAUGGAAGGUACAUCGGCAAGGGAUAAGGAGCAAACAAUACUCCUUGGUAGACCUUUCAUGGCAACUACUAAGACAGUUAUUAACGUGCACAAUAGGAAGCUGACUAUGACAGUUUUGGUAGAGAUUGUAGAAUUUAAAGUGUUUAAUUCUUUAACUAUAUCUCCUAACACUUCAAUUGAUGAGUUCAUAUGUUGAUUGUAUAGAUUAUUUUAUUUAUAAAACAUAUUUACAGGAUAAGAAUGAUAAGUUAGAAGUCGUAUUAACAUUAGAAAAGCAUGAAGAAAAUUUAAAUAAAGAAGUCUUAGACUUACAUGAUAGUUAGAUGAAGCUAUUCUAUUGUUACCUGAUGAAAAUACUAUCGAACCUUUAGAUUCACCCAUUGGAAUCAAAUCAGAAACUACUAAUAGACCACCUAAAGUUGAGCUUAAGGAGUUGCCUAACAUACUCAAAUAUGUCUUCUUAGGAGAAAGGAGUAUGUAACCAGUGAUCAUAGCCUCUGAUCUUUCUCCUUCAGAGGAAGAGGCAACUAUUAGAGAAUUGAAAAGACCUAAAAAAAACUAUUGGGUGAGAAAUUUCUGAUAUUAAGGGGAUUAGUCCAACAAUGUGUAUGCAUAAAAUUAUUUUAGCAAACAAUUCUAAAGCUGUUAGAGAUACACAACGAUGACUUAAUCAUAACAUGAAAGAAGUUAUAAGAAAAAAAAAAUCAGAAGUUAUUGGAUGAGGGUAUUAUAUACCCUAUAGCUGAUAGUAAUUGGGUAAGCCAUGUUCAUGUAGUGCCUAAAAAGUCAGACACAACAGCUGUUAAAAAUGAAAAGGAGGAAUUAGUCCCCACAAGAAUGACAACAGGAUGGAGAAUGUGUAUUGAUUAUAGAAAUUUAAAUGUUGCAACAAAGAAUGAUCAUUUUCCUCUUCCUUUUAUUGAUCAAAUAUUAGAGCGUUUAGCAAGAUAUGAAUUUUAUUGUUUUCUUGAUGGACUUUCAAGAUAUUAUUAGGUACGCAUUGCAUCUGAAGAUAAAAAAAAAAAAAAAAGACAACUUUCACAUGUCCCUUUGGAACUUUUGCAUUUAGGAGGAUGCAUUUUGGGCUUUGCAAAGCUCCAGCAACAUUCCAAAGAUGUAUGCUUUCUAUUUUCUCUGACAUGUUGAAGAUAAUAUCGAGGUAUUUAUGGAUGAUUUUUCAGUUUUUGAUUCCUCAUUUGAUGCAUGUCUAAGCAAUCUGAUUCGUAUUCUCGAGGUCUAAUUCACUCUUCCACUGCUGUAAACGAGUCAAAACAACAAGCAUAGAAACAAUAAUUAAGAAAUCGAGCCAUGAAAAAGAUUCAACAAAAAUUUAUUUUAGCCAUCUAACUAAUGAUUUAAGAUAAAUAUUAAAUUUUAAUAGAGCUCUUUUACUUUUCAGACCAUAAAUUAUAUAUUAAAGAAAAUAAAUAAAUAAGAUAAAAAGUAAUUUUGUAAUUUUAGUAAAAACUGAUGGCAAUAUAACUAAAAAUUAGACGAAAAUACCUUCUAGCAUAAUAUGAAAAAAGAGAGAUUUUAAAAAUUGAGGUCUUGAUUAACGUAAUAUUAUAAACCCCAAGAAAAAAUUAGUAUUAGAGAUAAAUUAGAUUGGAGGUACUAAAUUAUGCAUUUUGUAACAAAAAUUUAUUAAAUUUUUAAUAUAACUAGAUGGUCACUAAACUUUAAUUUUAAUAACAUUGAUAAUUUUUUCAAAAAGUGUGAGGAUUACAUUAGCAGUUACCAAACUUUACACUUUCUAACAAAAAAAUAUUAAAAUUUUAAUUUUAAAAGAUACAUGACCGGUGCUUUUCUUGUAACAAAUUAAAGGUUUAAUAUAUUUUUGUUACAAAAUGCAAAAUUUAGUGACUGUCCAUAUAAAUUUACUAUCUAAUUGCGACGAAGAAUUCUACUAGUGUUACUAAAAUUAAAAUUUAGCAACUAUUUAAUUAUAAAUCAAAUAUUCACUAUAUUUUUAAUACAAAAUGUAAAGUGUAAUAAUCGCCAAUGUAAUUUACUGAUAACAUUACCCAAAAUAUUUAUUUGUAUACCAAAUGAAAGAAACUGCAACUUAAAAUCGAUAAUAUUUCUUAUACAUCAGUUAUGGUAAAAACAUCGCAUUUAACAUCAUCCCUUUGCAAGGUUGGUUUCAGUAGAUUUCUUAAUUAAUCACAAUUUUUUCACAAACCAAGACUUUAUUAAAGCAGAAUUUGGGUAAGGUACCCAGUAGAAAAACUGACCAACCAUAUCAACAAAAAAUGGAAAAUGAAUCGCUACAAGAACAAAAAUAAUAUAAAACAUAAAACGCACGCGAUAAAGUCACUCUCUUGUAACAGUUGCCUUUGCCGAGUUGUCUGCAUAUUUUCAAUACUUAUAAAUUAGUCUAAUAUGUUUAAUUUGGAAGCAUGCAUGUGAUUAUGCCGGGUACAAAUUUGCAGGCAAACGUGGCUUUGCGAGUGCAACUAAUGGUUUGGCAAGUUCCAAACUAUUCUUAGACUCUGAAAGAUCAAUGCUUGUCUCAUUAGGGGGCACGCUCCAGCUAAACCCUUGAAGAAGCCUAGCAAAUAACAUAACAGUCAUUGCAGUUCCCAACAUGAUGCCUGGACAACCUCUUCGUCCUGUACUAAAUGAAAGCAAGUUCAAAUCAGGCUGCGUCAGCAUCACUUGACAUCCACUUUUCUUGAAAUGACGCUCUGGUUUGAACAUGUGUGGUUCAUCCCAAAUCCGGGGAUUCCGGCCGAGGCCGACUCGGCUAAGCAAGACAUGGCUACCUUUCGGAAUAAAAUAGUUAGCAACAGUUGUAUCUGCUAUGGAGACAUGAGGAAGAUUGAAGAAGACAAUAGGGUGGAGGCGAAACGCUUCUUUAGCACAUGCUUUUAUGUAAUUGAGCUGUGGAAAAUCUGCCUCUUGGACUAGUCUCUCCCUUCCAACAACUCUAUCCAAUUCUUCUACUGCGUUCUCAAGAAGUUUCGGUUUGUUUAUCAUCUCUGCAAGUGCCCAUUCUAUAGCAUUUGAUGGAUUAUCCACUGCUGCCAGCAUUAUUUCCUGCAAAAAUUGAUAGGUGAUAUUUAGCUUUGUUGAAAUCAGUUGGUGGGAACUAUAGUAAUUAAAAUGGAAGAUGCAAUAAAUUUGAAUCUUAACCAACAUAUUGCCGAACUGAAAAUGAUGAACUGAGCUUCUUGCAAGAAAAGAACAUGCAAAUGGAAUUUUCCUUAAUUCCAUUUCAACAAUCAGGCAGAAAAAAUGUUAUAUUUGAGAUAUGUUGUAUAUGUUGGACAACUUUUAUGGGGGAGAAGAAGUAGAUAAACAUAAUAAACUAUUUCUAUAAUUAAAGUACACAAGACACUUUAUCUCUUAACAAGAGAUAGCUUUCCACCCCUAUCUCUUAACAAGAGAUAACUAUUUCUAUUGUAAGUUAUUUAUAAUAGCACUUGUAUAAUUUUUCACUUACAAAUUUAACUAGUGAUAUUCAUAGCACUUAAUAAUCUAACCUUUCAUAUACUUAGAGCUUUAGCAUAACUAUAGACUCUCUUUAACAACUAAUCACUCUUAAAACAAUAGUAGCAAAUAUUGAAGUUUACAUUCAAUAGUAUGCAUCUGAGAUAGAGUGAGAGAGACAGAGCUUACAGUAAUCUGAGCUUUAAUCUCUUCCAUUGACAGCAACGAGUUGCCAUUGGCAUCUUCUAAAUGUAUGAAAACGUCAAGCAAGUCAUCCACUUCCUUCUUAGUGCCAUCCCUCCAUUGUUCGAUCCUCGCUUCAAUUAUGGGAUCUUGAUAUUUUUUUAUGAUCCCAAUAGCAUCCUUCAUGAUCUUCUCAUGACCAUCCAAGUCAAGCCCUAUCAAGCAUGGCAUAUAAUCAGACACACUAAAUGCAUAGGUAUGAGCAAGGGCUGUUAAAAUCGCAUCAACAUGCUCUUUUUCCUCGACACCAGGCCCUCCGUCCUUCAUUCCCUCCCCGAAGAACCUUUUGUUAAACACCAUCUUCCUUAUUACAUUUCCACAAUAGUGCCGUCCAGUGAUUCUCACGUCAACUGAUCCACCUUCCUCGGCAGUCUUGCAUUGGUUAUACACAUAACGAACAAGGUGAUCAGCUUCUUCAAGUCUUUUUCCGUAAAACCACUUAUAUUUUUCCGCAGAAAGAACUUGCGUUACCAGCACUCUCUUCAUUUUCUUCCAUUGUUCUCCUAAGGGCACAAGANNNNNNNNNNNNNNNNNNNNNNNNNNNNNNNNNNNNNNNNNNNNNNNNNNNNNNNNNNNNNNNNNNNNNNNNNNNNNNNNNNNNNNNNNNNNNNNNNNNNNNNNNNNNNNNNNNNNNNNNNNNNNNNNNNNNNNNNNNNNNNNNNNNNNNNNNNNNNNNNNNNNNNNNNNNNNNNNGUUCAUUUCUUUCAUGAGCUUGUGUAUCCAUCGAAAGGUCGGCUUAUUGCUAGCAUCGUUGGCAGGCAUCCGACAAGAGGCCAAGGUUUUGGGCCAGGAGGUAGUAGGAGUUGCUUGGCCUUUUGGCUUUCUAGCUUUUGGAAUUUCGUCAAGUAAAUUAAGGCCAACGCCAAGAGAAGAACUAGGGAACAGGAGCUCAACAAUGUUCUGAGAAAGCCAAUGCCAAUUCCGGAAAAAUCUGGAGUGCCAUGAAGAGAAGCUAGCCCAGUGCAAGAUAUUACAGAGGUAGCGUUCUGCAUGGCCACAAAACUGUCCAUCGACAUGCUGCUUCUAUUUAAUAGAACUGGAAAGCCUGCAUACUUUGCAGGAUGCUUUUCUAGCAAACUCUCAGCUCUUUUAUCUCAUUUGCUUUUUUCUUUUCCUUCUUUUUUUGUUUACACAAUGUAAUAAUUAACUCUAUAACCUCUCCCAUUUAUAGGGCUGAAUCCAAAAUCUACGAUGUAAUUCAAUAUAGCAAUGCAAUAGAACGAUUUGUUACAUCUGAAUAAUACAGGACGCGUGAUCCGUAUUUAUACUUGUAUCUUAAUAACUCUACUGUAUAUACCAUAUAUUUGAGCUUUUAUUUAUACAUUUAUCCAAAUCAUAUAUUAACUAUAUAUUAAAUCUUCUUCUAUUCAUUUAUACAAACCAUUUACACAUUAUGGAAUUCAAGUUUAGUUUGGCCACACAACAUAUAUUAUUAUUAUUUAAGGUAUCAUUUUUAUUUUCUUUUGAUUUCAUAACUAACCUCGUUUAUGCAUUCAUAUAUAUAUACAUGUCUAAAAUAAUAUUUCAUAACUAUUCUUGUAAUCUGAUCGCGUUUGAUAAGCGAUUAUAAAAAAAAUUAAAAUUAAGAUAAAACGAGCUAAAGAUAUGAAAAAGUAACUGAUGAGAUGAAAUACAAGGGCUUUGCAGUGGCAACUUUUAAGUCUCGAAAUUUUUUACCUAAAUUUAGUGUAGGUACUCGCCUAUAUAUUAAAAUAAUAAAUAAUAUUUAUUAAUUUUAAAUGAUAAAAUAUAUGCCGAUUAUUUAAUACUAAAGUAUAAAACACUGAUACAUGUAUAUCACUUUUCUGUUAAGUAUAGUGUAUACAUCAAGUCUAAAUAAAAAUUUUUAGUCUUUUCAUAUUAUUUCCGUAACAGUUUAUGGCCGAUAGAGUUUCGUGUUGUUAUACUAUACAGUCCCAUAAAAAAGAUAAAAAAAAAUAAAUAGUUAGAUGCUGUUUGAACAAAGCCGUUACACGCUGAUGUCACCCAACUAUCUAAUUUGGCUCCUUCGUCAACCACCCACAACCACUGUCCACCUUCAUUGUUGCUAGGGCUAAGUUUGCCAGCAACUCUUCUGCUCCCAACUAGUGUCCUGGCCUCCCUCUCUCUCUCUCUCCUAACCUUCCUUCCUCCCCCUACCCGUUUCCUUUUUAUUCUUCUCCCUUUUCGUUUUUUACUCACCCCUAGUUAUUUACCCUUAAACCCCUAACUUGUAUUUAUCCUUUCAAUUAAGCCACUAAUUUGUUAAAUUUGGGCUAAAUUAGUUACAAUUAUUAAAACAUGAAAAAUAUUUUGAUUUAGUGUGACACCUUUACAUCUAAAUCCCAUAUUUAAAUCAAACUUUUAUUUUAACCCCGUUUUAUAUAAAUAAAUAUUAGUUUAAUCCAAGUACUUAGUUAAUUUACUGGAUCAAAUUCAUUAAAAUCUAAAUACUCAAAUAAUUACUAUUGUUAUAGCACUGUAAAUACCAAAAUUAAAUCCUUUAUUAAGUCCCAUUAUAUUAUUUAUUUAAAUAAUACACCUUACCUAAAUCAAAUAAAUAAAUUCCAUAAAUAUCUCAUUAUUAUUAAUACUAAAGAUAAACAAUUAAAUAGCACUUUAAUUUUAGGUUACUAAUAGGUUGAUAUUAUGUAUAUAUAAUUAAGGCUUUUAGUGAUUUAUUGGUAUGUUUUAUAUACAUAAUAUGUAAAAAUAUGUACUUAUUAUCUCACUUUAUUUUUAUUAGCUAAUUUCAGAUCAUAAUAACCAAAGAGAGAAAAUAUGAGCCAAGAAUGUAUAAAUAGACUUUAAUUGGAUUGCAGCUGUAAAAGGCUCGGAAUAAAGGCUUAGCUGAGUUUAUCAAGGCCUACGAAAGAAAAAUUAAUUAGUUAUAAUGUAAUUAACAUAAAUUAUCUUUUUUAAGUUGUUUAUUUUAUUUAGGGUAGUUAAGAGAUAACUAUUGCGGUAUUAUGCUUAGAGAAGGACUCUGAAUAAGGAAUCUCUACAAGAAAUAGAGCAGUUAAACAAGGAGAGCAUCAUUCUAUUAUUCUUCUCUCUGUGAAUUUCCUAUAGUCCGCCUUCUAUAACAUUUAGUUAGUUUUGAUCAGAGAAGUUUUUCAGGACGUGGAGAAUGAGGGUCAAUCUUCUUCAUUUCCUGAAGAAUUUUUGGAUUUUAAGAGAGCUUUAAUUUUUAUUUUAUAUUUCUUAUUUCUUUUUAUUUAAUUACAAUGACCUUUGGGUUAAAUAUGUCAGGUUAAGUUCAAUAAGUGUUUAGUUUGGCUUUUUACUUAUGUAUGUACCUUAUAUAUUAUGAGUUUAAUAAAUUAUUUCUUUAUCUUCAUACAUAUAUUAGUUUCAUCUAUUAUUGUUAAUUGACCAUUAUAUCAAUUUAAUAGUAAUAUGUGUUAUGAAAAUCUUUAGGUUAAAAGUAUUAGAUACAUCAUCUUUACUUUAAUCUAUGUUGGUAUAAGAAAUCUACAUUAAAUAUUUCAUUUGCAUUUUUAUUUUGUAGUUUAUUUAAUUUCUUUCGUAAACCUUCAAAAUAUUCUCAAAACAUUGCCUUAGAGUGUUUAGAUUUAUUUUUAUAUUAUAGUUGGUCUUUAUAAUAUAUGCUCUACAGUUUCUUGUGAGAUUGACCUCAUGGUAAACUUGCCCGUACUAUCAUUCGGUUCGUACAUUUGCGAGUACUAAGCUUGAGAAAUCAAGUUUUUGGCAUUGUUGCCGGGAAACUAGGUCAAUAUUAUAUUGAUUAAUUAUCGAGUUAUAUUUCUUGUGUUUUUGUGUGUUGCAUGUUUAUGUGUUUUUGUUUUGUCUUUAAAUUUUUCUUUUUAAGUUUUUAAAAUUUGAAAUUUUUCCUUUGGUUUUGUAUACCUAGCAGAAAAAUAAGAUCAGGUGAUUCAUCAACUCAAAAUUCCUAAAACUUGAGAUCAGCUGUUAAAAAGGCGGAAAGAGACCAAGAAGUUGAGAGUGAGUUUAUACCUUCAAGAGAAAAAUAAUUUGAAGAAAAGUUAGAAUAAGGAUUUGAAGAAGAGAUUGAAAUAAUAGCUAAUGACCAAAGAAAAGUUGCAGCUCAAAGGCAAAUGGCUAUGAAAGAUUAUGCUCGUCCCAUAAUUGGUAACGCUACUUCAUGCAUAGUUCUAGGUGAUGCAUCUAGGAAUUAUAAACUUAAAAAUAUUCAUUUUAAUAUGCUUUCUUCAUUCUAUAGUAUGCCAAGUGAAGAUGCAAAUUUAUUUGGCGAUUUUAUGCUAUAGUUCAUAUAUUUCCAUUAUCUCGAUUAAAUGAAAACCAACUAAGGAUGAGAUGUUUUUCUUAAAUUAUAAUAUUUAAUUGAAUAUAGUGUUAUAAUAUUAUAUUAUAUUAACAUAUUGAAUUAUAUUAAAAUAUUGAAUCAUACUAAAAUUUUAAUAUUGAAUUAUAUUAAAAUAAAAAUAAAACAAAAAUAUUCAAUUAUAUAAUUAUUAUUUUCUUAGAAUUAUUUAAUAUUCAAUAUAGAAUUAUUUAAUAUAUAAUAUAAUUUUAAUUUUAAUUAUUUAAUUAUUUAAUAUAUCCCAUUAUCUCGACUAAAUAAAAACCAGCUAAGGAUGAGAUGUUUUCCUUACUCAUUAAAAGAGAAAGCAAAGGCUUGGUUAAUCAGCUUGCCUUCUAAUUCUUUGAGAACUUGGGAUGAAGUUUAACAAAAAUUUAUAAGUAAAUUCUACUCAUAUCAAAAGAUUAAAGAAUUAAGGGCUGAAAUUUACAACUUUUAUCAAAAAGAUAUUGAAUCCUUUCAUAAAGCAUGAUAUCGCUCCAAAUCAUUUUUAAUGUAAUGCCCACACCAUGGAUACCCACUUCCUGUGACCAACUAAUCAUUCUAUGAUGGUUUAACACAACAAUAUCAAUAUAUGGUUGACAAUGCAGUUGAUGGUGCUAUGUUAGAAAAAAAUUGUUGAUGCGGGUUAUGAUAUUUUUGAGAUGUUAGAAGCCAAUUGACAACAGAAGAGUGUAAGAAUAAAAAAAGUAUGAGUGAAUGAAGUUGUGUCUAAUAAUGAGAUGCUUAUGUAAUAGCUGAAUUAACAAAAAAGUUAAAAUACUUACUUCAACUAGGAAUGUACCAAGCAAUAAAGUAUCUAGUAUAUGUGGUGUUUAUGGUCAUGGUGCUAAAGUUUACUUAUCUUAUGAGAUUUAUGCAGGAAAUGAUUAUGAACAGGUUAAUUUGAUGGAAUGUUAUCAACCUAGGAAUAGUCCAUACUCCAGCACUUACAAUCCAGGAUGGAGGAACCAUCCAAAUUUUUUCUAGAGAAAUAAUGAUUAAAAUCUACCACAAAUAACUUAGGUUGCAUCAUUAGCUUGAGUGACUUAAAGAAAAAGGCACAUCACUAUCUCAUUCAUUAGAUUUAGACUUAAAGGGAAAUAAGGGGAUUACUAAGUAUAACUAAAUGUUAAUUUAUCAUAUAAUUUACAUUAAACAUUUCAUUUGUAUAUUUAUUUUCUAAUUUAUUUAAUUUCUUUUAUAAACCUUCAAAACUUUUCAAAAUAUUAACUUAGAGUGAUUAGAUUUAUUUUAAAGUAUUUUUAUGUGAUAGUUGGUCUUUAUAAUAUAUGCUUUACAAUUUCUUGUGAGAUCGAUCUCGUAGUAAAUUUGUCUAUACUAUCAUUCAAAUCGUACACUUACAAAUACUAAAUUUGAGACAUCAGUCACUUUAUUCAAAAUAAUAAAUCAUAUGCCCAUUACUUGAAUAUAUCAGAUGUGUAUUACUUGAUUAGUUUGAGAUUAUUAUUAUUAUUAUUCCUCUAAUUUGUAUGUACUAAUUUAUUAUUUAUUUUCAAAUAUUAAAUUGUAUAAAAUAUCUAGAUAUUAAGUUGUAGAAAACUCGAGAUGUCAAAUACUAUAUGAGUUACAUUUAUAAAUUUAACAUGAAUGAUAAAUAUAUGUUUCAGUAAAAAUAACAAUUAAGUUUGAACUUUCCUCCAUGUUUGUCAUGAAAAACUGUACACUUGCAAUGGGAAAAAUAAUAUUAUGUGAUUCUUAAGGAUUUAAGGCUUAGUUAUCAAGAAUCAAGAGGCUUGAUCUUGGUCUUGUCCUCUACUGAUCAAUCAUUCACCCCAAUUUAAGCACUUUGCACGUUGUUAUUUCGAAGAAAGAAAAAUUGUACGAUUUUAUGCAAGAAUUUACAACCAGGUAUUUAAGAUCCAUUGAGAUAACAGUCUGCCCCACCGAGCAAUAUUGAGAUAACAGUACACAAUAAGCUUUAUGCGUAUUCAAUAUUGUCCAGAAGACAAUAUAUUUUUUCUGGCACCUCAUAUUUAAAGUGUAAUAUCUUAGAUCACAUAAAUAAAUAUAGAGAAAAUUAUAUUUAUAUAUAAAAAACUGUAACACCCGGAAUUUUUUUUAUAUUUAAUAAUAAAUUUUUAUUUAAGUUAAUUUUAGCUUUAUUUUUAUUCGGUUUAAUUGGAAUGAUUUAAAUACAAAUUUUGAAUGUUCAUGUUAGAUAAAUAAAUGAGUUAUUUUCUAUACCCAAUUAGUUUGAUUUUUAAGAAAUUAUUCAAGUAAAUUAUUUGAGAAAUGAUUAUAUUUUGGUUAUUCAAAAUUUUCCCAAAUGCAUAUUUAUAUAAGUAAAAUUAUAUAUUGGAAAAUUAUGGUAGAAUUGUAAAGGAUGUUUAUAAAAGAAUUUUGAAAAAAUUGGUAUUAUAAUUGAUUAGUAGUAUUAAAUAUUAAGUUGGAAAUUGAUUAUUUAAUUUAAUUGUGUGUAAGGACUAAAUUGAAAAUUUAUUUUGGAAUAAGGAUUGAAAGUAUAAUGUUAUUUUUAUGGGGUUUUAAUGGAAAUUUGUGAGCUUGGUAUUUUUGUAAAUAAAUAUGUCGGUAGGGGUAUUUUUGUAAUUGUGUAUUUUCAAUAAUUCGGUUUUGGCCCAAAUUAAAUAGUUAGGGGCUUAAUUGAAAGGCUAAAAAGAAGUUUGGGGGUUAAAUUGGAAUUCUGCGGGAUGAAAUUGUAAGUAAUUAAGAAAGUUGAGGGACCAAGUUGUAAUAAGGAAACGUUCGAGGGCCUAAUGUCGAUAUUGAAAGAAAGAAAAGAAGGAUCGGGGAAGGAAGAGAGGAGAGAGAGAGAGAGCCGAAGAAGAAGGAGGAGCUGCGGUGGCGUGCGUCGUCGGAGUGGCUUCAGAAGUGCGCGGGCUGGCCGGCGAAGCUGCAGGCGUCAGCGGCGGCAGCGGCAGCGGCACCAGCGGGCGACGGCAGCAGCUCUCGCGCGAGGAGGAAAAUGGCCGAAGCUUCCUUGCCGCCGUGCGAGCGUUUCCGGCGUCGGUGGCUGUUGACCUUGGUGCCGAUCGACUCCUCUCGGCCUCGGCUUUGUUUUGGCGGCGGCGGCGUCGACAGUGGUGGCCGGAAUCGGAAGAUCCGGUGGAGAAAGAAAAUGGUGGCAGCUGGCGUUUUUGGGUUUUUCCGGUGAGAUCCGGCGGAGAAUGGACGAUCGGAGGGCAUAUCCCGACUCUCCUCUGCUCAAGCUUCGCGAUGGCACCGGUUUCGUGGCGAUCGGGCUUCGUUUGCGAAUCGACGGCCGUGAUCGUCCGCAAAUUUCUCCGGAUGAUCGGGUGUCAGAUCGAAAAAUCGGAAGCGGGAAUCGUCAUCAGCGCGUCGUUGUGAGUCCGAUGGUGUGUCCAGAUCGUUGAUCGGACUCCGGCGGCCGGAGGCGAGUCGAUCGAGCGUCUCGGUAAUUUUCUCUGGCCGUUGAUCUUAGAAAUCCUUGAUUUUAAAUUUGUGUCUAUUGGAUGGUAUUGUGUACUUGAUGAUUUUUAUGAGUCAAAAAUAAUUGUCUGUCAGUUGGCCUGCCAUAGUCGUAUUUUGUGCUGUGUGGCGGAGUCGGGAAAUAGUGAAGUUUGGGGACCCGACUCCCAUUAUUUUAAUUGUUGGAUAUUUAGAGUGUUUUUCUGGCAGGUUCUGGACCCGUUUUUACGGGGGGUAAUGCUCGUGUUGUAGGGGAGGUUCUGCCGAAUUUUCGGUAGUUCCUGAGUCGAGAUUCUUAGACAGUCAGUCCUAGGAAUCUAGACCUAGGAUCUAUUGUAAUUGUUUCAUCGUUUUGAUAAAUUGUUUUCCGUGACUAGAUUGUCAGUUCGUUUGGCUCGCUCCAACUGAGGCACCGGAGCAGAGCUAGGAGGUCGCCCAAUCCUGUGAGUUAAAGUCAUUUAAUCAUUGCACUAUUGCUAAGUCUGAUUUAAUAUGCUAUUUUGAAAGUUUAUGCAUAAUAUGAUUAUUAGUAUCGCAAAAUAAAUGAUUUCACUUGAUUAUUAAUAUUUAUAAUAAUAUAAAUAUUAUUAUUAGUAUGUUAUAAUAAGAUAAACGUUAUUAUUUUUCCCCUCACAAAUUGCACGUUGUUUUACCUUAAAUCUUUAAUCUUUAUUUCGAUAUGUGUUGGUUGAGUUCAUUAGAUAAUGAUAUUUAUUAUAUGUGAUGAUUGCGAAUUGGGAAAUGUGGCUUGUAGAACAUGCCGCCUGAUGGGUUACAUCAGGACCGCGUGCGCACCGGUAAUGAUUAUGGACAUAAGGUUAUUAUGGAUUUGUUUGCCCUGAUCGAGCAUUGCUCUCUGGGCUGAGUUCAGUGAUGNNNNNNNNNNNNNNNNNNNNNNNNNNNNNNNNNNNNNNNNNNNNNNNNNNNNNNNNNNNNNNNNNNNNNNNNNNNNNNNNNNNNNNNNNNNNNNNNNNNNNNNNNNNNNNNNNNNNNNNNNNNNNNNNNNNNNNNNNNNNNNNNNNNNNNNNNNNNNNNNNNNNNNNNNNNNNNNNNNNNNNNNNNNNNNNNNNNNNNNNNNNNNNNNNNNNNNNNNNNNNNNNNNNNNNNNNNNNNNNNNNNNNNNNNNNNNNNNNNNNNNNNNNUAGUAGGGUAUGAUUAUAGUAUGGUUUGAUAUACUGAUUUGAAUAAUCUAUGUUUUCUGAGAAGAAGCAAUAGUCUCUAGAUUAUUUGAUUUUAACUCACUCUCGAGACUGACAGUCUCCAUUUAUGUUUUUUUCAGAUUCGUGACUGUUAGUUCUCCCGCGACUCUUAUUCAGUAACCCGACUCCUUCAUCAUCGGGUGAUGUAUUUGAUUUGGUAUGUAAAUUGGUAAAUCUUAGAUCCUCCGCAGUAGUAAUAGUAGAUGUAUCAGUUGUAAAUUUUCUGAGUUUCAGGUCUCGCCUAGUUCUUCUGGCAGACCGAUUAAAUUAUGUAAAGUGUAGCAUUUAAGAUAAAUUGUGGCUUUAAUAAUAUUAAUUUGAGAUGAGAUUUGUUUAAAUCAGUGAGUGUCAGGCUUACUACGGGUUUCGGUGGCCUUAAGCCUACCCAUUCCCUAGUGCCGGUCACGGGCCCACGGGUGGGGUCAUGACAAAGUUGGUAUCAGAGCUUAGGUUUAGAUUUCCUUCGACCUAAGUUAAGAUUUUUCUUGGUACUGCGGAGUUAGGAUCAAAUCUGUCUUGUUGUUUUCAUUGACUCCAGUGUCUCAGCCUUCACAGUUAGAGAGUCAGUCUUUCCUUUCUUGUGAGCUUGUCUUUGGUGCCGUGCUGAGAAUGUGCUUUGUAGCGAUGGGAGGAUCUGAAGCGCGAUAGACUCGUGUUGUUUCUUCAAGUGAUUAGUGCAGUCCGCCUUUAGAAGCUUUGAUUGUUGUUUCGAUGGUGGGCACCGCAGUCAGUUUUAGUGUAGAGCGUGAUUGCAGUCGUGUCAUGAGCUGCCUCGUCAUCGCAUCAGGCAUCGCCUUUUUGAGUAGCGCCUAAGGUAGUGCCUGGGAAGUCGAGCGGAUGUCAGAGCUUUAUGGUUGAGUUUUAUGGUUGUAAGAAGCUUAAAAAAGAUGGCAGAAGUAUUUUCGGACGCUUGGAAUCCAGAGAAACUUAAGCGAACAUUAUUUAUUUUUCUAAGUAGGACAAGUGUUUUUGAAAUACAAUAUUGCGCCUAGUCCCGUAAGAAUGCAUUAUGGCAUUUCACUGUUAGGCAUGCAUAAAUUCAUUUUAGGACAUGCAUCAUACAUUGUGCAUUGCAACCCUUGGUGAUAGGGGCAUCAUCACCCUGGCGCGCGAUAUUGUAAAAUUUUAUAUAAAGAAAUGGCUAAAGGUUUUACGAUUUUAUAAAAGUAUUUUUCCAAGAUAAUAAAGCUUUUAUCAGUGAUGAUUAUAAAGUAAGUAAAGAUGUAAUUUUUCAAAGUAAAUAGUGUUAGCUUGAGAAUUUUCUGGAUGACGAGUUGAGUUGUUGAGAGAGUGAGUAUGUGGAGCUGUAGGCCCUAUGUUAGAUUAUAAGAGAGGCUUUUGGAUUUCAGUCAAAGAGGAAUCUUGUGUCAGGAUGGCAUGAGUUGUGUCGGUUAUGGAAACUAGAUGGAUGGUAUGUCAUAAGUGAUGUGGUUUGGUAAGAAAAUAAGGUUGUGGGAACCCUUGGUUUUGUCGGCAGGUUGGUGAGGUGGCAUGUAAGUUGGACUUGCCGCCAAGUAUUAGUAAUGUUCUCUGAGGUUAAAUCCAGUUGUUCGUAGGUCUGAGUUGAGGAAGUAUAUUUUCGAUCCUUUGCUCGUGUUGGAUCCUCAGUGUAUGAAUGCAAGUAAAGAUUUGGUUUCCGAGGAGUAGUAAGUGAGGAUCGCGGAUUUUCAGGUUCGCCAGUUUUAUUUAAGGGUUUUGUCGAUGAGUCUUGUGGUUUAUUUCUGCCGAGGAAAAGUUUCCGAGAAGCCGGGUUGGAGAUGAGAGGUUCCUAAUUAGUUUCAAUCUUAGAGUGUAGCCCCUUUUCUUUUAAAAUUCGAGGUCGAAUUUUUUUUAAGGGGGGGAGAAUGUAACACCCGGAAUUUUUUUUAGAUUUAAUAAUGAAUUUUUAUUUAAGUUAAUUUUAGCUUUAUUUUUAUUCAGUUUAAUUGGAAUGAUUUAAAUACAAAUUUUGAAUGUUCAUGUUAGAUAAAUAAAUGAGUUAUUUUCUAUACCCAAUUAGUUUGAUUUUUAAGAAAUUAUUCAAGUAAAUUAUUUGAGAAAUGAUUAUAUUUUGGUUAUUCAAAAUUUUCCCAAAUGCAUAUUUAUAUAAGUAAAAUUAUAUAUUGGAAAAUUAUGGUAGAAUUGUAAAGGAUGUUUAUAAAAGAAUUUUAAAAAAAUUGGUAUUAUAAUUGAUUAGUAGUAUUAAAUAUUAAGUUGGAAAUUGAUUAUUUAAUUUAAUUGUGUGUUAGGACUAAAUUGGAAAUUUAUUUUGGAAUAAGGAUUGAAAGUAUAAUGUUAUUUUUAUGGGGUUUUAAUGGAAAUUUGUGAGCUUGGUAUUUUUAUAAAUAAAUAUGUCGGUCAGGGGUAUUUUUGUAAUUGUGUAUUUUCAAUAAUUCGGUUUUGGCCCAAAUUAAAUAGUUAGGGGCUUAAUUGAAAGGCUAAAAAGAAGUUUGGGGGUUAAAUUGGAAUUCUGCGGAAUGAAAUUGUAAGUAAUUAAGAAAGUUGAGGGACCAAGUUGUAAUAAGGAAAAGUUCGAAGGCCUAAUGUCGAUAUUGAAAGAAAGAAAAGAAGGAUCGGGGAAGGAAGAGAGGACACUUGUUAGUUUUGAUAAUAUUUUAAAUGAGUGACACAUUAAGUACACUUGUACUAUAUUAAACUGUUUGAUUAUUUCGGAGUUGAUCGGUAACUUGAACGAAGGAUCACGCAUUUGAUUCGUGAUCUAUGUAUCAGUACAAGUCUGUUAAUAUUAUCGGAUAAUCAAUCGGACUCUAAUGAUUAGUGCUGUGUCUACUAACAUAUGGUAUAUGAAUUAUAAAACUUAUAACAAGGAAUUAAAGUAUUUAAUUAUAUAUAAUUUAUUAGUUGAUAAUUGAUUAUAUGAUAAUAUGAUAUUAUUAUUAAUAUUAUUAAAAUUCCUAUUAAUUAAAUGAGUUAAAGACUAAUCAGUGGAUAAGGUGGUACAGCAAGUAGCGAAUUGGGCUCUAAUACUAUCACGAUAAAAGAAAGUGUAGUGGACGGGGCUAUAGGCUACCUUGCUGAAUUUCACACAGGAAAUGACUAGGGUACACCACGUAGGCAAUUUAUACCCUGCAUCCUGGUCCACUUUGUAUUAUGGGUCGGAGGCAGGAAAAUACGUGUGGGACUGUGUCUUGCACUUUUAAAAAAAAUUUGAAAUUACUAUAAAUAAAUUAUAUAUUAAGUAAAUAUUUUAAUAUUUAUAAAAUUAAUUUUUAUGUGUGUGUUAUACGACUGUCAUAAUUAUUUUGAACUUAAAUAAUAAUGUAAAUAUAAUAUUUCCAUGAAUAAUAAAUUAAAUAUUGUAAGUGUCAUUUUUAAUUUUUUUAUGCACAAACUUAAAUUUUAUGUUUUAAAAUAAUACAACUAUUAAAAUGUGGCAAAAUAUAGUAACACGUGUUAAAAAAAUUUAUAUCUUAAAAUCUAAUAUAUAUAUAUAUAUGUAUAGGUAAAUAAAAUUCAAAAACUAAGCAAAAUAUACUAACACGUGUUAAAAAAAUUUAUAUCUUAAAAUCUAAUAUAUAUAUAUGUAUAGGUAAAUAAAAUUCAAAAACUAACAUAAUUAGUAAUAUAUAUUUUUAAAAUUUUCAAUUAGUCAUACUUUGGAGGAUUAAAAAUCAAUAUACUUUCAGUAAAUUAUAAAAUAAAUUAUCUAUUAAAAGUAAUAUAAUAUAAUUUUUAGCAACUCUUUAUAUUCUAGAUUUUUAUAUUAUUCGUGAAUGAAACUAAUUUUUACAUAUUUCAUAAAUUAAAAUCUUUCCUCGAUACGUAAUUGAUAAUUUCAUAAUCAAAAGUAUUAUCUUUUUAUAAUUAUCAUUCAUACGACAAUACUUAUUAUUUACUGUAAUAAUGUUCAUUUUGUAUUCAAUCAAUUUUUAGAUAGUGAUUAUUUUAGUGAAGGAUAUUCAUCAUUUAUGAUCUAUAUGUUCAUUAAUUUAUUAUUGUCAAUUCAGUAAUUAUAAAUCUAUAUAUGUUUUUAAAAUAAUCGUGAAAUAUUUAUUUUCAUAUGAAAAUGAUGUUGAUUCUUUAUAAAAGUUAGAUUUAUUUUUUUAUGAUAUAUAUUAAAAUAAUUUUUUUAUUCAUAUAAGUAUUCACCGUUUAUAGAUAAUAAUAUUCAUUAAUUUAUUUAAAUGGAUAUAUAUAAUAUAUAUAUAAUAUAAAUCAUUUUUACAGUUAGUAUUUAUCCCAAAAAAACUUGUACGUCUUUGUGCAAAAAUUUACAACCAAGUAUUUAAGGGUGGCCUGAUCCUUGUGAUAACAGCCUGCCCCAAUACUAUGUAAAGUAUCUUUCAUUUUAUUGAUAAGUACAAAAAAGAAAUUAUUUUAAAACUUUUAAUAUAAAUAUAUUAAUUAGAUAAAAAGAAAAUAUAUGAUUGUAAAUUAUGAGAAAAAAUGUAUUUUAUUUUUAAAAAAAUUUAGUUUUUAAUAAUUUAAUCAUCUUUACUUUUUAACUUUGAGAUAUUUUUUUUGUCACUAUUUAUAAUUAUAUGUCUUUUUUUAUCUGAAAAAAAUCAUAUUUUAAAAAUUUUCAAAUGAUGAAACCACAUAAUACUUUUAUUUAUUUAUCCUUUUAUUUUAUUUUUUAAACUUUUUGAAAAUUACUUUUGUAAAAAGCAUGUGAAUUGAUUGAUGUUUUCUUCUAGAGCAAGUUGAGAAAAACAGUUUAUAAAAAUUAUAAAAACUAAUAUUUUAAAUCAAAAGAAAUUCUUAACGUGCUUUUUCGAUACCAAUAGUGAAACUAUACGCAUUCUAAAUGUCCUGCAUAACUUUGAUAGAUAGAAAAACGAUGAAUAAAAAUUAAUGAGAAAAUAAAUAAAUAAUAAGAUGGAACAUACAAGGGUUUUAAAUAUAUGGUGUACCAAAAAAUAUAAUUCUUAAUGAUUCAUCCACUUAUCAAAACUACAUAAAAAAUAACAUUUCAUUAUUCUUAGCCAAAUAAAAUCAUCUUCGAGCAAAAUCCAGAAGCAUGACUAAUAAAUCCAGAACUGUACAAAUAAGCUAUAUGCAUAUUCAAUAUUGUCCAAAAGACAAUAUAUUUUAUUUGACAUAUCUGAUAUUUAAGGUGUGAUAUCAUAGAUCACAUAAAUGAAUAUAUGCACCCACCUAAAGAAAAUUAUAUUUAUAUAUAAAAGAACUAAAAGUACCACACUUCAUUUCCAGUUUCUAUAGAGAAUAACUAAAUUAAAAUCACCAAUAAAUAAAUAAUUUUUAUGAGAAACACUUAGAGUAAAGAAAAUACAAUGUCACUCUCUCAAUAUGCAAGACUUUUAGCCGAAUCCUCAAUCAAACUAUAAUUUUAUACAACCUCCUAACUUUAAAUAAUUAUUUGAAUAUUUAACUCUAUAAUUCACUUAGAAAUAUAAUUUAAAAAUAAUGUGAAAUAUUUUUUGCUAACAAUCCUUANNNNNNNNNNNNNNNNNNNNNNNNNNNNNNNNNNNNNNNNNNNNNNNNNNNNNNNNNNNNNNNNNNNNNNNNNNNNNNNNNNNNNNNNNNNNNNNNNNNNNNNNNNNNNNNNNNNNNNNNNNNNNNNNNNNNNNNNNNNNNNNNNNNNNNNNNNNNNNNNNNNNNNNNNNNNNNNNNNNNNNNNNNNNNNNNNNNNNNNNNNNNNNNNNNNNNNNNNNNNNNNNNNNNNNNNNNNNNNNNNNNNNNNNNNNNNNNNNNNNNNNNNNNNNNNNNNNNNNNNNNNNNNNNNNNNNNNNNNNNNNNNNNNNNNNNNNNNNNNNNNNNNNNNNNNNNNNNNNNNNNNNNNNNNNNNNNNNNNNNNNNNNNNNNNNNNNNNNNNNNNNNNNNNNNNNNNNNNNNNNNNNNNNNNNNNNNNNNNNNNNNNNNNNNNNNUACUAAAAUUUAUAUUAACUAUGUAAACAAUUAUCUAUGUUAGUGGACUCGAUACUGGUUAUUGGAGCCUGAUCGAUUAUCUGAUGAAUCUAAUAGACUUGUAAUGAUACAUAAAUUAUGAAUCUGUAUGAUCCUUCAUUCAAGUUACCGAUCAACCCUGAAAUAGUCAAAUAGUUUUGGCUAUCAAUUUUUUAAAGAAAUUAUAUCACUAUAAAACCGGUGUGGAUAGAAAAUUUAUGAGGAGAAUUUAUUAUUCUCUAAUUACCCAAAGCACGUCAGAAAAUUCAUUGCAAAUCAAACUAGCUUUGUUUUCUGAACGAGUUGUCGAAGCCCUUCAAAAUAAAUUACUGAUUGUUCUCAACUAACUUAUAGAAAUAGUGACACCAGGUCGAAUCCUAAGGGAACCAAUGUGAAUAGUUUUUUAAAAUUAAAUAAUAAACAUAGAGGGUUUUGAAUGAUUGAACUAAAAUUAUAAGUAAAUAAAAAAAUGAUAAAAGCUGAUUAUUAAAGUAAAUAAAAAUUAAUCUUACCAAACUUCCAAUUCAAAAGUGUAAAUUCCAUCCAAUUCUAAUUCUAAUCAAAAACUUAAAUAUCAAUUUUUCUAUUCAAGUACUUAGACUAUUUAUUUGGAAAAGCCGCAACAAGUGUAAAUUCUUUUAAUAUAAUUGACUCAAACCCAGCAUCCAAAUCAAAACUUACCAUUAGUCAACCGGGCACGAAAGCGUACCAUAUCAACUCAAUGAUAGCAUUAAGAAUAAUGAGAAUGACUAAACCAACAUUAAUUAAUCGAGAUAGCUGCAAUAUAAUUAAUCUUGUUAUUUUAUUUCUCUAGAGCCUAUCAUGCAAGCUAUGUAAUUCGGAAAGACCGCAAUCACACACACACGAGCUAACUCCUUAUUAGAAAACAACCCCGUAAGAGGGGUAUAUUUGUCAAUAUGAGAAAAUAACUCCGUAAGAGGUUAUAUCUUUAAACAUGAGAAAAAAACCCCAAAAAAGUAGUAUAUUUGUCAAUAUGAGAAAAGAACCCCGUAAGAGGGGUAUAUUUGUCAAUAUUAGAAAGCAGCCCCGUAAGAGGGGUAUAUCUUUCAACAUGAUAAUACAAUCCUAAAAAAAUGGUAUAUUUUUCAAUAUGAGUAAACAACUCCGUAAGAGGGGUAUAUUUGUCAAUAUGAGAAAACAACCCUGUAAGAAGGGUAUAUUUGUCAAUAUUAGAAAACAACCCCAUAAGAGUGGUAUAUCUUUCAAAAUGAAAAAACAACCCCAUAAAAAUUGUAUAAUUGUCAAUAUGAGAAAACAACCUCGUAAGAGGGGUGUAUUUGUUAAUAUUAGAAAACAACCUUGUACGAGGGGUAUAUCUGUCAAAAUGAGAAAACAACCUCAAAAAAGUGGUAUAUUUUUCAAUAUUAGAAAACAACCCCGUAAGAGGGGUAUAUUUGUCAAUAUGAGAAAACAACCCUGCAAGAGGGGUAUAUCUUUCAACAUGAGAAAACAACCCCAAAAAAGUGGUAUAUUUUUCAAUAUGAUACUUAUAUCAAUCGUUCAUGACAAUUGUGGAUCAUAAACUCAAAGAUAGCAAUAGAAAAAUCAAUAUCAUAUUGAGUCGUCAGUUUAAUCAAUAUCAAAAAUUCAUAAACAAUAAUAAUAGAAAAAAAAAUACUUGAAUUAAAGAAGAAAUUAUAUUAAGCACAAAAUCUCACAAAAUCACAAUUGGAAUUUAUUCACUCUUGAAUGAGAAAUUAAAAGCUUAGCCACGCAUGGUGAAGUAAGAAUUCACAAGAGUUAUAGGGAAUAGAGGAAGAAAAUAAAAAAUAUAAAAGCUCAAAGUCGUUCCCUUUUGUAAAACUAGCCUCCUUAUAUAGAAAGUCAAACCUAAAUCCUAAUAAAAUAAUCUCUAUCCAUAAAGAAAUAAACUUCCUAUAUAAUUCAAAUCCCAUAUGGAAAGCUAAAAAAAAAGGGAAAUCUAAAUAAAUAAAAUCCUAAUAAUAUAGGAGACAAUCUUUUUUUAUCCAGAACUUCCAAAAUAAAGGAAAUAACAUAAAAGUGGACUCACCAUGAAUUUAACUAAAAAAAUUUAAAAUUCUCAUCAACAGAUUUCAGCAGCUCAUAGAUUGCAGGGAGUGGUCACGCCUUGUUGAAAAUGAUAUUCUGCAUAAACUUUCACUGAUCCUCCAAAAGACUUGAUUUUUGACAAGUGAUGCUUGAAAAUAUGUCUUUAAACUGAAUUCUGCUCAAUCUCUGAUAUUUCAACAUCUAGAUCAUAACAAACACAAUUUCCACAAUUAAGCACAAUAUCCAAUCAAAAUAUAAGAGAAUUAAACACAAUAAGUAUUAUUUAUGAUCUAUCAAAUUUUUCCAAACCUAAUUCAUGCUUGUCCUCAAGCAUACCUCAACUCAACAUAUCAAUUCUCCUCUCUACUUCCUUUUAAUCUCUUUAAAUAUCCCUAAAUACCAAAUAAGUUAAACAUACAUCAAUGAGUUGAAUCAUAAUGACUAUCAAGAGAAUAACACUCAUAGGAUAAAUUUUGUAACAAAAAAAAUAAGUAUCUCACUAAUCCAUCAAAAUCAAAUGCAAAAAGACUUAACACCCUAAUAUGGUUUUACAAUACUCUCAAAGUGUUUAGGGUGCAUUUACUUUCAGAAUAAAAAAAUAGCAUGUUAUUACCAUAAUCUUGCUAAUGAGUCAAGUCUCCACCACUACACAUGUAUUGGUUGCAAAAAUCAAAGGGACUUCACAAGGGUUGUAUGGGGCUUAAGAAAGGGUAUGAUAAAAGAAAAAAAUUAAAGUGUUUCAUAAUCAAGACAAAAAGUCAUUUACUUGCAUGAUAACUAUGCCACAUAACCACAAAAUACACUAUAAAAACUUUGAAUUUUAUCUCCACAUCUUAUAUUAGCACUAAAAUGUUUGGAGAAAUAACAUAUAACAAUUCAGUUCAACAUCUUUGAUAAACACUUCUCCAAUUAUCCUCUUUCAUGAAAGGAAUAAAUAUCAACUUUUUUUUUCAACAUUUUAUUUUUCUUUUUUAUUUUUUUCAUUUUUUUCGAAUUUCUUUCCAUUACUAAUUUUUUUUUCUUUUUAGCAUUUUUCUGUUUCUUUUUAUACCAUCUAACACUUUUGCAUCUUGUCUUAACAAGGAUAGAAAAAUAGAAGUAAUAAAUGAAAGGUCUUGGGCUAAACAAUAUGUGUUAAAGACAAGAAAAAAAUAAAAAAUAGGCUCAAAGUGGCUAACUAAAAGGAAAAUUAACAAAGUAGAUCUUUUAAGAGUCUAAGAAUUGCUUAAUCUAAUUGUCCUUAUCAUAUUAAAGCACCAAUCCAAAAAUGUGGUCUCAAUAUACAUUCACAAGCAAGUUCUAGAAUAAGCGCACUAAGUAUGAUAACAUUCAACAAAAACAAUUAGAGCAAAAUAUAAUAUACUGCUCUUAGGCUCAAAAGUUCACUUGAAUGUUCAAAUUUGCAUCAAAUCUUGUGCAUUUUUCAAUCAAUAAACCAAUGAGAUACCAUCAAAUAAUUUUAAAGAAACACUAAUCAUGCUUAUUCCUUUCAUGUAUUAAAAUUCAAACAAAAAAUGUAUCCCUAACUUACAUGGAAAUCUAGGUUAUAAGAAAAAAAAAGGUUCCAAAAGAAAAAUUAGCACAUAUGAAUUAAAGCACACCUAAUUCUAAGCAUAAAAAAACACAAUUUUCAAAAAUAAAAGGAAAUCAUGUAAUUAACAAAUUCUUCCCUCACACCUAAACUAUAUAUUAUCCUCAAUGUAUCAAAAAGAAAAUGGCUCACAAAAAAAAUGAAAAGAAAUAUGAAACUCUCCUGAUUUGCGAGCAACUUGGGCUGAGUAGUCUAUGGUGAUGGUGGGCAAGGAGAUAGAACCCUCCUAUGCUUUAUCAAGGCAUCCAAAUUUCUCUCAAUCAUUGAAAUUUUAUGUUCCACCUUUUCCCAAAUGAGCUUCAAAAUCUAGUUCAGUUGAAUCAUCAGAGGUCUGGAAAAAAUAAAAAUAAAAGAAAUGUUAGAAAAAAUAGGAUAGUGGGAAAAAAAGUAGAAAAUAAUAAUAAUAAAAUGUUUUUAUUUAUUUUUAUUUUUUAUUUUUUAUCAUAAAUAAAAUAUCCUAAAGAAAAUAAAGUAAAGAAGUUAAAUUCUCAAGGCUUAUUGCUCAAAACAAAAUCAGAAGGUGGUUUGAUAUAAGUCGUGGUCACGGCUUAUCAAGAACGAUCUUCUGGAAAAAGACAUUUGCUUGAUACAUCUCGAAAAGCUGUAAAAGACUGACGCCUUAUUAAAAUUAAUCUCCUGCCCAAAAAUUGAACUUCUUCAUUAAAAAAGCUAAAAACUAAAAAUAAAAUAAACUAAGUGAAACAAAAUAAAAAGUAUGAAUAAAAAUAAAGAAAACAUUUGGGUUACCUCCUAAUAGAAUAAUUGUUUAAUGUCGUUUUGCUCAGCGGAAUGAUGAAACGUUACGGUCAUCCAAAUAAGUAGGGUGAUUCAAAGGAAAACUAAUGAGACAUGGAGCAAUUUCACCCUCAUGGAAGAUCUUCAAUAUAUGACCAUUCACUUUGAAAAUUUUAUCCAAAUCUAAGCUUAUAAUUUCUAUUGCACCAUAGGGAAACACAUUAGUAACAACAAAUGGACUGAUCUAUCGAGAACGAAACUUACCAGGUAUAAGCUUCAAUCGAGAAUUAUAUAAUAAUAAUUUUUCACAAAUCUCAAAUUAUUUCCUAUUAAGUAUGUUAUCAUGGAAUAACUUGAAUUUUUCUUUAUAAAUUCUCGAAUUCUCAUAAGCAUUCAAUCGCAACUCCUCUAUUCUUGCAAUUGCAGUAGCCUUGAUAUCCCAGCUUUGUCUAUGUCCAUAUUGCACCGCCAAACUGCCCAAUAGGAUUUAUGCUUGAUUUCUACCGGUAAGUGACAUGCUUUACAAAAAAACUAACCGAUAAGGGGACAUUCCUAUAGGAGUUUUGUGAGCCGUUCAGUAAGCCCAAGGAGCAUCAUCUAAACGAAGGCUCCAAUUCUUUCUUCCUGGAUUCAUUGUUAGUUCUUUUGAGAUGAUGACAGGCAAUAUUUCACCAUCACCUAAAUAUACGUAUGGUGAUCCGGUAAAAUUUUUAGCUCCAAUUUUGGUGCCUGCACAAUUGAAGGUAAUAUCUUAUUAUUAGUAUUAGAAAUUUCAGUAUUGAAAUUUAUUGGUUCAGAUAAUGUUGUUGAAAAUAAUUCUUCUACACCAAUCUCAUAAUCAAUUCCUUUUAAAUUAGAUUGUGCAUCUAAUUUUUACUCAUCACCAACACUUUCUUUUGCAAAUACAUCCUGUAAAAUUGAAUCAAUCACAUUAAUAUGACAGAGAGGAUGUACACCAUUAGGAUAUUUCAUUGCAUCCAAAAUAUGAAAAUUAACAAUCUUUCCAUCAAACUCUAUGGAGAGAGUACCCUCAUUGUCUUAGCUAUUUUCAUGAAUGGUCAUCCUAACAAAGUUGAAGCUGAUUUUGAUGAGGAAUUACCAUCCAUUUCCAAAAUAUAAAAGUCAACAGGAAAUAUGACCUCAUUAACCUGCACCAAAACAUCUUCAACGACUCCAAGGGGAUGAAUAUAAGAACGUUCAGCUAAUUAAAUCACUACACCAGUCUUUUGUAAGUCAUUUAGUUUCAACUCUUGAUAAAUAGAAAAUGACAUGACACUAAUGGAAGCUCCUAAAUCUAACAUGGUACGCUCAAUUUUCUUUUUACCAAUAAUACAAGAUAAUGAAAAUAUACCUAGAUCCUUGCAUUUUUUUGGCAUAUUCUUUUGUAAGAUAGCCGACACAUUUUUACUUACCACCACUUUCUCCUUUUCCUUCAUCCUCCUUUUGUUUGUGCACAAUUUCUUUAAGAACUUUGUAUAUUUAGGAAUUUGCUCGACAACAUCCAAUAAUGGGAUAUUUAUUUUCACCUUCCUAAAUAUAUCUAAGAUCUCAUUUUCUUGCUCAUCUUCUUUUGGUUUAGCUAAUCUGCUAGGAAAAUGAGGUAAUGGAGUGUGAGAUAAAAGAGAUAGAGGAGGAUUGAAUUUUACCCCAUUUGAUGCUUUAGAGGAAGCUUCUUCUUCCUUUUCCUUGCUCAAUUCACUUUUCUUAAGUGGAAUCGACCCUGAAGGAAUCUCCUUUCCGCUUCUUAGUGCAAUUGCACUAACAUUCUCCUUUAGAUUUAUCUCUAGUCGUGAAGGCAGUUUUCAGAAUUUUGAACCAAUUUACUAACCGACAUAGCCAAUUGAGUAAUUUAAUUGCUAAAUUCUAAAUGCUUGACCUUGUUUCCUAUGGAAGUUGAAGAGUACUGUUAGCAAGAUUUUUAAUAAUAUCUUCCAAAGACAUACUUGAUUUUGAAGCUUGAGAUUUUUGGAAAACUUGAGGCGGUCUAAUGAAGUUAUGGGAAGUGUCCUCAUUGGUUUCCAUAGCUCAAAUUCGGGUAAUCUUUCCAUCCAGGAUUAUAUUGAUUGGAAUAAGAAUAAUACUUCCUUUGAGGUUGACCAGUAAACCCGCCUAAAGCAUUAGCCUCUUGCAUCGAGUCUUGUUACAAUGUAGGGCACAUAUCAAUGGAAUGUCAUUGAACUGAGCAUAUUCCAUAAACUUUUUCCAUUUGCAAUCGCCCUACAGUCAUUUGAUGAACCAAAGUAGUUAAAUUAGAAAUUUAAUUUUCAAGAUUUUUUAGUGCUUACCUCAUUAACUCACCUAAUAGCUCCAUCAGCUCUUGUACCAAAUUGCUAAGAAUUUUCAGCCAUGUUUGAAAUCAAUUGCUUGGCUUCUUCAUGUGCCUUGUCUACUAAAACUCCAUCACUUGUUGCAUCAAUCAUACUCCUAGCUAUUGGUAAUAAUCCUUUACAGAAGUAAUGAAUUAAGAGUUGAUCAGAAAUUUAGUGAUGGGGGAAACUAGCAUACAAUUGCUUGAACGUCUCCUAAUACUCAUACAAUGUCUCUCCAGUGAAUUGUGUUAUGCAAUAAAUUUCUUUUCUGAUGUUGGCAGCUCUUGUUACAGGAAAAAACUUAUCUAAGAACAAUCUUCUCAUCUCAUUCCAUGUUGUUAUUGAACCAGAGGGUAGAUAAUUUAUCUAAUCUUUUGCUUUAUCCUUUAAAGAAAAGGAAAAAGUUCUAAGAUUUAUUUGCUCUUCGGUCACACUAUGUGACUUCAUUCUGGAGCAUACAAUAUGGAAUUCUUUCAAGUGUCUAUGAGGAUCUUCACCUCCACAUCCAUGAAAAGAAGAGAGUAAGUGAAUUAAGCUAAAUUUUAGUUUAAGAUCAACUUCAAUAUUAGGAAAUAUAAUGCAUAAAGUUGUUGAUUCAAAUCCAGCGCGGCUGCUCUUUGAGAGUUUUAUUUGCCAUAUUUUCUACAACUUCUUAAAAAAUAGAUGUGUCACCAAUAGCCAAAUCUAUCUCUAAUUCCUCUAUGAGAUGACUUUUUCUGUCUAGUCUCAUUUCUUAAUCGACGCAUUGUCUUCUCAAUUUUAGAAUUAUAUUGCAAAUCAAUAGCCUGAGAAGAACGAGUCGUAAACAAAUACAUUAAACAAUGAGAAACUAAAAUAGCUCCCCAGUAAUGGUGGUCAAAUUUUGAAUGAGUUGUCGAAGCCCUACAAAAUAAAUUACUGAUUUUCCUAAACUAACUUGUAGAAAUAGUGAAACGAGGUCGAAUCCCUAGAAAACCAAUGUGAAUAGCUUCUCAAUGUUAAAUAAUAAAAAUAGGAGAUUUUGAAUGAUUGAACUAAAAUUAUAAAUAAACAAGAAAAUAAUAAAAGUUGAAUAUUAAAGUAAAUAAAAAUUAAUCUUACCAAACUUCCAAUUCAAGAGUGCAAAUUCCAUCCAAUUGUAAUUCUAAUCACAGGCUUAAAUAUCAAUUCUAUUCAAAUACUUAGUCUACUGAUUUGGAAAAGCCGUAAAAAUUAUAAAUUCUCCUAAUAUAAUUGACUCAAACCCCACAUCCAAAUCAAAACUUACCAUUAGUUAACUGGGCAUGAUAGCGUUUCAUAUCAACUCAAUAAUAGUAUUAAGAAUAAUGGGAAUGACUAAACCAAUAUUAAUUAAUCAAGAUAACUGUAAUGAUUUAAUCUUGUAUCUUUAUUUCCCUAGAGCCUAUCAUUCAAGCUAUUUAAUUCGGAAAGACCGCAAUUACAUACACAUGAGCCAACUUCUUGCUAUUUUUGUCAAUUGUUCAUGAUAAUUACGGAUCACAAACUCAAGGAUAGCAAUAGAAAAAUCAAAGAAGAAAUUAUGUUAAGCAAUAAAAAAAGAAAUAAAGAAUACUUGAAUUAUUGAAGAAAUUCUGUUAAGCACAACGCCACACAAAAUCACAAUUGAAAUUUAUUCACUCUUGAAUCAGAAAUUAAAAGCUUAGCCACACAUGGCGGAGUAAAAAUUCACAAGAGUUGUAGGGAAUAGAGGAAGAAAAUAAAAAAUAUAAAAGCUCAAAGGCGUGGUCACGACUUAUUAAAAUUAAUCUUCUGCCCAAAAAUUGAACUUCAUUAAAACAAACUAAAAACUAAAAAAAAAAAAUAAACUAAGUGAAAGAAAAUAAAAAGUAUAAAUGAAAAUAAAGAAGGCAUUUGGGUUGCCUUCCAAUGGCGUAAUUGUCUAACAUCAUUUUGCUCGAUACGAUAAAUCAAUUAAGAAUUUCUGAUUUCCAAUGACCAUAUCAGCAAAAAUAGGCUGAAAAAGUAUUAGAUAAUUUAAAUGGAAACAAAAAUUAACAGUAUUAGUACCAAAAAGAAAAUAACUGAACUAUUAGUCUCAGUUGGAUAUUAAGUCCAAAAAUUUGAUAUCAAUAAAAUAAUUUACCCAAAAAAAAAAACUGUACGUUUUUUUGCAAGAAUUUAAAAUAUGUAUUUAAAGGUGGCCUGAUCCAUUGAGAUAACAGCCUGCCCACCAAGCAAUACUAUCUAAAGUAUCUUUCACUUUAUUGAUAAGUAAAAAAAAUUAUUUUAAAAUUUUUAAUAUAAAUAUUAUUAAUGAGAUAAAAAAAAUAUAUAAUUGUAAAUUAUGAGGAAAAAAAAAGUAUUUUGCUUUUUAAAAUUUUAGUUUUUUAAUAAUUUAAUCAUCUUUUUUUCAGUAAGCCAUCAUUAUCAUAUUGUUUGUAUUUGAUAAUAUAAGUUUAGAGCUUAAUAGUUUAUAAUUUCAUUAUUUGACCUUUAAAUCAUAUUUAGUGAUUUGAUGAAAUGAAAUUAACAGUCAAAUAAUGAGAUUAGAAGUUAUUAAGUUCCAAAUUCUCAUUAUCAAAUACGAGCAACAUAAUAACAAUGACUGAUCAGAAGUAAAAUGGCUAAACUCUUAUGAAUUGAAACUUUUUAAAGUCGAGAUACAUUUUUUCAUCAUCAUUACUAAUCACAUAUCUCUUUGUCUGAAAAACACAUGCUAAAAAAUGUAAAAUGAUGAAACUAUAUAGUACUUUUUUUUGUAUUUAUCUGUUUACUUGACUGAAGUGUGAAGCAUAAUAAUAUGAGAUUUUAUUAGGUAAAUAGCUAUGGUUUUAAAAUUUUGGCUUAUGUUUCUAGUUAGUACCAAUACUUUAAUUAUUUUCUUUUUAAUAUCAUAACUUUAAUUUUUAUUAUAUACAAUGGUAUCCAUUGGAAAUUCGUUUAAUUUCUUAUGAUAUUGAGGGUAGAGAUCCACAUCACUAACCCAAUCUAACUCUUAAUGGUGUCAUUCUCAGUUAUUAAUUUUCUUUAGAGAUAAGUACAUAAAAGUACCUUGUGGUUUCAUCACUUGACAACUUUCAGUGUGUUAUUUUUUCCAAACAAUAAAAAAAAGAAAUACAGUUAUAAAUCACGACAAAAAAAAAUAUUUUACCAUUAAAAAGUUUCAAUUUGUAAGGAUUUAGCCAUUUUCACUCCGAUCAAUCAUCAUUAUCAUAUUUUUCAUGUUUGAUAAUAUGGGUUUAGAGUUUAACAACUCAAAACAUCAUUGUUGGAUUGUUAAAUCAAUUUAUCAUUGGAGCAAUGACUUCCUAAAUCAUGAUUUAAUGAUCAGAUUUUAAAACUAGGAGUUGUUAAACUCCAUACUCACAUUAUCAAACACACACACAAUAGGAUAUUGAUGGUCAAUCGGUGUAAAGAUGGCUUGAUCCUUACAAAUUGAGACUUUUUAACUGUGAGAUAUCUUUUCUAUCAUUAUUUAUAACUACAAGCCUCUUUUUGUUUGAAAAAGAAAAUCACAUUCUGGAAAUUGUCAAAUGAUGAAACCAUAUAAUACUUUUAUGUAAUUAUUUCUUUAUUUUAUUUUUUAAGUUUUUUGAAACUUACUUUUGUAAAAAGCAUGUAAAAGUUGAGAAAAACAGUUUAUACAAAUUAUAAGAACUAAUAUUUUAAAUCAAAAGAAAUUCUUAACGUGCUUUUUCAAUACCAAUAGCGAAAUGUCUUGCAUGACUUUGAUGGAUAAAAAAAUGAUGUAUAAAAAUAAAUAAAUAAAUAAUAAGAUGCAACAUAUAAGGGUUUUAAAUAUUGUCUAAAAAAUAAUAUAUUUUAUUUGACACCUAAUAUUUAAAAUAUGAUAUUAUAGAUCACAUUAAUAAAUAUAUGCACAUUUAUCCAUAUAGAGAAAAUUAUAUUUAUAUAUAAGAAACUAAAAGUACCACAUUUCAUUUCCAGUUUUUAUAGAGAAUAAUUAAAUUAAAAUAAUCUUUAAAUAAAUAUUUUUUAUGAGAAACACUUUAAAAAUCAUAAGUAUAUAAAUAAUAGAGUAAAGAAAAUACAAUACCACCCUCCCAAUAUGCAAGACUUUUAACCGAAUCCUCAAUCAAACUAUAAUUUUACACAACCUGCUAACUUUAAACAGUUAUUUAAACAUUUAAUUCUAUAAUUCACGUAUAAAUAUAAUUAAAAAUAAUGUUAAUAUUUGUGCUAACAAUCCUUAUCUAACCUCUAAUAUCUAUAUAAUAUAUCAUUCUUGACAAUCAUUAAUUUUUAUAAUUAACAUAAUCGAUUAUCUUAAUAACUAAUCCACCUUAUCCACUGAUUACACUUCAACUCAUUUAAUUAAUAGGAGUAUUAAAAAUAUUAAUAAUAAUAUCACAUUAUCAUAUAAUUAAUUAUCAACCAAUAAUUAUAUAUAAUUAAAUAUCUCAAUUCCUAACUAUAAGUUUUAUAAUUCAUAUACCAUAUUCUAAACUAAUUAUCAUAAUUUAAUAAUAAAAUUCAUAAUGUAGUUAAUAUUAAUUUUCCUUAUGUUCUCCAUCUGCUCAAUUAUAGAUUUAAUUCCAUUUAAUCUAUCAAAAUAACAAACAAAUUAAUUCCUUAAUAUAAGUACUAACUAAUAUAUCUUCGACAAUGUUAUAAUCUUUAAUUAAUAGUUGUCUAUUUANNNUUUAUUCUACUGGAACUUAUAUUAACUAUGUAAAAAUUAAACAAUAUACGUAUAUGUUAGCGGACUCAGUAUUGGUCGUCGGAGUCUGAUGGAUUAUCCAAUGAAUCUAAUAGACUUGUAGUGAUACAUAGAUCACGAAUCUAAUGUGAUACUUUAUUCAAGUUACUGAUGAACUCUGAAAUAGUUAAAUAGUUUUGAUUAUAAAAUUGGUAUAAAUAGAAAAUUUAUGAGGAGAAUUUAUUGUUUUCUAAUUACCUAAAGCACGUCACAAUUAGACGACAUCCGUUACAAAUCAAACUAGCUUUGUUUUCUCUUUCUACUGUAUGUCGUCAUCCCCAAUCAAAGUAGAGGCCGCCAUGGUCAUCACUUGAAAGCCCAUUACAAGAUGAGUUUAAUGCCACUAGUUCUAAUCACUGGCCAACUAAAGGAAGGAGAUCUGCUAUUUGGAAUUUUUAGUGUUCCAAACUUACUCCUCCAUACGCUGCCCACAAUCGCCAAGUGGUAACAGCAAGGUCACUCAAUGACUGUGGGCAGCAUAUGUAGUAAGUUUAGGACACUAACUUCCAACUAGUAGAUCUCCCUCCUUUAGUAGGGCCAACGACUGGAACCAGUGGCAUUGAACUCAUCUUUUCAUGGGCUUCCAAGUGAUAAUCAUGGUAGCCUUUACUUUGAUCGGAGAUGACGAGACACAGUGGAGAAAGAAAACGAAGCUAGUUUGAAUUUUAACAGAUUUCAUCCAAUUCUGACGUGCUUUGGGUAAUCAAAGAACAAUAAAUUCUCCUCUUCAUAAACUUUCUAUCUACACCAGUUUUAUAACGGUUGGACUCCUUUAAAACAUUGUUGGCCAAAACUGUUUGACUAUUUUAGAGUUGAUCGGUUACUUGAAUGAAAGAUCACACAUUUGAUUCGUAAUCUACGUAUCAUUACAAGUCUAUUAGUAUCAUCGAAUAAUCAAUCGGACUCCGACGACCAGUGCCGUGUCUACUAAUAUAUGGUAUAUGAAUUAUAAAGCUUAUAAAAAGGAAUUAAAGUAUUUAAUUAUAUAUAAUUAUUAGUUGAUAAUUGAUUAUAUGAUAAUAUGAUAUUAUUAUUAAUAUUGUUAAAGCUUCUAUUAAUUCAAUGAGUUGAAGACAAAUCAGUGGAUAAGGUGGUACACCAAGUACCGGAGUGGGCUCUAAGACUAUCAUGAUAGAAGAAAGUGCAGUGGACUCGGCUCUAGACUACCUUGCUGAAUUUAUGUGAUUCUUAAGGAUUUAAGCCAGUUAUCAAGACUUGAGAGGGAGCCAUGAGACAAUUAUCAAGGAAACCCUAGCUUAACCGCCUAACAACCUUCCCUUGUAUUUCAAAUUAUAGUUUGUAUAAGAUAUAUUACUAGAUAUUCCAGCUGUAUAUCUUAUUUUCAACAGUUGUUAUGUAAUCUACAAAUAUAUCUAGGGUUGUACUCUUUAAAAUAUCAAUAUAUACAAAAUCAUAUUUUUCUCUAAACUUAAUAUGGUAUUAGAGCAAACCAUCAUGAAUCUUAAUGGAAAUCCAUCUUUCUCUUCUUCCUCUUCUACUGCUCAACUCAAUUUUUCUAUCAGACUCACUUCUAACAAUUUUCUCUUAUGGAAAAUUCAGCUCAUGCCUCUUCUUCACUCUCAAGAUCUCAUCGACUUCAUAGAUGGUAGUUAUUCAGCUCCAUCUAAAACAAUUCUCAGCAAUGAUACUCCGCUUCGAACCAUUCUGAAUUCAGCUUACUCUAUCUGGUUUCAUGGAGACCAAAUGCUUCUGUCCUGGAUCCUCUCUUCUCUUACUGAAGAAAUUUUUCCCUACAUCAAUGGAGUUUCCUCAUCCUAUUCAGCUUGGAAAACUCUAGAAAAUGCAUUUGGUGCUGUAUCUCAAAAUAAACAGCUUCAACUUCAUAUCAAAUUAUAAGAGCUGAAGAAAAAUGAUCUCUCUAUGAAGGAUUAUUUACUAAAAGCUAAAGCAUUGGCCGAUAAAUUAACUACUGCUGGUUGUCCAAUUAAUGAAGUCGAGUUUAAUGCAAUUAUUGUCCACAAUAUUGGUGCUGAAUUUCAAGGAAUUAUAAGCACUCUCAAUACCAUAUUAAAACCAAACAAUUUUUGUAGGCUUCAUAGUCGUCUUUUUGCUCAUAAAAUUCUUCUUAAAGCUCAACAAUCAAACUAUAUGGCUAAUCUUUUCUACAAGCCCUCGAUUUUGUCUACACCAACUUUUUUUCCACCACAAUCACUGCCUCCUUCACAGAAGAAUUUUCGGCCAUCAUGGAAAAUGAAGUUUCAAAAUCGGGGUGGUGUCUACUAGUGGCUAUGCCAUUUACAUUGGAAAGUAUAUUGCAUCAUGGAGUGCCAAGAAACAACCUACAAUUGCUAGGUCAUUAACUGAAAGUGAGUAUGAGAGGUUACAAAUAGUUAUAUUUAUUGUGUUUAAUUCCCUUGCGAUUUGGUUGAAUAAUGUACCUAAUUAUGAAAAUUUUGUUUAUUCUAACUUAGGUAAUGAAAUAUGAAGGAUGGAACAAAAUCCAGCCUAAAGACAUGUUUUAAGUCAUCAUUUGUCAAAAACCAAGUCUUUUGGAGGAGAUGCUGAAAUCUGCAAAGAAGAUCACUGUCGACAAGGCGUGACCAUGUCUUACAGCCCAUGAGCUCCGCAGAAAUCUGUGUAGAAGACUACUGUCAGCAAGGCGUGACCAUGCCUUGCGUCCCAUGAGCUGCUAAAAGAUGCGAAAGAGAGCUUUGAAAUUUUUAGAAAUUAAUUUGUAGUGGACCUAUCCCUAAUUAAUUUUCUUUAUUUUUGGAAGUAUUGGAUUAAUAGAACUUUCUUCCAUGUAUUUAGAGUUUUAAUUUAUUUAGAUCACUCUUAAUCUUAUCCUUCCGUAUAGGGAUAAGAUUAAAUAGGAAGCAUAUUUCUUUUUUAUAAGGAUUCUACUAUUAGGGUUUAGAGUUUUACUUCCUAUAUAAGGACGGCUAGAUACUUUAAGUAUAUAAUUCAUAUUUUUAUUCUUCUUCUACUCUCUACAAUUCUUGUGAAUUCUUACUCCACCAUGAGUGGCUAAGUUCUUAGUUUCUAAUUCAAGUGAAAAAAUUCUAAUUGUGAUUUUGUGAGGCUUUGUGCUUAACAUAAUUCUUUUUUAAUUCAAGUAUUCUUUAUUUCUUGUUCUUAUUAUUUAUGAAUUAUUGAUAUUGAUUGAACUGACGACUCAACUUUGAUAUUGAUUUUUCUAUUGCUACACUUUGAGUUUGUAAUCCGUAAUUGUCAUGAACGAUUGACACAAGUAGCAAGGAGUUGGCUCAUGUGUGUGUGAUUAUGGCUUAUUCGAAUUACAUAGCUUGCAUGAUAUGCUCUAGGGAAAUAAAGGAAAAAAAUUAUUUCAAUUGCAGUUAUCUCAAUUAAAUUAAUGUUGGUUUAGUCAUUCUUAUUAUUCUUACUGCUAUCAUUAAGUUGAUAUGGAAUGUUAUCGUGCCCAGUUGAUUAAUGGUAAGUCUUGAUUUGGAUGUUGGGUUUGAGUCAAUUAUAUUAGGAGAAUUACACUUGUUGCGGUUUUUUCGAAUAAGUAGACUAAGUACUUGAAUAGAAGAAUUGAUAUUUUAGCCUAUAAUCAUGAUUACAAUUGGAUGGAAUUAGCACUUUUGAAUUGGAAAUUUAUUAAGAUUGAUUUUAUUUACUUUAAUAUUCAGCCUUCAUUAUUUUCUGCUUAUUUAUAAUUUUGAUUCAAACAUUCAAAAUCUCUCCUUUUUAUUUUACUUUGAGAAGCUAUCCACAUUGGUUCCCUUGGGAUUUGACUUGGUUUCACUAUUUCUACAAGUUAGUUUAGGAAAAUCAGUAAUUUAUUUUGAAGGGCUUCGACAACCCGUUCAAAUUUGGUGUCGUUGUCGGGGGAACCUAUUUUAGUUUAUCAUUGAUUAAUUUAUUUGUUUAUGACUUGUUCUUCUCAAGAUAUUGAUUUGCAGUUUAAUCCUGAAAUUGAGAAGACAGCGCGUUGAUUAAGAAAGGAGACUAGACAAAGAAAAAGUUGUCUCAUAGAGGAGUUGGAAAUAGAUUUGGCUAUUGGUGACACAUCUAUUUUUCAAGAAAUUAUAGAAAACAUGGCGAACAGAACUCUCAAAGAGCUAGCUGCAUCGGAUUUAAAUCAACAAUCUUUAUGCAUUACAUUUCCUAAUAUUGCAGUUGAUUUUGAAUUAAAAUCUGGUUUAAUUCACUUACUCCCUUUUUUUAAUGGAUGUGCAGGUAAAGAUCCUCAUAAACACAAAACUCCAUAUUGUAUGCUCCGGAAUGAAGCCACAUGGUGUGACCGAAGAGCAAAUAAAUCUUAGAGCUUUUUCCUUUUCUUUGAAGGAUAAAGCAAAAGAUUGGCUCUAUUAUCUACCCUCUGGUUCAAUAACAACAUGGAAUGAGAUGAAAAUAUUGUUCUUAGAUAAGUUCUUCCCUGCAACAAGAGCUGCCAACGUCAGAAAAGAAAUUUGUGGCAUAACACAGUUCACUGGAAAAACAUUGUAUGAGUAUUAGGAAAGGUUCAAGCAAUUGUGUGCUAGCUGCCCCCAUCAUCAAAUUUCUCAGCAACUUUUAAUCCAAUACUUCUAUGAAGGAUUGUUGCCCAUGGAGAGGAGUAUGAUUGACGCAGCAAGUAGUGGAGCUUUGGUAGACAAGACGCCUGAAGAAGCCAAGCAAUUAAUUUCAAACAUGGCCGAAAAUUCUCAGCAAUUUGGUACAAGGGCUGAUGGAGCUACAAGGCGAGUUAAUGAGGUAAGCACUAAAAAUUUUGAAAAUCAAAUUUCUGAUUUAACUACUUUGGUUCGUCAAAUGGUUGUAGGGCAAUUGCAAAUGGCAAAAGCUUGUGGAAUAUGCUCAGUUCAAGGACAUCACAUCAAUAUAUGCCCAACAUUGCAACAAGACUCUAUACAAGAAGCUAAUGCUCUAGGUAGAUUUACUGGUCAACCUCAAAGGAAGUAUGACCCUUUCUCCAAUUAUUAUAAUCUUGGAUGGAGAGAUCACCCAAAAUUGAGUUAUGAAAACUAAGGAGGACAACAAAAGUAUCCUUCCCANNNNNNNNNNNNNNNNNNNNNNNNNNNNNNNNNNNNNNNNNNNNNNNNNNNNNNNNNNNNNNNNNNNNNNNNNNNNNNNNNNNNNNNNNNNNNNNNNNNNNNNNNNNNNNNNNNNNNNNNNNNNNNNNNNNNNNNNNNNNNNNNNNNNNNNNNNNNNNNNNNNNNNNNNNNNNNNNNNNNNNNNNNNNNNNNNNNNNNNNNNNNNNNNNNNNNNNNNNNNNNNNNNNNNNNNNNNNNNNNNNNNNNNNNNNNNNNNNNNNNNNNNNNNNNNNNNNNNNNNNNNNNNNNNNNNNNNNNNNNNNNNNNNNNNNNNNNNNNNNNNNNNNNNNNNNNNNNNNNNNNNNNNNNNNNNNNNNNNNNNNNNNNNNNNNNNNNNNNNNNNNNNNNNNNNNNNNNNNNNNNNNNNNNNNNNNNNNNNNNNNNNNNNNNNNNNNNNNNNNNNNNNNNNNNNNNNNNNNNNNNNNNNNNNNNNNNNNNNNNNNNNNNNNNNNNNNNNNNNNNNNNNNNNNNNNNNNNNNNNNNNNNNNNNNNNNNNNNNNNNNNNNNNNNNNNNNNNNNNNNNNNNNNNNNNNNNNNNNNNNNNNNNNNNNNNNNNNNNNNNNNNNNNNNNNNNNNNNNNNNNNNNNNNNNNNNNNNNNNNNNNNNNNNNNNNNNNNNNNNNNNNNNNNNNNNNNNNNNNNNNNNNNNNNNNNNNNNNNNNNNNNNNNNNNNNNNNNNNNNNNNNNNNNNNNNNNNNNNNNNNNNNNNNUUGCAAAGACUGGUGUAAUGAUUCAAUUAGCCGAUCACUCUUAUAUUCAUCCCCUUGGAGUUGUUGAAGAUGUUUUGGUGCAGGUUAAUGAGCUCAUAUUUCCUAUCGAAUCUUACAUUUUGGAAGUGGAUGGUAAUUCCUCAUUAACAUCAGCUUUGAUUUUAUUAGGACGACCAUUCAUGAAAACUGCUAACAUAAAGAUUAAUGUAGAUGAGGGUACUCUCUCCGUAGAGUUUGAUAGAUAGAUUAUUAAAUUUAAUAUUUUCAAUGUAAUAAAAUAUGCUAAUAAUUUACAUUCUCUUUGCCAUAUUGAUGUAAUUAAUCCAAUUGUGCAAGAAGUAUUUGCAAAAGAAAAUGUUAGUGAUGAGCAAGAAUUAGAUGCACAAUCUAAUUUAGAAGUGGAAAUUAGAAGAUUGGAUUUGGAUAAAAUUUUCAAACUGAAUGGUCAUAGAUUGAAGAUCUUCCAUGAGGGUGAAAUUGCUUUAUGUCUCAUUAGUUUUCCUUCGAAUCACCCCACUUAUUUAGAUGACUCAAAUAUUUUAUCAUUUCGUCAAGCAUAACGACGUUAAACAAUUGCGCUAUUGGGAGGCAACCCAAACACUUACUUUAUUUUUUUUUAUUUUUUUUCUUUCACUUAGUUUAUUUUAUUUUUAGUUUUUAGUUUUUAAUUUUUUUAAUAAAGAAAUUCAAAUUUUUUUCUGACAGGAGACUAAUUUCUACCAGGCGUGACCACGCCUUGUUCCCAAACAUCUUCUGUUCUGUAACAAAAAAAAAAAUCCUACUGUUACUCUUACAGAAGCUCGCUUCUUAUAAGGCGUGACCACGCCUUGUUUCAAAAUACCUUCUGUUUUGUUUUGAAAAACUGCACCUCAAGAUUACAGAAGCUCGUCUCUUAUAAGGCGUGACAACGCCUUGUUUCAAUACGCCUUUUGUUUUGACUUCUUUUUUUUUUUACAGAAGCUCGUUUCUUAUAAGGCGUGACCACGCCUUAUUUUAGCUUUGUUUUGACUUCUUUACUUUAUUUUACAGAAGCUCGUUUCUUAUAAGGCGUGACCACGCCUUAUCUCAAACCACUCUUUUUUUUAUUAUUAUUUAUUAUUUAUUUUAUUUUAUUAUUUUUUUUAUUAUUAUUAUUUUAUUUUUUUAAUUUUCCUAAUUUUUUAUUUUUUAUUAUUUUAAUUUUUUUAUUAUUAUUAUUUAUUUUUGUGCUUAAAAAAAAAGAGAGAGAGAAAAGAAACGAGAACGUUUUAUUUUGCAUAGCCACUAACGUUUUAUUUUCUUUGGCAGCAAUCAUCACCAAAACUUCCUAUUUUCACUGGGCGGUUCUACCUCCUUUCCCACCAUCACCAUUGACUAUUCAGUCCGAGUUGCUUUGCAAAUCAGAGGAGUUUCAUAAUUCUUUUUAUUUUUUUUUUCUGAGCCAUUUUCUUUUUGAUACAUUGAGGACAAUGUAUAGUUUAGGUGUAGGGAAGGAAUAUGAUAAUUACAUGAUUUCCUUUUCUUUUUGAAAAUAUUUUUUUAUGCUUUUAAUUAGGUAUGCUUUAAUUCAUACGUGCUACUUUUUCUUUUGCAACCUUGAGUUUUAUUUUGAUAACCUGGAAUACCAUGUAAAUUAGAAAUACAUUUUUGGUUUGAAUUUCAAUGCAUGAAAUGGGAUAAGCAUGAUUAGUGUAUCUUUAAAACUAUCCGAAGGUAUCUCAUUAGUUUAUUGAUUGAAAAAUGUACAAGAAUUGAUACAAAUGUAAAUAUUCAAGUGAGCUUUGAUCCUUAGAGCAGUGCAUUAUAUUUUGCUCUGAUUAUUUUUUAUGAGUGUUAUCAAACUAGUAUGAUUAUUCUAGAACUUGCUUUUGAAUUCAUGUUGAGACUAUAUUUUUGGAUUGAUGCUUUAAUAUGAUAAGGGAAAUUAGGAUUAAUCUAUUCUUAGACUCUUAAAGACUUACCCUAUUGAUUUUUCUUUUAGUCAGCCACUUUGAGCUUAUUUUCUUCUUUUUUUUCUUGUUUUUAACACAUGUUAUUUAACCCAAGACCUUUCAUUUGUUACCUCUAUUUUUCUAACCUUGUCAAGAUAAGAAGGGAAGUGUUGCAUGGUAUAAAUGAAACAGAAAAAAAAAAAGAGAAAAAGAAAGAAACAGAGAAAAAAAAAAGGAAGAAGAAGAGGAAAAGAAAGUUAAUAUCUAUUCCUUUCAUGAAGAGGAGAAUUGAAGAAGUAUUCAUCAAAUAUACUGAAUUAAAUUGUUACUCCUCACAAGUUCUCAUAUAAAAUAUGGGAAUAAAUAUCAACUUUCGAAAUUUUUGUAGUAUGUUUUAUGGAUGUCGCAUAAGUUAUCAUGCAAGAAUCUAAUUUUUUUUUGUCUUAAUUAUGAAACAUUUCAGCUCUUCCUUUAUCACACCAUUUCCUAAGCCCCAUUACAACCCUUGUAAAGUCCCUUUGAUUUUUGCAUCUAAUUCAUGUGUAGUGGUGAAGACUUGAUUCAUUAGCAAGCUUAUGGUAAUAACAUGCUAUGUUUUGAUUCUGAGAGUAAAUGCACCCUAAACACUUUGAGAGUAUUAAGUGAAACCAUGUGAGGGUGUUAAAUCUCGUUGCUUUGAUUUUGAUGAAUUAUUGAGAUACCUGUUCUUUUUAUAAAAUUUAUCCUAUGAGUGCUAAUCUCUUGAUUGUCAUUAUUAUUUAGCUCAUUAAUGUAUGUUUAAUUUGUUUGGUAUUUGAGGAGAUUAAAAGAGAUGAAAAGGAAGGUUAAAAGGAGAAUUUGUAUGUUGAAUUGAGGUAUGCUUGAGGACAAGCAUAAAUUAGGUGUGGAGAAAUUUGAUAGGUCACAAACAGUUAUAUUUAUUAUGUUUAAUUCCCUUACGAUUUGGUUCAAUAAUGUACUUAAUUAUGAAAAUUCUGUUUAUUCUGAAUUAGGUGAUGAAAUAUCAAGGAUGGAGCAAAAUACAGCCUAAAGGCAUGUUUAAGUCAUUAUUUAUCAAAAACCAAGUCUUUUAGAGGAGAGGCUGAAAUCUGCAAAAAAGAUCACUGUCAACAAGGCGUGACCACGCCUUACAGCCCAUGAGCUCCGCAAAAAUCNNNNNNNNNNNNNNNNNNNNNNNNNNNNNNNNNNNNNNNNNNNNNNNNNNNNNNNNNNNNNNNNNNNNNNNNNNNNNNNNNNNNNNNNNNNNNNNNNNNNNNNNNNNNNNNNNNNNNNNNNNNNNNNNNNNNNNNNNCACCUUGCGUCCAUGAGCUGUUAAAAGAUGGGAAAGAGAGCUUCGAAAUUUUCAGAGAUUAAUUUGUAGUGGACCUAUACCUAAUUAAUUUCUUUUAUUUUUGAAAGUGUUGGAUCAAUAGAACUUUUUUCCACGUAUUUAGGGUUUUAAUUUAUUUAGAUCACUCUUAAGCUUAUCCUUCCGUAUAGGGAUAAAAUUAUAUAGGAAGCAUAUUUUUUUUUUAUAAGGAUUCUACUAUUAGGGUUUAGGGUUUACUUUCUAUAAAAGGAUGGCUAGAUACUUUGAGCAUAUAAUUCAUAUUCUUAUUCUUCUUCUACUCCCUACAAUUCUUGUAAAUUCUUACUCCACCAUGAGUGGCUAAGUUUUUAGUUUUUAAUUCAAGAGUGAAUAAAUUCCAAUUGUGAUUUUGUGAGGCUUUGUGCUUAACAGAUUUUUUUUUAAUUCAAGUAUUCUUUAUUUCUUGUUCGUAUUAUUUAUGAAUUAUUAAUAUUGAUUGAAUUGACGACUCAACUUUGAUAUUGAUCUUUCUAUUGCUAAACUUUAAGUUUGUGAUCCGUAAUUAUCAUGAACGAUUGAUACAAGUAGCAAGGAACUGGCUCAUGUGUGUAAUUAUGGCUUAUUCGAAUUACAUAGCUUGCAUGAUAGGCUCUAGGGAAAUAAAAGAACAAGAUUGUUUCAAUUUCAGUUAUCUCAAUUGAAUUAAUGUUGGUUUAGUCAUUCUCAUUAUUUUUAAUGCUAUCAUUAAGUUGAUAUGGAACGCUAUCGUGCCCAGUUGACUAAUGGUAAGUUUUGAUUUGGAUGUUGGGUUUGAGUCAAUUAUAUUAGGAGAAUUACACUUGUUGCAGCUUUUUCGAAUAAGUAGACUAAGUACUUGAAUAGAAGAAUUGAUAUUUUAGCUUAUGAUCAUGAUUACAAUUGGAUGAAAUUAGCACUCUUGAAUUAGAAAUUUGUUAAGAUUGAUUUUAUUUACUUUAAUAUUCAGCAUUUAUUAUUUUCUGCUUAUUUAUAAUUUUGAUUCAAACAUUCAAAAUCCUCCCUUUUUAUUUUACUUUGAGAAGCCAUCCAUAUUGGUUCCCUUGGGAUUCGACCUGGUUUCACUAUUUCUACAAGUUAGUUUAGGAAAAUCAGUAAUUUAUUUUGAAGGGCUUCGACAACCCAUUCAAAGUACAAGGCUCAUGCCAAUACCAUUGCUGAACUUUUAUGGAUUUAAUCUCUGUUGCGAGAAAUUGGUAUGCUUUCUUCUUCACUUGCUACCUUGUGGUGUGACAAUAUUGGAGCAAUUUACUUAUCCUCUAAUCCGGUUUUUCAUGCUCGUACUAAGCAUAUUGAGUUCGACUAUUAUUUUUUAAGGGAACAAAUGGCGUUAAGCAUCAUCCAAAUUGGUUUUCUUUCUUCCAAUGAUCAACUUGGUACACUGGGUGUUAGAUUGUUUCAGCAGCAUCGCUCUCAUCUUCGUCUUCAACCUCACCCACCAUUAGCUUGCCGACAAGUAUCAAGUAAACCCUAGCUUAACUGCCUGAAAACCUUCCCUUGUAUUUCAAAUUAUAGUUUGUAUAAGAUAUAUUAUUAGAUAUUCCAGCCAUAUAUCUUAUUUUCAAUAGUUGUUAUGUAAUCUAUAGAUAUAUCUAGAGCUGUACUCUUUAAAAUAUCAAUAUAUACAAAAUCAUCUACUUCUCUAAACUUAAUAACAAUGAGCCUUGGUCUUGUCCGCUAUUUAUCAAUCAUCCAUCCUCGAUCACCCUAUAUGCAAAAAUUACAUAAUUAAAUUUAUAAUUUCAACUUUUUUGACAAAUUACAGUUUUUUAGUUAAAUAUCUUAAAUCUAAAUAUUUUUAAAUUUAAAAUAUUUGUUUGAAAUUUCAUUUCAAACAUAAGAAUUAAUUGAAAAAAUACUAAAAAAAUAAAUUUUAUGUAACACUUACAUAAAAAUAUAAAUGGUUUUAAUUAUAAGACAGCUCCUAAAUGCCAUUGCGGAAUAUCUUUAUGCUAUUUUUUAAUUAAAAACAGAAAUUUUAAUACGCCAAUAAAUAAAAUUAUACUAAUUAUAUAAAAAUAAUUAAGUAUCUGAAUUUAUAUUAAAAUAAUUAAAAUUAUCUAUUAUAGCGCAAAAAUCUAGUGAAACAGAUAUUUUGGUUUUCUUGGUCUUCUAGUUCUCUAACUAUAGAGCUUUUAGUCUGUCCACACGGAGACAUAGAGGCAAUAUUGUAGAGAUUUGAUUUUCUUCUCAGUCAAACCCUUUUACCAAAACCAAUUUUUAGAUUUAUUUUUUCUUACAGCAAUCAAAAUCUCAACAAUGUUCUUUUUUAAAAGAGUAUAUUGCAUUGUCCACAUAAACAAUAACUAUUCUAUAUAUAUAUAUAUAAAUUAAAACUUCUUUUAACUUCUACUUUUUACCUCUUUUCAUAAAUGUAAAUUAAUUAUUUAAUUUAACCAUUUAACUAAAAUGUAAUUAAUUUCUGGCAUAAAUUACUAACACCUUCAAGAGAAGCUAGCAUAGUGCAAGAGAUUACAGAGGUAAGGUAGUAUUCUGCAUGGCUACAAAACUGUCCCUUGGAUACGGUGCUUAUAAUUGACUAGAACGGGAAAGCUUGCACACUUUGCAGGAUGCAGUUUUUGGCAAACUCUCAGCUCUUUUUAUCUCAUUUGCUGUUUUUUCCUUUUUUUUUUUUUUUGUUACACGAUGUAAUAAUUUUCACUAUAACCUCUCUCCCACUUACAAAGCGAAGCAUAUAGUUGCUCGGCCGGUUAAAUACUAUUAAUAAAAAUAGUAAUUCAUUGUUCUUAACAAUAGGGUCCGGAGACUUCUUGAUUCAUUAUACUAUUACUCUAGGAUUAUAUACAACCACAUUGAAAUAAAAUAAAUCAUUAUUUUACAUCGAACAUAAAUAUUGAAUCGCUAUUAUGAAUUACCAUCAAUCUACGUUAGAUAGUAUUCAACGCUAGUAUAGUGAUAGGUCACAAAUAGUUAUAUUUAUUGUGUUUAAUUUCCUUGCGAUUUGGUUGAAUAAUGUACUUAAUUAUGGAAAUUAUGUUUACUCUGAGUUAGGUGAUGAAAUAUCAAGGAUGGAGCAAAAUCCAGCCUAAAGACAUGUUUUAAGUCAUCAUUUAUCAGAAACCAAGUCUUUUGGAGGAAGUGCAGAAAUCUACACAGAAGAUCACUGUCGACAAGGCAUGACCACGCCUUACAGCCCAUAAGCUCCGCAGAAAUCUGUGCAGAAGACUACUGUCAACGAGGCGUGACCACGCCUUGCGCCCCAUGAGCUGCUAAAAGAUGCGAAGGAGAGCUUCGAAAUUUUUAGAGUUUUCAUUGUGGUGGACCUAUCCCUAGUUAAUCUCCUCUAUUUUUGGAAGUGUUGGAUUAAUAGAACUUUCUUCCAUAUAUUUAGGGUUUUAAUUUAUUUAGAUCACUUUUAAUCUUAUCCUUUCUUGUAGGGAUAAGAUUAAAUAGGAAGCUUAUUUCUUUCUGAUAAGGAUUCUAUUAGGGUUUAGGGUUUUACUUCUUAUAUAAGGACGGCUGGAAGUACCUAUAAACAUACAUAUUCUUAUUAUUCUUCUACUCUCUACAAUUCUUGUGAAUUCUUACUCUACCAUGAGUGGCUAAGUUUUUAAUUUCUAAUUUAAGAGUGAAUAAAUUCCAAUUGUGAUUUUGUGAGGCUUUAAGCUUAACAGAAUUCUUCUUUAAUUCAAGUAUUUUUUAUUUCUUGUUCUUAUUAUUUAUGAAUUAUUAAUAUUGAUUGAACUGACGACUCAACUUUGAUAUUGAUUUUUCUAUUGCUAAACUUUGAGUUUAUGAUCCGUAAUUGUCAUGAACGAUUGACAUAAGUAGCAAGGAGCUGGCUCAUGUGUGUGUGAUUACGGCUUAUUCGAAUUACAUAGCUUGCAUGAUAGGCUCUAGGGAAAUAAAGGAACAAGGUUAUUUCAAUUGCAGUUAUCUCAAUUAAAUUAAUGUUGGUUUAGUCAUUCUCAUUAUUCUUAAUGCUAUCAUUAAGUUGAUAUGGAACGCUAUCGUGUCCAGUUGACUAAUGAUAAGUCUUGAUUUGGAUGUUGGGUUUGAGUCAAUUGUAUUAGGAGAAUUACACUUAUUCCGGCUUUUUCGAAUAAGUAGACUAAGUACUUGAAUAGAAGAAUUGAUAUUUUACCUAUGAUCGUGAUUACAAUUGGAUGGAAUUAGCACUCUUGAAUUGAAAAUUUGUUAAGAUUGAUUUUUAUUUACUUUAAUAUUCAGCCUUCAUUAUUUUCUGCUUAUUUAUAAUUUUGAUUUAAACAUUCAAAAAUCUCCAUUUUAUUUUACUUUGAGAAGCUAUUUACAUUGGUUCUCUUGGGAUUCGAUCUGGUUUCACUUUUUCUACAAAUUAGCUUAAAAAAAUCAGUAAUUUAUUUUGAAGGACUUCAACAACCCGUUCACAUAGAUUUAUUUUUUAAAGUAAAGCGGUGUCAAACCAAAAUACUCAACAAGCAUUAUUUCUUUCUAAAAAUUGAAGUGAUCCAACCGCACCUUUCAGUGCGACUACUUUAUUACAACUUUACUUUAGUGAAUAAUCCUGUCUUCGGCAUUCCCCUCCUUGCUGCUAAGGUAACGAUUUCGGCAUCGCCAGCUCCCAUAGUGGUUAUAGGGCUUAAUUUAUAAGUAGUGCCUAGAUAUCUCUCCAUUCAAUAUAGCGACGGAAUACAAUACGUAAAUAAUCAUUGACAAUGCUUGUUCAUCGAAAUCUACGAUUUCUUAUUUAAAUAUAUACCAGACCCAUUUGCAUAAAUGUAAAACCAAUUCAAUAUCACGAAUGAACAUGGGUAAUUGGGGUAAUGAGGACAGUUGCCCCCACCGCUCUAUAUAUAUAUAUAUAUAUAUAUAUAUAUAUAUAUAUAGGUACAAGUUAUUUUUUUAUUUUGUCCCACUAAUUAUUUUUAAUAAUACUAAAUUUUUUAAUAGCAAGAUAGAUUCUUCUUGCUACGAAGAAUCUAUUGGUUGAUUGAUAAUUUGAAAUGCUCAUUUGCCUUAAAUAGGUGUUUUUUUUUAUAAAAAUAAAGUCAUGUUAGAGAUACACAUUAUUAAAAGAAAAAAAAAAGAUAAUAAAAAUUUGUAAAAAUAAAGGUCUAACUAAUCAAGUGAUUAAUUCUAAUCAUUUUAAUAUUAGUUGGAUUCAAAUUUAAAUUUAUUAAUUAGUUUCUACUCUAUAAUUUAUUUAACUCCUGUUAAUAGUUUUUCCAAUUUUAUCUAUUGUUAAUGCAUUUUAAAUAUAAAUUAUUUUAAUUUAUUAUGAAUGAAAUAUCUCCAAUAUUCUACAAUAUAGAAAAGUUUGCCACCUAAAAUCUUUUUUUGGCUCCAAUUGUUCCUAUAUACCAGAGGAAACAUACUUAUAAGAAAAUCCCUUUGCCGCAUCCCUGUCUGACUUGAUGACUAAUAAUUGUGACUGUCGCCAAGAUUAAAAAGUGGCAUGAUUAUGCUUAUCGAAUAUUAAUAACAUAGUCUUCCCAUAUUAUCUGCAUCAAAAUAAUGCUCAUUAAAAAUAUUGGUGGACCGACUUUUUCAUCCAAUUUAUCAUCUUUUGAGUUAUACAAUGAAAAAUAUAAACAAGAAUAAUUAGUUCUUGUUAACUAAUAACAUUUCUCAUCCUCUUUUCUACUUAUAAUCAUUGCAAAGAAUUUUUUAUUAGACUAAAAAGAGUAAAAGAAAAAUGAAUUACAAAAUAAUAAAAACUACAGAUGAAAAAUUAUAAUAGACCAUAAAGCACACGUGCUGAAUCCUCACCCACUUCGACACGUGUACUUCUCUACAUAUUUUCAAGACGUGGCACUUGCAUCCGCACCAGUCCCUUCGUUCCUUUCACCUACUUGUUUUUCGAUUUUUUCCUUAUUAUUUUUAUCAAAUUUAUUUUAAUUUGUGUAAAACUACAGUAAAGUUGGUAGAGAAAAAUGAAAGAGAAAGCUUUAAAAAUAUUUAUAUUAUUAUUGAGCAAUCAAUUAGUUGCUACAACACAAUAAUACAGGACGAGAGAUCAGUAUUUAUACUAAUAGUAUUAGGGGUAAAUUAGAUUUUGGAGGUACCAAAUUAUGCAUUUUAAAAAUAUAUUAAAUCUUUGAUAUAACUAAAUGAUCAAUGAUCUUCAAUUUUAAUAACAUUAAUUAGUUUUUUUAACAAAUGUGAAGAUUACAUCAACAGUCACCAAAUUUUACAUGUUAUAAUAAAAAAAUUAUUAAAAUUCCGAUUUUAGAAGAUAUAUGACCAGUAUUCUUUUUUGUAAUAAAUUAAAGAUUUAAUACAUUUUAAUUAUAAAAUGUUAAAUUUAGUAACUAUCUAUAUAAUUUACCAUUCAAACGUGUGCUGCUAAAAUUAAAAUUUAGCGACUAUUUAAUUAUAAAUCAAAUAUUUACUAUAUUUUUAUUACAAAGUGUAAAAUAUAAUAAGCGUGACUGAUAAUAUUACCCUAAAAUGUAUUUAUAUACUAAGUGAAGGAAACUGCAACUAAAAAUUGAUAAAAUUGCUUAGACAUCAGUUAUGGUGAAACAUCACAUUUAACAUCAUCCCUUUGCAAGGUUGGUUUCAGUAGAUUUCUUAAUUAAUCACAAUUUUUUCACAAACCAAGACUUUAUUAAAGCAGAAUUUGGGUAAGGUACCCAGUACAAAAACUGACCACCCAUAUCAACAAAAAAUGGAAAAUGAAACGCUACAAGAACAAAGAUAAUAUAAAACAUAAAACGCACGCGACAAAGUCACUCUCUUGUAACAGUUGCCUUUGCCAAGUUGUCUGCAAAUCCAUUAUUUUCAAUACUUAGUCUAAUAUGUUUAAUUUGGAAGCAUGCAUGUGAUUAUGCCGGGUACAAAUUUGCAGGCAAACGUGGCUUUGCGAGUGCAACUAAUGGUUUGGCAAGUGCCAAACUAUUCUUAGACUCUGAAAGAUCAAUGCUUGUCUCAUUAGGGGGCACGCUCCAGCUAAACCCUUGAAGAAGCCUAGCAAAUAACAUAGCAGUCACUGCAGUUCCCAAUAUGAUGCCUGGACAACCUCUUCGUCCUGUACUAAAUGAAAGCAAGUUCAAAUCAGGCUGCGUCAGCAUCACUUGACAUCCAUUUUUCUUGAAAUGACGCUCUGGUUUGAACAUGUGUGGUUCAUCCCAAAUCCGGGGAUUCCGGCCGAGGCCGACUCGGCUAAGCAAGACAUGGCUACCUUUUGGAAUAAAAUAGUCAGCAACAGUUGUAUCUGCUAUGGAGACAUGAGGAACAUUGAAGAAGACAAUAGGGUGGAGGCGAAACGCUUCUUUAGCACAUGCUUUUAUGUAAUUGAGCUGUGGGAAAUCUGACUCUUGGACUAGUCUCUCCCUUCCAACAACUCUAUCCAAUUCUUCUACUGCGUUCUCAAGAAGUUUCGGUUUGUUUAUCAUCUCUGCAAGUGCCCAUUCUAAAGCAUUUGAUGGAUUAUCCACUGCUGCCAGCAUUAUUUCCUACAAAUCAAUUAUUAAAAUGCAAGAUGCAAUAAAUUUGAAUCUUAACCAACAUAUUUAAUAUAUACCAAACUGAAAAUGACGAAAUGAACUUCUUGCAAGAAAAGAACAAGCAAAUGGAAUUUUCCAUAAUUCCAUUUCAUCAAUCAGGCAGAAAAAUGUUAUAUUUGGGAUGUGUUGUAUACGUUGGACAACUUUCAUCGGAGAGAAGAAGUAAAUAAAUAUAAUAAAAACGAUACAAGUAAAAAAAUUUAUUAAAGAUUGAGAUAUAUCACGGAUAUAUAUUUCUAUAAUUAAAAUAUACAAGACACUUUAUCUCUUAACAAAAGAUAGCUUUCUACCCCUACUAAUAUUGUAAGUUAUUUAUAAUACUUAUAUGAUUUUUUAUUUAUAACUUUAAUUAUUGAUAUUCAUGACAUUUAAUAAUCUAAUCUUUCAUAUAGUUAGAGCUCUUUAACAACUAAUCAUUCUUAAAACAAUAAUAUCAAAUAUUGAAGUUUACAUUUUCAAUAGUAUGCAUGUGCGAUAGAGUGAGAGAGACAGAGCUUACAGUAAUCUGAGCUUUAAUCUCUUCUGUUGACAGCAAAGAGUUGCCAUUGGCAUCUUCUAAAUUUAUGAAAACGUCAAGCAAGUCGUCCACUUCCUUCUUAGUGCCAUCCCUCCAUUGUUUGACCCUCGCUUCAAUUAUGGGAUCUUGAUAUUUUUUUAUGAUUCCAAUAGCAUCCUUCAUGAUCUUCUCAUGACCAUCCAAGUCAAGCCCUAUCAAGCAUGGCAUAUAAUCAGACACACAAAAUGCAUAGGUAUGAGCAAGGGCUGUUAAAAUCGCAUCAACAUGCUCUUUUUCCUCGACACCAGGCCCUCCGUCCUUCAUUCCCUCCCCGAAGAACCUUUUGUUAAACACCAUCUUCCUUAUUACAUUUCCACAAUAGUGCCGUCCUGUGAUUCUCACGUCAACUGAUCCACCUUCCUCGGCAGUCUUGCAUUGGUUAUACACAUAACGAACAAGGUGAUCAGCUUCUUCAAGUCUUUUUCCGUAAAACCACUUGCAUUUUUCGGCAGAAAGAAAUUGCGUUACCAGCACUCUCCUCAUUUUCUUCCAUUGUUCUCCUAAGGGCACAAGACCUGUUGUCAAAUAACCUCUUGCAGUGAGAUCGGUGGACAUGGUUAACGGCCUGCUUGCAAAGACAGCAUCCUGUACUUUCAAGAAUUCACGGCUAAUCUCAGGAGAAGUGACAGGAAUCACAUGAACGUUUCCAAGACGGAUACAAGCAAUUUCAGUGUUCAUUUCUUCCAUGAGCUUGUGUAUCCAUCGAAUGGUCGGCUUAUUUGCCAGCAUCGUUGGCAGGCAUCCGACAAGAGGCCAAGGUUUUGGGCCAGGAGGUAGUGGGAGUUGCUUGGCGUUUUGGCUUUCUAGCUUUUGGAAUUUGGUCAAGUAAAUUAAGGCCAACGCCAAGAGAAGAACUAGGGAACAGGAGUUCAACAAUGUUCCGAGAAAGCUAAUGCCAAUUCCUGCAAAAUCUGGUGUGCAAUGAAGAGAAGCUAGCCUAGUGCAAGAUAUUACAGAGAUAGCGUUCUGCAUGGCCACAAAACUGUCCAUCGACAUGCUGCUUAUAAUUUACUAGAACUGGAAAGCUUGCAUGCUUUGCAGGAUGCUGUUUCUAGCAAACUCUCAGCUCUUUUAUCUCAUUUGAUUUUUUCUUUUCCUUCUUUUUUUGUUUACACAAUGUAAUAAUUAACCCUAUAACCUCUCCCAUUUAUAGGGCUGAAUCCAAAAUCUACGAUGUAAUUCAAUAUAGCAAUGCAAUAGAAUGUUUGUUACAUCUGAAUAAUACAGGACGAGGGAUCCGUAUUUAUGCAUUUAUUUAUACUGUAUAUACCAUAUAUUUUUGCUUUUAUUUAUACAUUUAUCCAAAUCAUAAGUUAACUAUAUACUAAAUCUUCUUCUAUACAUUUAUACAUACCAUUUACACAUUAUGGAAUUCAAGUUUAAUUUGGCCAUACAACAUAUAUGUUAUUUGUCUGUUUAACUUUUUGUAACACCCUAUUUCUCCUUAUUAUUAUUUUAUUUUAUUUUAUUUCAAAUUAUCUAAGGUAUCAUUUUUAUUUCCUUAUCAUUUCAUAACUAACUUCAUUUAUGCAUUCAUGUAUAUACAUGCUAGAGCUAUUUUCGUAAUAUGAUCCCCUUUAACAAGCGAUCAAAAUUAAGUUAAAACGAGCUAAAGAUAUGAAAAAAUAACGGAUGAGAUGGAAUAAAAGGAUUGCAGAGUGGCAAUUUUAAGUCCAAAGUUUUUUUAUCUAAAUUUGAUAUAUGUCUUUUCUUAUAUAUUAAACCGGUAGAUAAUAUUUAUUAGUUUUAAAUAAUAAAGUAUAUGUCAAUCAUUAAAUACCAAAGUAUAAAACACUCAUUAAUAUAUAUCACUCUUCUAUUAGUUAUAGUAUAUAUACUGUGCAACGAUUUCGGCAUGACCAGCUCCCAUAGUUAAAGGGAUUAACCUAUAAGUAGUGCCUAGCUAUCUCUCCAUUCAAUAUAGCAACGAAAUACAAUAUGUAUAAUCAUCGACAAUGCUUGUUCAUCGAAAUCUCCAAUUCUUCUUUAAAUAUUUACCGGACUCACUUGCAUAAAUGUGAACCCAUUCAACAUCACAAAUGAACAUGAAUAAUUGGGGCAAUGGGGACAGUUGCCCCCACCGCUCUAUCAUAUAUAUAUAUAUAUAUAUAUAUAUAUAUAUAUAUAUAUAUAUAGGUAAAGGUUUUUUUUUUUUUUGCCCGACUAUGAUUCUUCUUGCUACGAAGAAAUAUUGGUCCAUUGAUGAUUUGAAAUUCUCAUUUGCCUUAAAUAGGUGUUUUCAUUUUUUUUUAUACUUUCUUUUUUUAUAAAAACAAAAUUAUGUUAGAGAUCUCAUAUUAUUAAAAAAAAAAAGAGAUAAUAAUAAUUUAUAAAAAUGAAGGUCUAACUAAUAAAAAGAUUAGUUCUAGUCAUUUUAAUAUUAGUCUGACUCAAAUUCAAAUUUAUUAAUUGGCUUCUGCACUCUAUGAUUUAUUUAACUCCCAUCUAAUUAAAUAAAUUUAAAUUAUAAUAUUCUAUUAGAGCAGGUUUGUCUAAUUUCUUAAUUUUCUAACUUUUUAUCUGAAUGUCUAAUUUAACGAUCCGGUCCGAUGUUGCCGCUCUCUUUCAAUUCAAUUCAAAUUUUAAAGAAGUGAUUUCAAUUUCAAGUGACAACUAGAUGUCACAGUCAAAUAUCUGUUGUAUUUGAAGGGGAGUAUUAGAAAUCUCACAUUAUUAAAGAAUAAGAGAUAACAAUAAUUCAUAAAGAUGGACCAAAGUUACUAGUUCUUGUGAUUUUAGUAUUAGUUGGACCAAACACAAAUCCUUGGGUUUUUUUUUUUUUUUUUUUUUUUGUCUUAGGUUGGUAUAUUUUUCAUGGUAUGCUCCAUAAAGGAAUUGGCGAGGCUUAAGACUUUGUUGUCUUCUAGAUGAUUUAGCAAGCUUAGUGCAUCAUUCAUCAAUAUAUACAUUGUGAAUCAAUAUUUUUUAUUACAAAAUACGUACUAUAAAACUAAAAAAGAUAAAAUAAGCAGAGUUUGAAAAAUUACAUAUAUUUAGUAUUUUUAAUUUUAAAACAUGUAAGAUAUGUUAUAUAUUAUAUUUUAAGAUUUUAUUGAUAUUUUUAUUAUUUUAAAAUUUAAAAUAUUUCUUUGAAUACCUUAUGUCUUUCCAGCUUUAUCUAUUGUUAAUGCAUUUUAAAUACAAAUUAUUUUAAUUUAUUAUGAAUGAAAUAUCUCAAUAUAGAAAAGUUUGCCCCCUAAAAUCUUUUUUUCUGGCUCCAAUUUAUUUUAAUUUGUGGAAAAUGAAAGAGAAAACUUUAAAAAUAUUUAUAUUAUUACUUAGCAAUCAAUUAGUUGCUACAACAGAAUAAUACAGGACGAGGGAUCUGUACUUUAUACUAAUAAUUUAAUACCUGUAUUGAUUAUACUAUUAAAAGCAUAAGUUAACUUUUUACUAAAUCUUCUUUCUAUAACAUUUAGUUAUGGAAUUCAUAACUAACCUCAUUUAUCUCUUUUACUUUUUGCCACGCAGCAGUUAUUUUAUUUGUCUAUUUUACUUCUUGUAACACCCAUAACUUUUUAUUAUUAUUUUAUUUUAUUUCAAAUUAUUUAAGGUAUUAUUUUUAUUUUCUUUUGAUUUCAUAACUAAACUCAUUUAUCCAACCAGAUGUGGUUGAACUAGUCCAUCUUUGUUAUUCUUAUAGCUUAAUGGAUUGAGAUUUACAUUACUAUAUAUUCUACGGUUUGAAAAAAAAAAUAAAAAAUUAAAUAGUUGGCCUAAUUUGAGCUAAGGUUGAGCAUGGAUUUCGGUAAUUCACGCCUGAAUCAAAUAAUUAUACCAGAAAAUAUAAAAAUUGAAAUAAUCAAAAUUUUUUAUAACCGAAUUGAACUGAUCCGAAUUUUUACUAUUACGGUAUAGUACUGAUUCUUUAGUAAAAAAUUUAUACUAUAACCGUACCAGAACCGAUCCGUAUUGUACUGAUCCAAACCAAACCGUAGAACUGAAUUUUUUACAUACAUUUACUAAUAAUUAUUUAUAUUAUAUAAAUAAUUCCUAUUAAAAAUAACUAUAAUAUUAGAAAAUAUUUUAUACUCUAUAAAAAAUUAUUUUAUAUUUAUGAUUUUAUAUAAUUCAAGCAAUUAUUAUUGAAAUAAGGAAAAAAUUUAUUUUCUUUACAUAAUAAGAAAAGGAAAGGAACAUAAAAAAGAGUCAAUUUUGCUUCGCGUUCAAUAAUUGACAAUAAAUAAAAAGAUAUUUAUUUUCAUCUAAAACUCUUCUUUUUAUACUUCUCAUAUACUAACAAAUAAAAAAUAAAUAAAAAACAAAGCCCUCUUUUGUAUCACCUUUUUUAUAUGUAUAAAUAAUCAUUCAAAGAUUUUCACUAUCCAAUUUUCUGUUUCCUACAGGUAAGAACACUUCUCUAUUUUUACUUUUGUUUUUACUUCUAAUUUGUCUCUUACUUUUGUUUUUAUUUCUAAAUUUCAAUGCUUUAUAUUAUUUCUUUAAUAUUGUCUAUGAGUAAGCAAAGUCUGGUAUUUUGGUUAUAUAUGGAUUUCUAUUUCUGUUUCAUUUUUUUUUUUAGUUGAAAUUUUGAAGAUUGUUUCAAAUUGCGUUUAUGUUUGUCGGUUUGUCAACUUUCACUAUUUUAGAUUGUUUAUUUGAAUUUUCUAACUAAAUUCUUUAGCUACAUUUAUUAAUAAUUAUUUAUAUAUAAAAACAAUACCUAUUAAAAAUAAAUAUAAUAUUAUAAUAUACUUUAUACUCUAUAAAAAAUAUAAGUUAUAUAUAUUAAUAUAUUAUAUAAUGUAGUAAUACUAGUAUACAUACUACAAUACUAAAUUUGUAAUUUACUAUCUACUAACUUAAAUCCUAAUACUUUUUUUACUUACCACAUACUACAACAGCCACCGCCGCACCUAUAUUGUUUUGGACUUAUAUUUUAGUGCUACAUAAAGUUUGUAAAUUUAUUCUUUUUAAUGAUUGUUGUCUGCAAAAUAUUUUUACGGUAGCAGUAUCAAAUACAUUUGAACAUUGAAUGAAUUAUUAUACUUGCAAGUGACUGAAUUGCAAAACAGAUUGUUUAAGAAUGUGAUUAUAAUUCUAAUUCAGAUUUUCAUGCUUUUUUUUUAGGUUGGUAAUUAUAUUUUCUCUAAACGUAUUUGAUUAAAUAUGAGAUUUAAAGUAAUGCUUUUUUAAUUUUUUAGAACUGAAAAUAGCACCGAACUGAAUUGUAUUCAACCGUAAAAAUUAAAAUAAUACUGUACGGGUGCAUUUACAUUUGGUACGGUAUUCAUACCUUCAAUUUUAAAAAAACUGAGAUUUUGUAUGGUGCUGAUGAUUUAUAGAUAAUCGAAUUAGACCGAUUCAUGCUCAGCUCUAAUUUGGGCAGGGUCAUUACAUGCCAACGCGCUGAAGGAGAGAGAUUCCGUGAUUGGAAGUUUUAGUCACUAAAACUUUGGCUCCUCUAUUGACAGCCCACAACCACUGUCUGCCGUCACUGUUGCUAUCGCUGAAUUCAUCGACAACUCUUCUACCCUCUUUCUCUUCCCUAGCUGCAGCCUCGAACAACAACCUUCCUUCCUCUCCCUACUAGUCGUUUCCUUUUAUUCUUCUUCUUGUUUCACUUACCCCUAGUUAUUUACCCUUAAACCACCAACUUGCUUUAUCCUUUCAAUAAAGCCACUAAUUUUUUAUAUUUGGGAUAGAUUAGAAUCAUUAAAAUAUAUUUUUUUAAGUUUUGCGUGAUAUUUUUGCAUCUCAAUCCAAUAUUUAAAAUCAAACUUUUAUUUUAACCUCCUUUAUAUAAAUAAAUAUUAGUUUAAUCCUUUGGUUAAUUUACUAAGUCAAAUACAUUAAAAUCUAAAUACUCAAAUUAUUACUAUUACAUAACACUAUAAAUACUAAACUAAAUCCGUUAUUAAGCCCUGUAGUUUUAUAUUAUUUAUUUAAAUAAUAAAACUUACAUAAAUCAAAUAAAUAAAGCCAAUAAAUAUCACAUUAUUAUUAAUAAUAAAGUUAAAUCUUUAAAUAGCACCUUUAAUUAUAGGUCACUUUAUUCAAAAUCAUAAUCAUAUGCUCAUUACUAGAAUAUAUUAUAUGUGUAUUACUUGAAUAAUAUGAUAUCAUUAUUAUCAUUAUUAUUCUGCCUCUAAUUUAUAUGUGCUAAUCUAUUAUUUAUUUUCAAGGAUUAAAUCGUAUAUAUUAAUCCUAAAGAAACUUAGAAUGUUAUAUAUUAUAUAGGUCACACUUAUAAAUUUAAUUUAACAAUAUAUAUAUAUAUCUCAAUAUUAGUAAAAUAUAAAGAUUGGAUAUUCCUUCCCCAUUUCUAAUGAGAAACUUCAUCCACUUGUAAUGGGAAAAAUAAAUAUUAUGUGAUUCUUAAGGAUUUAAGGCCCAGUUAUCACGAAUCAAGAAGGAGCCAUGAGACCUAAGGCUUGGUCUUGGUCUUGUCCUCUAUUGACCAAUCAUUCACCCCAAUUUAAGCACUUGGCACGAGCCAUGGGACAUAAAGCUUGGUCUUGGUUUUGUCCUCUAUUCAUCAAUCAUUCACCCCAAUUUAAGUACUUGGCACGAGCCAUGAGACAUAAGGCUUGGUAGUGGUCUUGUCCUCUAUUUAUCAAUCAUUUCCCCCAAUUUAAGCACUUCGCACGUUAUUAUUUGAAAGAAAGAAAAAAAUAAAUUGUACGUUUUCGUGUAAGAAAUAACAACCAAGUAUUUAAGGGUGACCUGAUCCAUAGAGAUAACAGCUCUACAAGUAUCUUCUGCUUUAUUGAUAUGUACAAAAAAUUAUUUUCAAAUUUUUAAUGUAAUAUAUUAAUAAAAUAAAAUAAAAUAUGUGAUUACAAUUAUGAAAAGAAAAUUUAUUGUUAAAACAUUUUAAUUUUUAAAAAUCUAAAUAUAUUUAUUACAAUUAACAUGUUAUUUGAAUUCAAUAAUAUAAAUUUAGAAUUUAAGUUCAUAAUUUCUUUUUUUGACCAUUAAAUCAUAUAUUCAAUGAUUUGAUGAAAUCGAUUUAAUAGUCAAAUAAUAAAAUUAGGAAUUGUUAAAUUUUAAAUUUUUUUUAUCAAAUACGAGCAGCAUAAUAAUGAUAAUUAAAUACAUUUUUUCUUCAUGAUUUAUAAUUAUAUAUCUUUUUGUCUUAAAAACACAUACUAGUAGUUAUAAACUAAUGAAACUAUAUGGUAUUUUUUUGUACUUAUUUUUUUAUUUUAUUGAAUUGUGAAGUAUAAUAAUAUGAGAUUUUAUUGGGUAAAUAGUUCUAUUGAUACUAAGAUUUUGGUCUAUGUUUUUAGUUGGUAUCAAUAUUUUAAGUUUUCUCUUUUUCAUACCAAAAUUUUAAUUUCCAUUAUAGACAAUGGUGUCUAUUCAAAAUCUGUUUAAUUUCUUAUGAUGUAAAGGGCGGAGCUCCACAUCAGCAUCCCAAGCAUUUCAAUCUAACUUCUAAUGGUGCCAUUCUCAAUUAUUAUUUCAUUUUAUUUUUCAAAUUACUUUUAUAAAGAACAAGUAAAUUGAUUGAUAUAAUUUUUUUCAAAAGCAAUGAAAGAAAUAGUUUAUAAAAAAUUUUAAAAAUUAAUAUUUUAAAUAAAAAAAUUAUAGAUCUGCUUUUCUAAUACCCAACAGCAAAAUCAGACAUACCCUAAAUGUCCUGCAUAAACUUUGAUGGAUAAAAAAAAGAUGAAUAAAUAUCAGAAGAUAAAUAAAUAACAAGGUGGAACAUAUAAGGUUUUAAAUAUAUUAUGUACUAAAAAAUAUAAUCCUUAAUUAUUUCAUUCACUUAUCAAAUAAAGUUAUCUUCAAGCAAAAUUAUGACUAAUAAAUCCAAAAUCAAAAUAAAAUCAAACAUAAUAAUACAUAAUAAUAGAUUUAUCCUACUAACUAGCAAUUCUGGUUGCAAUGGCAUUUUUUACCCGGUGUAAUUCUAGUCAUACAUAUGUAGACAAUAUGCCCCAAAAGACAACCACUUAGUAUACAUCUUAAGCAAUACAUAUAUAUUCCAUGUUGUCCAAAAGACAGUAUAUUUUAUUUGACACCUAAUAUUUAAGGUGUAAUAUCUUAGAUCACAUAAAUAAAUAUAUACACAUUUAUCCGGUUAAAAAAGAUUAUAUGCAUAUAUUAAGAAAAACUAAAAGUAUCAUUCUUCAAUUCCAAUUUCUAUAGAGAAUAAUUAAAUUAUAAAUCACCUUUACAUAAAUGAUUUUUAAGAAAAACAUUUCAUGAAAUCAUAAGUAUAUAAAUAGUAGAGUAAAAAAAAUAUAAUGUCAUAAUUUUAUCAACUCCCCUAAGAUACAGGACUCUUAAUCGAAUCCUCAAUCGAACUAUAAUCUUGCAUAAUCUGCUAACUUCAAACAGUUAUUUAAGCAUUUAACUCUAUAAAUCACGUACAGAUAUAAUCUGGAAAUAAUUGUAACCUUUUUUUGCUAACAAUGCUUAUCUAAUCUCUAGUAUCUAAUAUCUAAUAUCUCCUUCUUGGCAAUCAUUAAUUUUUAUAAUUAACUUAGUCAAUUAUCUUAAUAACUAAUCCACAUUAUCCACUAUUAGACUUCAACUUUUAAUUAAUAGGAGUAUUAACAAUAAUAAUAAUAAUAAUAAUAUCACAUUAUCGUAACAUCAAUUAUCAACCAAUAUUUAUAUAUAAUUAAAUACCUCAAUUCCUAACUAUAAGAUCUAUAGUUAUUUAUUUAAUUAUAUAUAAUUAUUGGUUGAUAAUUGAUGAUAUGAUAAAGUGAUUUGUUACUAAAAUUUUUAAUACUCUUACUAAUUAAAUGGUGAAGAUUAAUCGGUGGAUUAGGUGGUAUACCAAGUAACGGAUUGGACUCUAAGACUAUCAUGACAGAAGAAAGUGCAGCGGAGUGGGCUGUAGACAUGGCAAGGAAUGACAGGGGUACACCAAGUAGAGGAUCCUGCAUGGUUGGAGGGGGGCGGGUUUGGCCUCCUAGAUUUUCUUUUUAAAAUAAGAUUUGAUCGGAUAAUAUCUGCUAUAUUUAUUUUAUAUAUUUUAUAUUAAAAUUAUAUUUUUAUUAAUUUUUUAAAUAUAUUUAUUUAAUAUAUUAAUUAUUAUUAUAACUUUUUAAAAGAAUAAAAUCUAGAUUUAAAUUAUUUUUAUUUUUUUAAAGUUAUAUUUAUUUGUUUAUAAUUUAUAAAUAGAAUAUAUAUUUAUAUAUUUUAUGUAUAAUUCAUAAUAAAUUAUAAGACGGAAAGGGGCAGAGUGGCUUAAACCCAUUUCUCCCCGUCAUUAGUAGCAGAGCAGAUAUUUCCCGCUCCAGUAAGAUCAGGUUAUGAGUUUAUUCACAGGUACGGAGCAAAUUGCCAUCUUUAAGCCCCUCUGGAUGGAUCUUUCAAAUCAAUACCGAUGCUGCUCUUGCAAAACCAACUCAAGGUCUCUCUGGUCUUGGUCUUAUGGUUCGUGACAGUCCAGGGAAAUUUUUAGCAGCUGGUUCUCAUCAUAUAACUCAGCUCCUUCCAGUUGAUAUUGUUGAAGCAAUGGCUGUAAAGGAAGGCAUUAUUUUAGCUGCUCAUGUUAACUGCUUAUCAGCGAUUGUUGCAUCUGACUCGUCUGAGAUCGUUAAGCUGAUACACUCGGAUAUCCCGAUACUGGCUGAAUUGGAUCUAUUAUCUCUGAAGUGAAGGAAUUGCUGGAUGCCCACCCCAAUUCUGUAGCUCACCACCUUGCUAAGCUGGGCCUAUCCUAUUCUUCAAACAGAACCUGUAUUGUUGGCGAUCCUGCUUGCAUUCAAUACGCUGUGCAACAUGAUUUCCAGCUCUCUUUGGAAUGUUUUCCAAUUCAAAAAGAAUAAUAAAUGAUUUUUUUUAUAUAUUUAUUUAAUCUCCUUGAUUUUAAUCAUCGAAUUCUUGACAUGGGCCGUCUCUUUAAUUAUCAGCAAUAUAUACUUAGAGGUGGCAAAUGGAUAGUAUGGAUAGGCUUGAGUUGAAUAUCAAGAGAAUGAUCUUAAAUAACCCAUUGAUUUAUAUAUAUGAUCCAUUUAAAGUUUAUAUGGGUAUUUAGAUUUAUAUAAUUUANNNNNNNNNNNNNNNNNNNNNNNNNNNNNNNNNNNNNNNNNNNNNNNNNNNNNNNNNNNNNNNNNNNNNNNNNNNNNNNNNNNNNNNNNNNNNNNNNNNNNNNNNNNNNNNNNNNNNNNNNNNNNNNNNNNNNNNNNNNNNNNNNNNNNNNNNNNNNNNNNNNNNNNNNNNNNNNNNNNNNNNNNNNNNNNNNNNNNNNNNNNNNNNNNNNNNNNNNNNNNNNNNNNNNNNNNNNNNNNNNNNNNNNNNNNNNNNNNNNNNNNNNNNNNNNNNNNNNNNNNNNNNNNNNNNNNNNNNNNNNNNNNNNNNNNNNNNNNNNNNNNNNNNNNNNNNNNNNNNNNNNNNNNNNNNNNNNNNNNNNNNNNNNNNNNNNNNNNNNNNNNNNNNNNNNNNNNNNNNNNNNNNNNNNNNNNNNNNNNNNNNNNNNNNNNNNNNNNNNNNNNNNNNNNNNNNNNNNNNNNNNNNNNNNNNNNNNNNNNNNNNNNNNNNNNNNNNNNNNNNNNNNNNNNNNNNNNNNNNNNNNNNNNNNNNNNNNNNNNNNNNNNNNNNNNNNNNNNNNNNNNNNNNNNNNNNNNNNNNNNNNNNNNNNNNNNNNNNNNNNNNNNNNNNNNNNNNNNNNNNNNNNNNNNNNNNNNNNNNNNNNNNNNNNNNNNNNNNNNNNNNNNNNNNNNNNNNNNNNNNNNNNNNNNNNNNNNNNNNNNNNNNNNNNNNNNNNNNNNNNNNNNNNNNNNNNNNNNNNNNNNNNNNNNNNNNNNNNNNNNNNNNNNNNNNNNNNNNNNNNNNNNNNNNNNNNNNNNNNNNNNNNNNNNNNNNNNNNNNNNNNNNNNNNNNNNNNNNNNNNNNNNNNNNNNNNNNNNNNNNNNNNNNNNNNNNNNNNNNNNNNNNNNNNNNNNNNNNNNNNNNNNNNNNNNNNNNNNNNNNNNNNNNNNNNNNNNNNNNNNNNNNNNNNNNNNNNNNNNNNNNNNNNNNNNNNNNNNNNNNNNNNNNNNNNNNNNNNNNNNNNNNNNNNNNNNNNNNNNNNNNNNNNNNNNNNNNNNNNNNNNNNNNNNNNNNNNNNNNNNNNNNNNNNNNNNNNNNNNNNNNNNNNNNNNNNNNNNNNNNNNNNNNNNNNNNNNNNNNNNNNNNNNNNNNNNNNNNNNNNNNNNNNNNNNNNNNNNNNNNNNNNNNNNNNNNNNNNNNNNNNNNNNNNNNNNNNNNNNNNNNNNNNNNNNNNNNNNNNNNNNNNNNNNNNNNNNNNNNNNNNNNNNNNNNNNNNNNNNNNNNNNNNNNNNNNNNNNNNNNNNNNNNNNNNNNNNNNNNNNNNNNNNNNNNNNNNNNNNNNNNNNNNNNNNNNNNNNNNNNNNNNNNNNNNNNNNNNNNNNNNNNNNNNNNNNNNNNNNNNNNNNNNNNNNNNNNNNNNNNNNNNNNNNNNNNNNNNNNCUGAAAAGAAUCUUUACAAGAAGUAGAGCAGUUAAACAAGGAGAGCAUCAUUCUAUUAUUCUUCUCUCUGUAAAUUCUCUAUAGUUCGUCUUCUACAACAUUUAGUUAGUUUUGCAUUAUUCUUUCAAAGAUCAUAUAAGUUUUUCAGGACGUGGAGAGUGAGGAUCAAUCUUCUUCAUCCCUUGAAGAACUUCUGGAUUUUAAGAGAGCUUUAAUUCUUUGUUUUGUAUUUCUUAUAUCUUUCUAUUUAAUUACAAGAACCGUUGAAUUAAAUAUGUCAGGCUAAGUUCCAUAAGUGUUUAGUUUGACUUUCUACUUAUGUAUGAAUCUUAUAUAUUAUGAGUUUAAAAAAUAAAUUCUUUACCUUCAUACAUGUAUUAGUUUCAUCUACUAUUGUUGAUUGACCAUUAAAUCAAUUUUAAUAGUAAUAAUGUGUUAUGAAAAUCUUUAGGUUAAAAGUAUUAGAAAUAUCAUUUUUACUUUAAUCUAUGUUGGUAUAAGAAACCUAGAUUGCAUCAUUAGCUUGAGUGACUUAGGGAAAAGGUACAUUACCAUCUCAUUCAUUAGAUUUGGACCUAAAGGAAAAUAAAGGGAUUACUAAGUAUAAGCUAGACUAAACACUAAUUUAUCAUAUACAUUAAAUAAUUUAUUUACAUAUUUAUUUUCUAUUUUAUUUAAUUUCUUUUAUAAACCUCCAAAACUAUUAUCAAAACAUUGGCUUAGAGUGUUUAGAUUUAUAUUUAGAUAAUUUUGUAUGAUAGUUGGUCUUUAUAAUAUAUGCUCUACGGGUGAUUCAUCAACUCAAAAUACCUACAACUUGAGAUCAGCUGUUAAAAAGGCAGAAGGAGACCAAGAAGUAGAGAGUGAGUUUGUACCUCUAAGAGAAAAAUAAUUUGAAGAAAAGCUAGAACAAGGAUUUGAAGAAGAGAUUGAAAUAAUGGCUAAUGACCAAAAGAGAAGUUGCAGCUUAAAGGCAAAUGGCUAUGAAAGAUUAUGCUAAUCCCAUAACUGGUAACACUACUUCAUGCAUAAUUUUAAGUGAUGCAUUUAAGAAUUAUAAACUUAAAAACAUUCAUUUUAAAAUUGAUUCCUUCAUUCUAUGGUAUGCCUAGUGAAGGUGAAUUAAUAUUUGUUUAGAAAUUUUAUGCUAUAGUUCAUAUAUUCCAUUAUCUAGACUAAAUAAAUACGAACUAAGCAUGAGAUGUUUUCCUUACUCAUUAAAAGAGAAAGCAAAGACUUGGUUAAUGACCUUGCUUUCUAAUUCUCUGAGAAUUUGAGAUGAAGUUUAUCAAAAAUUUAUGAGUAAAUUUUACUCAUCAAAAUACCAAAGAGUUAAGGGCUGAAAUUUCCAACUUUUAUCAAAAGGAUACUGAAUCCUUUCAUAAAGCAUGAGAUCGCUUCAAAUCACUUUUACUGCAAUGCCCACACCAUGGAUACCCACUUCCUGUGACUGACAAAUUAUUCUAUGAUGGUUUAACAUAACAAUAUCAAUAUAUGGUUGAUAAUGUAGCUGGGAGUGCUAUGUUAGAAAAAACUGUUGAUGAGGUUUAUGAUAUCUUUGAGAUGUUAGGAGCCAAUUCACAAUAAAAGAGUGUGAAAACAAAAAGAUUAGGAGGGAAUGAAGUUGUGUCUAAUAAUGAGAUGGCUAUACAAAUAGCUGAAUUAACUAAAUAAGUUAAAGAUACUUACUUCAGUUAGGAAUGUACCAAGUAUUGAGGUAUGUGGUGUUUAUGGUCAUGGUGCUAAUGUUUACUCAUCUUAUGAGAUUUAUGCAGAAGUAAUUAUGAACAAGUUAAUGAUAGNNNAAAAUAAAUUACUGAUUUUUCUAAACUAAUUUGUAGAAAUAGUGAAACCAGGUCGAAUCCCAAGGGAACCAGUGUGGAUAGUUUCUCAAAGUAAAAUAAAAGGAGGGAUUUUAAAUGUUUGAAUCAAAAUUAUAAAUAAAUAGAAAAUAAUGAAGGCUGAAUAUUAGAGUAAAUAAAAAUCAAUUUUAACAAACUUUCAAUUCAAGAGUGCUAAUUUCAUCUAAUUAUAAUCAUGAUCAUGAGCUAAAAUAUCAAUUCUUCUAUUUAAGUACUUAGUCUACUUAUUCGAAGAAGCUGCAAUAAGUAUAAUUCUCCUAAUAUAAUUGACUCAAAUCCAACAUCCAAAUCAAAACUCACCAUUGGUCAACUAGGCACGAUAGCAUUCCAUAUCAACUUAAUGAUAGCACUAAGAACAAUGAGAAUGACUAAACCAACAUUAAUUAAUUGAGAUAACUGCAAUUGAAUUAACCAUAUUCCUUUAUUUCCCUAGAGUCUAUCAUGCAAGCUAAACAAUUCGAAUAAGCCGCAAUCACACACACAUGAGUCAUCUCCUUGCUACUUGUGUCAAUCGUUCAUGACAAUUACGGAUCACAAACUCAAAGUUUAGCAAUAGAAAAAUCAAUAUCAAAGUCGAGUCGUCAGUUCAAUCACUAACAUUUUAUCCGAAUCCAAGCUUCUAAUUUCCACUUCUAAAUUAGAUUGUGCAUCUAAUUCUUGCUCAUCACUAAUAUUUUCUUUUGCAAAUACUUCCUGCACAAUUGGAUUAAUUACAUCAAUAUGGCAAAGAGAAUGUAAAUUAUUAGGAUAUUUCAUUAUAACAAAAAUAUUAAAUUUAACAAUCUCUCCAUCAAACUCUACGGAGAGAGUACCCUUAUCUACAUUAAUCUUUGUCUUAGCAGUUUUCAUGAAUGGUCGUCCUAAUAAAAUCGAAGCUGAUUUUAAUAAGGAAUCGAUCUAUUUCCAAAAUGUAAAAGUCGACAGAAAAUAUAAGCUCAUUAACCUGCACCAAAACAUCUUCAACAACUCCAAGGAGAUGAAUAUAAGAGUGAUCAGUUAAUUGAAUCAUUACACCAGUCUUUUGCAAGUUAUUUAGUUUCAACUCUUUAUAGAUAGAAAAUGGCAUGACAUUAAUGGAAGCUCCUAAAUCUAACAUGGCAUAGCUUAAUUUUCGUAUUACUAAUAACACAAGGUAAUGAAAACAUACUUGGAUCCUUGUAUUUUUCUGGCAUAUUCUUUUAUAAGAUGGCCGACACAUUCUUACUUACCACCACUUUCUCCUUCUCCUUCAUCCUUCUUUUGUUUGUGCACAAUUCCUUCAAGAACUUUACUUAUUUAGGAAUUUUCUUGAUAGCAUCCAACAAUGGAAUAUUUAUCUCCAUAUUUCUAAAUAUAUCUAAGAUCUCCUUUUCUUGCUCAUCUUCUUUUGGCUUAGCUAAUCUGCUAGAAAAAGGAGGUAAUGGAGUGUGAAAUUAAAGAGAUAGAGGAGGAUCGAAUUUUACCCCACGUGAUGCUUUAGAGGAAGCUUCUUCUUCCUUUUCCUUGCUCGGUUCACUUUUCUUAAGUGGAAUCGACCCUAAAGGAAUCUCCUUUCCAUUUCUUAGAAAAAUUGCACUAACAUUCUCCUUUGGAUUUAUCUCUGGUUAUGAAGGUAGUUUUCCAGAAUUUUGAGCCUCCAAUUUACUAACCGAUAUAGCCAAUUGAGUAAUUUGAUUGCCUAAAUUCUAAAUGUUUGACCUUGUUUCCUGUUGAAAUUGAAGAGUUAGUUAGCAAGAUUUUUAACAAUAUCUUACAAAGACAUACCUGAAUUUGAAGCUUGAGGUUUUUGGAGAACUUGAGGUAGUCUAAUGAAAUUCUGGGAAGGAUAAUUUUGUUGUCCUUCUUAGUUUCCAUAGCUCAAAUUCUGGUGAUGUCUCCAUCCAGGAUUAUAAUGAUUGGAAAAAGGGUCAUACUUCCUUUGAGGUUGACCGGUAAAUCUACCUAGAGCAUUAGCCUCUUGCAUCGAGUCUUGUUGCAAUGUUGGGCACAUAUCGGUGGGAUAUCCUUGAACUGAGCAUAUUCCGUAAACUUUUACUAUUUGCAAUUGCCCUACAAUCAUUUGACGAACCAAAGCAGUUAAAUCAGAAAUUUAAUUUUUAAAAUUUUUAGUGCUUACGUCAUUAACUCGCCUUGUAGCUCCAUCAGCUCUUAUACCAAAUUGCUGAGAAUUUUCAGCCAUGUUUGAAAUCAAUUGCUUGGCUUCUUCAGGUGUCUUGUCUACCAAAGCUCCACCACUUGCUGCAUCAAUCAUACUCCUAUCCAUUGACAAUAAACCUUCAUAGAAGUAUUGGAUUAAGAGUUGCUGAGAAAUUUAAUGAUAGGGACAGCUAGCACACAGUUGCUUGAACCUUUCUCAAUACUCAUACAAUGUUUCUCCAGUGAACUAUGUUAUGCCACAAAUUUCUUUUCUGAUGUUGGCAGCUCUUGUUGCAGGAAAAAACUUAUCUAAGAACAAUCUUUUCAUCUUAUUGCAUGUUGUUAUUGAAUCAGAGGGUAGAUAAUAGAGCCAAUCUUUUGCUUUAUCCUUCAAAGAAAAGGAAAAAGCUCUAAGAUUUAUUUGCUCUUCUGCCACAGCAUGUGGCUUCAUUCAAAAGUAUACAAUAUGGAAAUUUUUCAAGUGUUUAUGAGGAUCUUCACCUGCACAUCCAUAAAAAGAAGGGAGUAAGUGAAUUAAGUCAGAUUUUAAUUCAAAAUCAACUGCAAUAUUAGAAAAUGUAAUGCAUAAAGGUUGUUGAUUCAAAUCUGGCACGGCUAGCUCUUUGAGAGUUCUGUUCUCCAUAUUUUCUACAACUUCAUGAAAAAUAGAUGUGUCACCAAUAGCCAAAUCUAUUUCCAACUCCUCUGUGAGACAACUUUUUCUUUGUCUAGUCUCCUUUCUUAAUUGACGCGAUGUCUUCUCAAUUUCAGGAUUAAACUGCAAAUCAAUAUCUUGAGAAGAACGAGUAAUAAAUAAAUAAGUUAAUCAAUGAGAAACUAAAAUAGGUUCUCCGGCAACGGCGCCAAAUUUGAAUGGGUUGUCGAAGCCCUUCAAAAUAAAUUACUGAUUUUCCUAAACUAACUUGUAGAAAUAGUGAAACCAGGUCGAAUCCCAAGGGAACCAAUGUGGAUAGCUUCUCAAAGUAAAAUAAAAGGUGGGAUUUUGAAUGUUUGAAUCAAAAUUAUAAAUAAACAGAAAAUAAUGAAGACUGAAUAUUAGAGUAAAAAAAUCAAUCUUAACAAAUUUCCAAUUCAAGAGUGCUAAUUCCAUCCAAUUGUAAUCAUAAUCAUAGGCUAAAAUAUCAAUUCUUCUAUUCAAAUACUUAGUCUACUUAUUCAAAAAAGCCGCAAUAAGUGUAAUUCUCCUAAUAUAAUUUACUCAAACCCAACAUCCAAAUCAAAACUUACCAUUGGUUAACUGGGCAUGAUAGCGUUUCAUAUCAACUUAAUGAUAGCACUAAGAACAAUGAGAAUGACUAAACCAACAUUAAUUAAUUGAAAUAACUGCAAUUGAAUUAACCAUAUUCCUGUAUUUCCCUAGAGCCUAUCAUGCAAGCUAUGUAAUUCGAAUAAGCCGUAAUCACACACACAUGAGCCAGCUCCUUGCUACUUGUGUCAAUCGUUUAUGACAAUUACGGAUCACAAACUCAAAAGUUUAGCAAUAGAAAAAUCAAUAUCAAAAUUGAGUCGUCAAUUCAAUCAAUAUCAAUAAUUCAUAAAUAAUAAGAAUAAGAAAUAAAGAAUACUUGAAUUGAAGAAGAAUUCUGUUAAACACAAAGCCUCACAAAAUCAUAAUUGGAAUUUAUUCAUUCUUGAAUUAGAAACUAAAAACUUUGCCACUCAUGGUGGAGUAAGAAUUCACAAGAAUUGCAGAGAGUAGAAGAAGGAUAAGAAUACGAAUAAUAAUCCCAAAGUACUCAGAGUAAUCUAAAUAUAUUAAAAUUCUAAAUACAUGGGAGAAAGUUUUCUUUAUCCAGCACUUCCAAAAAUAGAGAAAAUUAUCUAAAGAUGGGUCCACCAUGAAUUUAUCUUGAAAAAUUUGAAGCUUUCUUCUGCAGGUUCCGGUAGCUCAUGUAAGACGUGGUCACGCCUUAUUGAAAAUAAUCUUUUGUCCAAAUUUUUGCUCUUCCUCCAAAAGACUUAGUUUCUGACAAGUGAUGCCUUAAAAUAUGUCUUUAGGCUGAAUUUCACUCAAUUCUUGAUAUUUCACCGUGUAGAUCAGAAUAAAUACAAUUUUCACAAUUAAGCACAUAUCUAAUCAAAACGUAAGGGAAUUAAAUUCAAUAAGUAUAACUAUUUAUGACCUAUCAGUGAUUUAGAAAAAAGGCACAUCACUAUCUCAUUCAUUAGAUUUGGACUUAAAUGGCAAUAAGGGAUUACUAAGUAUAAGCUAUACUAAAUACUAAUUUAUCAUAUAGUUUACAUUAAACAUUUCAUUUGCAUAUUUAUUUAAUUUCUUCCAUAAACUUUCAAAACAUUUGCUUAGAGUGUUCAGAUUUAAUUUUAGGUGUUUUGUGUGAUAAUUAAUUUUUAUAAUAUAUGCUUUACAGUUUUUUUGUAAGAUCGACCUCUGAUAAAUUUACUCAUACUAUCAUUCAGUUCGUACACUUACGAAUACUAUAUUUGAAACAUCAGUCACAUUAUUCAAAAUCAUAAAUCAUAUGCCCAUUACUUGAAUAUAUGAAAUGCGUAUUACUUGAUUAAGAUGAGAUUAUUAUUAUUAUUAUUAUUAUUAUUAUUCCUCUAAUUUAUAUGUACUAAUUUAUUAUUUAUUUUUAGUAUUAAAUUGUACAAAAUAUCUAUAUAUUAAGUUGUAGAAAACUCGAGAUGUCAAAUACUAUAUGAGUUGCAUUUAUAAAUUUAAUUUGAUGAUAUAUAUAUGUUUCAAUAUAAAUAACUAUUAAGUUUGAAUUUUCCUCCCUGUUUGUCAUGAAAAACUGUCCACUUGCAAUGGCAAAAAUAAUAUUAUGUGAUUCUUAAGGAUUUAACGCCCAGUUAUCAAGAAUCAAGAGAGAGCCAUGACACAUAAGGCUUGAUCUUGGUCUUGUCCUCUACUGACCAAUCAUUCACCCCAACUGAGACAUAGGGCUUGAUACUGGUCCCGUCCUCUAUUUAUCAAUCAUAUCCCUCAAUUGAAGCACGUUGUUAUUUCGAAGAAAGAAAAAUUGUACGAUUUUGUGCAAGAAUUUACAACCAAGUAUUUAAGGGUGGCCUGAUCUAUUUAGACAACAGUCUGCCCCACCGAGAAAUACUAUCACCAAAAAGUGUAGAUUCUAGUCAUUUAUAUACAGAUAAAUGCCUCAAAAGGCAACCACUUAAUGUAUACACUGAGCUAUAUGCAUUUUCAUAAAAAAUAAUAUAUUUUAUUUGACAUCUCAUAUUUAAAAUGUGAUAUUUUAGAUCAUAUAAAUAAAUAUAUGUAUAUUUAUCCAGCUAAAGAAAAUUAUAUUUAUAUAUAAAAUAUUAAAAAUAUUAUUCUUCAUUUUCAGUUUUUACAAAGAAUAAUUAAAUUAAAAUCACCUUUAAAUAAAUAUUUUUUAUGAGAAACAAUUUAAAAGAUCAUAAUUAUAUAAAUAACAAAGUAAAGAAAAUACAAUAUUAUAAUUUUAUCCACUUUCCCCACAUGCAAGACUUUUAACCGAGUCAUCAACCAAACUAUAAGUUUACACAACCUGCUAACUUUAAAUUGUUAUUUAAACAUUUAACUCUAUUUUUAAUAAUAAUUUUAAUAUUUUUUUGCUAACAAUCCUUAUACAACUUCUAUUAUCUAUAUAAUAUCUCAUUCUUGACAAUCAUUAAUUUUUAUAAUUAACAUAAUCAUCAUCUUAAUAACUAAUCCACCUUAUCCACUAAUUACACUUCAAUUUAAUUAAUAGGAGUAUUAAAGAUAUUAAUUAUAAUAUCACAUUAACAUAUCAUUAAUUAUCAACCAAUAAUUAUAUAUAAUUAAAUAUCUCACUUACUUACAAUAAGUUUUAUAAUUUAUAUACCAUAUUCUAAACUAAUUAUCAUAAUUUAAUAAUAAAAUUCAUAACGUAGUUAAUAUUUAUUUUUCUUAUGUUCUCCAUCUGCCCACCAAUAGAUUUUAGUCCAUUUAAUCUAUAAAAGUAAUAAAUUAAUUAAUUCCUUAAUAUAAGUACUAACUAAUAUAUCUUCAAAAAUGUUAUAAUCUUUAAUUAAUAAUUAUCUAUUUAUUCUACUGAAAUUUAUAUUAACUAUGUAAAAAUUAAACAAUAUGCGUAUAUGUUAGCGGACUCGGCAUUGGUCAUUGGAGUCUGAUCGAUUAUCCAAUGAAUCUAAUAGACUCGUAAUGAUACAUAGAUCACGAAUCCAAUGUGAUCAUUUUUUCAAGUUACCAAUCAAUUUUGAAAUAGUCAAACAGUUUUAGCUAUCAAUUUUUCAAGAAAGUCAUAUCACUAUAUAACUGGUGUAAAUAGAAAAUUUAUAAGGAGAAUUUAUUGUUCUCUAGUUACCCAGAGCACGUCACAAUUAGACGAAAUCCGUUACAAAUCAAACUAGCUUUGUUUUCUCUCUCUACUGCGUCUUAUAAUCCCCAGUCAAAGUAGAGGCCGCCAUAGUCAUCACUUGAAAGCUCACUACAAGAUGAGUUCAAUGCCACUAGUUCUAAUAACUGGCCUACUAAAGGAAUGAGAUCCGCUAGUUGGAAUUUUUAAUGUUCUAAACUUACUCCUCCAUACGCUGCCCACAAUCGCCAAGUGGUAACAACAAGGUCACUCAGUGACUGUGGGCAGCAUAUGGAGGAGUAAGUUUAGGACACUAAAACUUCCAACUGGUAGAUCUCUCUCCUUUAGUCGGGCCAGCGACUGGAACUAGUGGCAUUGAACUCAUCUUGUCAUGGGCUUUCAAGUGAUGAUCAUGUUAGCCUUUACUUUGAUCGGAGAUGACGAGACUCAAUGGAGAAAGAAAACGAAGCUAGUUUGAAUUUUAACAGAUUUCAUCCAAUUCUGAUGUGCUUUGGUAAUGAAAGAACAAUAAAAUCUCCUCCUCAUAAACUUUCUAUUUACACCAGUUUUAUAGUGGUCGGACCCCUUUAACAAAUUGAUGGCAAAAAAUGUUUGACUAUUUCAGAGUUGAUCGGUAACUUGAAUGAAGGAUCACACAUUUGAUUCGUAAUCUAUGUAUCAUUACAAGUCUAUUAGUAUUAUCGAAUAAUCAAUCGGACUCCGACGACCAGCGCUGUAUCCACUAACAUAUAGUAUAUGAAUUAUAAAACUUAUAACAAGGAAUUAAAGUAUUUAGUUAUAUAUAAUUAUUAAUUGAUAAUCAAUUAUAUUGUUAAUAUUGUUAAACUCCUAUUAAUUAAAUGAGUUGAAGACUAAUUAAUGUAUAAGGUGGUACAUCGAGUAGCGGACUAGACUCUAAGACUAUCAUGAUAGAAGAAAGUAUGAAGAAAGUGUAGUGGACUCGGCUCUAGACUACCUUGCUGAAUUUAUGUGAUUCUUAAGGAUUUAAGCCAGUUAUCAAGACUCAAGAGGGAGCCAUGUAACAAUGAGUCUUGGUCUUGUCCACUAUUUAUCAAUCAUCCAUCCUCGAUCACCCUAUGUGCAGAAAUUACAUAAUUAAAUUUAUAAUUUCAUAUUUUUUGACAAUUUUAUUUAAUUAAAGUUUUUUAGUUAAAUAUCUUAAAUCUAGUUCUUUUACAUUUAAAAUAGUUGUUUGAGAGUUCAUUUAUAUAGUUCAAAAAAACGGAACACCAACCCAAUCUCAAUGAAAGUACAAGCAAGGCAACUACAUCAACAACUUCUAUUCCUGACGUGAACGGCCGCUUUCUUGAAACUAAUUCAUAGGCGCUUUCAGUUAGUUAUACUUUUUUUUCUAACUAUAUAAACAAAUAUAACAAGCGUUUGAUACAAAGCAUCAACCUACGGAAAAAUGAAUUGAUUGACUAUUGAGUAAAUUUCAUUAACACUUACAUAAAGAUAUAAAUGGUUUUAAUUAUGAAACAGCCCCAAAAUGGCAUUGCAGAACGUUUUUACACUAUUUUUCUAAUUAAAAAUAAAAAUUUUAAUAUUGCCAAUAAAUAAAAUUAUAUUAAUUAUGUAAAAAUAAUUAAGUAUCUGAAUUUAUAUUAAAAUAAUUAAGAUUACAGAUGUUUUGGUUUUCUUGACUUUCGAUAUGGUGCUUAUAAUUGACUAGAACGGGAAAGCUUGCACACUUUGCAGGAUGCAGUUUUUGGCAAACUCUCGGCUCUUUUUAUCUCAUUUGCUAUUUUCUCCAUUUUUUUUUUUUUUGUUACACGAUGUAAUAAUCUUCACUAUAACCUCUCUCCCAUUUACAAGGCGAAGCAUAUGGUUGCUCGGCUGGUUAUAAUGAAAAUAAUAAUUCAUUAUUUUUAACAAUAAGGCAUGAAGAUUUCUUGAUUUAUCAUGCUAUUGCUCUAGGAUUAUAUACAACUACAUUGAAAAAAAAAAAAUUGCUACUUUAAACCGAGCGUAAAUAUUAAAUUGCUACUAUGGAUUGUCGUUAAUUAUUAAAAUUCACUGAGGAAGAUGAAUUUUGCGACUGCUAUCUCAGAAUCGCCGCAUGGAAAAGAGCCAUUGUAACUUUAAAAAUUGCAGCAGCAAUUCAGCAAGCGCGUUCAAUAUUGAGCAAGCGCAACCACUAUUCUUCAGUUGUGACUGCAACAGCUCUGACAAUGUGUUUUUGCACUAGCUUGAGCUAAGAAAAAGAAGAUUGGUAAGAGUUACGUGAGUAAUGGUUCUUUGGUAGUUUGGAAAUAUAAAUACUUCCUAGAAUAUUUAUGAAUGAUGAACAACCUCACAUUACAUAAUUUAUUAAUCCUUUAAUUCUCACAUUUGUGUAUCAUUUUUAUCUUUAUGUAAGGAUUUGAGUGUGACCUACAAAUACUUAAAAAAAAGUUUGAGAGUUAGCCCGGGUAAAAUAACUCUUGUGAAGUUUGAUGUGAGCCUAGACACUAAUUUUGGAAAUGAGCUUGAAAAAAGUUCUCAUGUAUAGGUUUGAGUGUGAGCUUGUAAAAUACUUGAGUUCAAUCUUUCAACCGUAAAAAGAAUCAGCAAUAGUAAAAUACCAAUUGAAAAUUGAGGAGUAUAUGUAGGGUUAGUUAAUAUCUAAACUAUUAUAACUCUUUGGUAUUGAUUUUUCUUCCCUUUUUAUCUAAUCUCUUGAGCAAAUUUUAAUUACCUAUCAAUUUUUUAAACACCAAUUCAACCCUUCUUCUUGGUGCAUCUAGGUCAAACAUGAAAUAAGGAUACUAAAGUUAUUUGCGUUAAAAUAAAAGGACACUAAAGAUACCACUAAUAAUAAGAAUUUGAUUCCAAUAUCCAAAAUAAGCUUAAUAGUAAUCUAUUUUACAUAUUAUUUUUAUUCUUUAUUUGUAUUUCAUACUAAUAAUUAAAAACUAAAAUUCAAGCUAAUUUCAGUCACUAAUAAAUUUUUAUUGAGCCAAAUAUAGACAGUAACAUGUUCGAAUCGGCUUUUGUAAUUUUCACUCAAAAUACAGAAUAUCCUAAUAUAGAAGGUGAUACUCAUGUAUGCUUCUAUAGAUGCUAGGAUAGUUAUUAUAUUUAUUUUUAAUAUAUAAAUUAAUAUUAAUAGAAGAUAUUUAACAUAUAUAUUGUUAGAAAUUAUAAUAAUUUAGAUAAAAAUGGAUAAGAUAAUUAUUAUAUAAGAUAUAAUAAGUUUAGUUAUAAAAUAUGAAUAUAAAAUUAAUUUAUAAAUACAAUAUAUAAUUUAUUAAUAGAAUAUGUAAUUAAAUGCUGUAUAAAGUUCAAGUAUUAAAUUAAUUUUGUUAAUAGUUUCAAGUCCUUAAUUUAUAAAAGGUACAAAAUAACUUCUUAUGCAGGUAAUAAUUUCUGCCACUUUGACUAGGUUUGGAAGGAUCAUAUAAUAGUAUUACUAUAGUCAUCUAGAAUAUAUGAUAUUUGAAGAAUGAAAAUCUAUAAAAUAGGACUAGUUCUAUAUAUUUUUAAAUUAUUUAAAAAAACAUAUUAAUUGCUUAAAAGUAAUUUGAUUAAUUAAAGUACUCGUUAAAUAAGGAGUCCUCAUUUAGAUUUACUUGUAGGUUUAUGCUCUAGCAAUGGAGCCAGACGGUUCCCGUUUAUAAUUCUGAUUCUUGCUAGUUCUAAUCAAUUUUUAGAAAAUAAAAAAUUAAUUAAAAUAAAUUAUUUUUUAUAAAUUUGAGUUAUAUUUAAUAGUUUUGGUUCCAGCUAAGGAGAAAUUGAUCAUAAAGUAAUUUCCUAAUUUUAACCUGGUUUCAAUUUUCUUUUAGACAAUCUAAUUCCAUUUAUUUAAUUUAUAAAUUUUUUAUCUAAAUAUUAAAAAUUAAUAUAAAUAAUAUUAAAAUUUAUAAAAUAUAAAAAUAAAUAAAUAAAAUUAUCCUCAAAUUCAGUUCAAUUUAGGAAAGAAAUAAAUAAAUUUACCUUUGGUAUUUUUUGCAUUGUGUCAACCAACUAAGAAUUCUUUUUACAUUCUUUUCUCUAUUAUUUCUUUUAGUGUUUAGUGUUGCAACCUUUUUUUGUUUCCAAUUUAAGGUUCUUGAUUUGAUAUAUUUAUACAUCGGUACAUUAGCAUAUUAAUAGCUUUUCAAUCAAUAGAUAAAAGAAGUUUUAUAUUUAUACAGUUUAAUUAAUAUUUAUAAUUUUUUUUUAUUUUUAUGUGUUUGGAAGAAAAUGAAAAAAUAUAAUUAAUAUGAUAAACUAUGAUUAAUUUAUUUAUAUUAUAAAUAACUAAUAUGUAUACGGAUGAUUUCCUUAAUCAUUGUUUUACUAUUAGAAUACAUUAUUUUAAUAUUUAAAAUAAUUUUUACAGAUAAUAUUAUAGUAUUCAUAGCCAUAGCAGUUAGUUAGCCUUUCUCGAUUUGGUGACCACAGAAAGAAAUGUCAUCUAUCAAUAUUUCAAAUUUCAUGUGAAUUUCCAACUGUUCUAAUGGACCACUGUACAAAUUCAAAAUUCUUAAAUAUGCAAAACGUGUGAAUUGAUAUUAAGUGAAAGUUAGAAAUAAAGGUCGAUAAAUUGAUAAUAUAUUUAUACAUCGAUACAUUAGCAUAUUAAUAGCUCUUCAAUCAAUAGAUAAAAGAAGUUUUAUAUUUCUACAGUUUAAUUAAUAUAUAUAUAUAUAAUUAUUAUUUUUAUUUUUAUGUGUUUGGAAGAAAAUGAAAAAAUAAAAUUAGUAUGAUAAACUAUAAAAUUAGUUUGAAAGGGACGUUUUUUCAUAAAAUUUCAGGUUGAAAUAAUUGUUCAGCAAGAGAUUGUCAACCCUACCAUGAAAAAGCUGAUGAUGGAGCUUGUUCUAACUCGUGCAUUUUGCUCCAUCUGUUUUAUAGAAAAUAUAUUCUUGAAAAGUAUUAUCACGAUCCGAUUUGUGGGCCUGUGACCGGAAUUAGGGAAUGGGUAGACGUAAGGUCACCAAAUUCUAUAGUAAACAUGACCAUUCACUAACUUAACCAAAUCUCAAUCCAAUAGCACUUAGUUUUUUUAAUUUCUUUUUUGUUUUUGGCCAUUUUCUGAAAACAAUGAUAUUUUACGUUUAAUAAUAGAAAAUAUCCAUUUUCUAUUCAUUGGUGAUAUUUAAAAUAUUUUGCAAAAAACUAAUUAUAUAUAUAUAUAUAUAUAUAUAUAUAUAUAUAUAUAUAUAUAUAUAUAUAUAUAUAUAUAUAUAUAUAUAACCUUUCAUAUAUUUUAUUUUUUUGAAAAAACAAAGAAAAUAUUUUGUUGUUGAAAUCAAGUUGUUGCAAGUAAUAAUGGAAGCUGAGAUACUCGAAGUUGAAUGGGCAAGAGGCCGAUACGAUCAACUCAACUUGAUCGAUGAAACCAGAACGAAGGCCAUGUAUCACACACACUGUACCAAUAAAGGCUUUCUCGAGCUUUCGACAAGCAUGUCAAGCCUCGACCUUUAAAGAUGGGUCAUUUAAUCCUUAAAAAGAGAAAACCGGUAAUUCUGAACCGUUUAGAUAAAUUCCGACCAAACUAGAAAGGCUGGUAUCUAGUUGAGAAGAUCUUCUCUAAAGGAGCAACAAUAUUAUUAGACUUCGAGGGCAAUGAAUUUAGUCAACCAAUCAAUAUAGACAGGCUCAAGCAAUAUUACAUAUAAUAAAAGAAUAAUAAUAGAAUAAAAAAAUGAAUGAAAUGAAUAAGCCUGUUGGAUUGAGAAUGCGUAAAAAGCAGUCCAAGCAAAAGUUAUAGCGGUUCGAUUAGGUGAAAACCAAGAGGCACCUUAGGAAAAAAUAAGAACCAAAUAAAAGAAAAAAGAGUGCUUGGUUGGUUAGAGAACCUAAAAGGACUAACGAAUCGCGAGAGUUGGACUGUUUUCAGUAUGUUUUAAGAUGUACUUCGGUUAAACUGAUUAAUGGUGUAAUACUCAAAAUUUUUCUUUUAAUAAUAAUAAUAGUAUUAGUAAUAAUUAAUAACGAGUUUUUAUUUAAAUUUAUUUUAUUUUAUGUUUAUUUGAUUUAAUUGGGAUGAUUAAAAUAGAAUUUUAAUUCUAGACAAACUAAGGGAGUAUUUUCUAUAUCUAAUUAGUUUGAUUUUUAAGAAAUUAAUUAAGUAAAUUUUUUGAAAAAUAAAUUAUAUUUUUUGUCAUUUAAUUUUUUUCCAAUAUGAAUAUAUGAAUUAAUUUCUAUAUUUGAAAGUCGUGAAAGGAAUAGUAAAUAAUAUUUUUGUAAAGAAUUUAUUGGGGAAUGAUAAAUUUUAAUUAGCAAGUUGUGUUAAUUUUUAAUUGAAAAAUAGUUAGCAAAUUGAUUAAUUAAGUUAAUUAAGUGUUAAGAUUAAAUUGAUAAUUAAUUUUGAAAUAAGGGUUAAAAAUAUAAUUUUAUUAAUAUUGGGAUUUUAAUGAAAAUUUGUAUGGUUGAUAUUUUUGUAAUUAAAAGUGUCGGCAGAGGCAUUUUAAUAACUUUUCACAUUUAAAAUUUUAAUAAUUUUUCACAUUUAAAAGCAAUAGUAAACAAGAAAUUCCAUAUUUUCAAUAAUUCUAAUUUGGCUCAAAUUAAAUAGUUAGGGGCUUAAUUGAAAAACUAAAGAAAAGUCUAAAAGUUAAUCGGAAAUUUUGCAGGGUGAAAUUGUUAGUGAUUAAAAGUUGAGGGAUUAAAUAGUAAAAAAAAAGUUCAGGGACCAAAAGUCGAUAUAGAGAAAAAGAAAAAGAGAAGGAGAUCGGGGAGAGAGGAGAUCGAGCGGGGGAGGCUGCGCGGUCGUCGAUGGUCGACCAUCUGGGUGCGGCAGAACUGGCCGAUGAAGCGGCUAGCGUCAGCGAGCAAGGCAGCAGCACCGCAAUAAUUUGGUUAACCUUUCUCGAUUUGGUGACCACAUAAAGAAAUGCCAUCUAUCAAUAUUUCAAACUUCAUGUGAAUUUUUAACUUUUCUAAUGGGCCACUGGACAAAUUCGAGAUUCUUAAAUAUACAAAACGUUUGAAUUGAUAUUAAGUGAAAGUUAAUAAUAAAGGUUGAUAAAUUGAUAAUAAAAAUAUUAGAUAAUAAUACUAACUUAGAAUUAUAAUUGAAUGUAGCUUAUUUUUAAUUAUAAAAAAUAAUAAUAUAAAUAACUAUUAAAUUUUAUAUUUAGUUUUAUUUUAAUGAUAAAUUUUUUAUAUUAAUUUUAGUUACUAAUACAACAUAUUAAUUUUUACUUAUAAAAAUAACUAAACUAAACUUUAAUCCAAAUAAACUAAAAUUUCAUAAUUAAAUAAAUAAAUAAAAAUAUUAUAUUAUUUUUAUAUGACUAUGUUUAUAUAUAUUAAAAUUAUAUUUUAUAUAUCAAAAUUAUAUGGUGCAUUGAUGCCUUCAUGGCUCGUGGUCCAACUCCGGGCAAUGUAUGUGAUUUUUAAGUGGGUUUCUUCCCCACUACGAGUGGUUCACAUCGGCUCACUGUCAGAACAUGUUUACAGUAUGCAUGUUUAUAUUAGCAUCAAAGCUUGAAAGGCACGUUUUUUCAUAAAAUCUUCAGCAAAAGUUUGCCAACCCGACCAUGAAAAAUAUAUUAUGCGCUUUUGUAACUCGUGCAUUUUGUCUGUUUUAUAGAAAAUAUAUUCUAGAAAAGCAUUUUCAAUUUCUUUUUUGUUUUUAGUACAUUUUAAAAAGUUUAUGAAAAGAAUUUUGGGGUCAAAAAACAUUCAGCCAUUUUCUAAAAACAAUGAUAUUUCGUUUAAAAAUAGAAAACAGCCAUUUUCUAUUGGUGAUAUUUAAAAUAUUUUUCAAAAAACUAAUUAUAUAUAUAUAUAUAUCCUUUCAUAUAUUAAUUACCCUAAAUCACUUCCGAUGAUCUUUAACGACCUCUAAUAAUACGCAGCUUAUGUUAGUCCUGAGACAGUUAUUAAAAAUAUACUUAAUAAUUUAACAUCUUUUUAUAUUCAUGCACUUGAAAUUAAAUAAAAUUUAUAAUUAUAAAAAUUUUAUAAUUUAAUGAAGGUUUGAAUACUAAUUUUUUUUUUUACUUUAAUAUUUAUUUUUAUUGAUGAAAUAAUAGCAACUAGAAAUAAGGCACGCUAAUAUCUUGUCAUAAUAUACAAAUAUGAUUAAUAAGACAAAAAAUAAUACAAUAAGAUAAAAAAUAGCAUGACAUAUAUUUUUAAAAUAUAUAUACAAAUAUUAUUAUAUAGAGAAAGAUUUUUUAAGAUAAAAUUUUAAAAUGUAUAACUUAUUACGAUAUAAAAUUUAUUUUUAUUUAUAACUAGUUCAAAUUAAGAUCGAAUCUUUUUAAUAAAUUUUCAUCUUAAAAGAUAUCUAUAUGGUACUUUUUUUAAUAAUGAAUUAAAAUUUUAAUACAUUUUUGUUACAAAGUGUAAAACUUAUUGAUUAUAUAUGUAAUUUACUUUCUAGGUGUGCCAGAUCGGUAUUAUUAAAAUUAAAAUGUAGCAACUAUUUAAUUAUAAAUAAAAAAUGUGAUAUUUUUUUAUUAUAAAGUGUAAAAUUUAGAGACCGCCAAUAUAAUUUAUUUGAUCAACGUGAGCCUAUAUCUUUCUUAAACAUGAUCGGUUUGAGCUAUACGAUGUAGAAUAGAAAUACGAGCUUGAAGACAUCCUCUACCUUUUGAAAUAGUACGAGAGCUUUAGGCUCAAGAUGGAUCUAGGAAUUUAUUUUCUGUUUAAAAAGCUUAAAUGUAUUGAGAAAAAAUAGAUAAAGUGACAUCUUAUAUUCUAAAGAAACUGGGUUGGAAUUGGGUUAGGCUAGGUUUUAGGAUAGUAAUUUGGUUUAAAUGGUUUUAUGAUUAGGAUACAAAUUUGUCAAUUUUUUAAAAUAUGUAUCAGCCUAAUAUUAGGUGUAUUGUGGAAAUCGGGUUAGUUUCCACUGACAAAUAAGCUAUUAAAUAAACAAUAAGAAAAAAAACACCAGAACUUUAACGAGGUUCGGCAAAAAUUAUACUUAUUUCCUCGGGCACUACCAAAAUAAUAUUUCUUAAUUCAAUAGAAUUACAAAGAAUUAUUAAUAAGAAGAAAAAGAAGAGAAAUACAAUUUAGCCUAUAGAAAUAUAAGGCCCAUUAUUUUUCUUGACACUUAGAAAAUGAGAAAAGACCCACUAUAUAUAGCAUUUGGACUACUUCUUCCUUUUCUUAGCUUUUCAAUGUAGGAUAAAUAAGCCAAAAAUAACAAAUCUCCACCUUGGAGACUUCCUAAGCCCAAUCAAACAUUCUUUGUUUUCUCUCAUCACAAAUUUAGCAAUGCCUCCAAAUGUGCUUGAAGUGCCUAUCUUCAAAUUUUCAAAACAUUUAUCAAGUUCAAACAAUGUUGGAGCUUAAAACCAGUUACUACUUUCGUAGUCAUAUCUACAGGAUUUUCAGCAGUUGGGAUCUUCUGAAGAAGUAUCUCACCUUCUUCAAGAAUUUCUCUCGAACAUCAAUAUGCUUUCUCCUUGAAUGAUAGACUUGGUUUUUAGCUAAACAGAUAGCACUCUGACUAUCACAAUGCACUUUGACGUGCUUUUGAUCAAUUCUCAAGUCUUUCACCAAUCCCUGAAGCCAAAUUGCCUCCUUUACAGCUUCUGCAACUGCCAUAUACUCUGCCUCUAUUGUAGACAAAGCAACCGUUGACUGAAAAGUAGACUUCUAACUAACUAGUACUUUUGCAAGUGUAAACACAUAACCAGUAGUUGACCGACAUUUAUCCAAAUCACCUGCGUAGUUAGAAUCAUAAUAUCCAACCACACUCAGACCAAACUUCUCAUCCUGCUCAAACAUUAAUCCAACAUCCACAGUAUUCUGAAUAUACCUGAGGAUCCAUUUCACAGCUUGCCAAUAUCCUUUUCCAGGAUCAUGCAUAUACCUACUCACAACUCUGACUGCUUGUGAAAUGUCAGGUCUUCAUUAUUCCUUGGAGAUUGAGAAGCACUGAUUUUAAAAUGAGAAGAAAGUGGUGUACUGACAGGCUUUGUUGUUUCAUCAAUUCCAAACCGCUUUAGUACCUUUGUCAGAUAUUUCUUCUGAGUUAAACAAAGUCUCCCCAAUUUUUUGUCUCUGCUUAUCUCCAUACCAAGAAUCUUUCUUGCUUCACCUAAAUCCUUCAUUUCAAAAUCUUGAUUUAGUUGAGCCUUUAACUGUUUUAUUUCUCCUAUAUUCUUUGAUGCAAUAAGCAUAUCAUCAACAUAAAGGAGAAGAUAGAUAAAGGAUCCAUCAUAUAGCCUUUUCAAGAAUACACAAUGAUCAUAUUUGCUUCUUUUGUACUUUUGCCUCAUCAUAAACUUAUCAAAUCGUUUGUACUACUGCCUCAGUGACUGUUUCAAAUCAUACAACGAUCUGUUCAAUUUGCACACCAAAUUUUCUAUUCCAGCAACCCUAAAUCAUUCAGGCUGAUCCAUGUAGAUUUUCUCUUCCAGAUUACCAUGCAAGAAUGCAUUUUUUACAUCCAUUUGAAAUAGUUCCAAAUUCAAUUGUGCUGCUAAGGUCAACAAUAUUCUAAUGGAGGAAUGCUUCACCACUAGAGAAAAAACUUCAUUGUAGUCAAUCCCUUCCUUCUGAGCAUAGCCCUUAGCUAUCAAUCUUGUCUUGUAGCGAACAUCAUUCUUGUUAGGAAAUCCAUCUAUCUUUGCAAAUACACAUUUGCAACCAAUUAUCUUCUUUCCUUUAUAUAGACUAGCUAGCUUCCACGUCUGAUUUUUCUCAAGGGAUUGCAUUUCUUCCUCCAUAGCCAUUUUCCACUUAUCUGCCUCAGAGCUCUGUACAGCUUCAAUAUAAGUGGCCGGAACAUUGACAUUUGAAGACACAAAGGUUACAAAAUCUUCAAAAUGAGCAGGUUUUCUAGUGUUCCUCUUUGGCUUACUCAAUGCAAUUGACUCAUGUUGCCGUGAAGGUUCUUGUGCUAGAACCUUUACUUCAUCACCUGAUUCAUCUUCUAACUCCUCAUCUUCUAUAGGAGUAGAUUUAUCAAAUUGAUCUAUUGUUGGUUCAAUACUUCUACUACUAUCAAAUUGCACCUGUUUAGGAGAAGGCUCCACCUGCUGUGAAGCUCCAUUUGUUUCCUGCUCUUCUACUUUUUUUACCAUAGUAGAUUCUUCAAAAAUAACAUCUCUACUGAAGAUUAUCUUAUUUGAAUUUGGGCACCAUAGGCGAUAUCCUUUUACACCUGAUGAUAUCCCAUAAAAAUUGCUUUUUUUGCUCUCGGAUCCAACUUUGAUUCCUUAACAUGAUAAUAUGCAAUGGAACUAAAAACAUGUAAGGAAUUAUAAUCUUUAGCAGGUUUUCCAUACCAUACCUCUAAAAGUAUUUUACCGUUGAUAGCAGUUGAUGGCAAACGAUUAAUGAGAUGACACGCGUAUGUUACAGCCUCAGCCCAAAACUAUCUGCCUAACCCAGCAUUGGACAACAUACAUCGAACUUUCUCCAGUAGAGUCCGGUUCAUUCUUUAUGCCACCCCAUUCUGUUGUGGUAUAAUUCUAAUAAUGAAAUGUCUCACAAUACCUUCAUCUUGGCAGACUUUCAUAAAAGGAUCACUUGUAUACUCUCUUCCAUUAUCUGUUCGGAGACAUUUGAUCUUUCUGCCCGUCUGAGUUUCUACCAUCUUUUUUCAGGUGAGAAAAACUCCUAACACUUCAUCCUUUGUCUUCAUAGUGUACACCCACACUCUCUAGGAAAAAUCAUCAAUGAAGGAAACAUAAUAAUGUUUGCCUCCCAUUGAAGCUGUCUUGGAGGGUCCCCAUACAUCUGAGUGAAUAUAAUCCAGAAUACCCUUAGUAUUAUGGAUUGCAGUACCAAACUUCACUCUUGUUUGUUUCCCCUUGACACAAUGUUUAUAGAAAUUCAAUUCGCAGAUUUUCAUUUCCUGCAAUAAUCCUUGAUUUGCCAGAAGUUUCAAGAAUUUUUCGCCUGCAUGUCCUAAGCGCAUAUGCCACAAACUGGUUGCUUCUAGUUCCUGAUUAUAAUUAGAAACUACAGCUGUUGUACCAAUAACUGGAUUACCAAGAUAGUAAUACAAGUUAUUGUUUUGCUAAACACCUUUCAUCACAACAAGUGCCCUACAGAUAAAAGUUUCAUUCUUAAUGACAAUAGUGAAGCCCUUUCUUGCCCAAACUCCUAAAGAAAUAAGGUUUCUUAUCAAACUCCGCACAUAUCUAACAUCAGUCAGAAUUCUAAUUUAUCCAUCAUGAUUCUUCAACCGAACUGAACCAAUUCCAGCAGUUUUGCAAGUGUUGUCAUUUGCUAUGUAGACAACUCCACCCUCUGUUUUUUUGAAAUCAGAAAACCACUCCCAAUUGAGACACAUAUGGUGGCUACAACCUGAAUCCAGAAUCCAAGCUCCCAAAUUGCUGGUUGAUGGCAUCAUUAUUAAUGAAAGAUCAGAAUCACAUUCAGUUACAUUUGUUUCUGCAACAACUUUUCCUUUGGCUUUUUCUUUUAGCUUCGGACAGUCUUUUUUCCAAUGCCCCUUUUCCCGGCAAAAAGCACAUUGGUCUUUACCAACUCUGGACUUCGAUCUUCCCUUCUUCCAUUUACUUCUUUUCUCCGAAUAGCCUCUCACUACCAAAGCUUUCGCUACACCACUAUAGCUACCCUUUUUAUCUUUUCUUCGUAAUUCAUAACUAUAUAAAGCAGCACAAACCUCACUGAGAGACACCUCAGCCUUCCCAUGGAGUAAAAUAGUCUCAAGAAAUUCAAAUUCUUCUAGAAGAGAUCCCAACAACAUCAAGGCCAAAUCUUCAUCUUCAAAUGUCACAUCUAAAUUCAUCAAGUCAGCAACAAGCUAAUUGAAGUUUGUUAUGUGAUCAUUCAUUAUGGUACUAGGAACAUAUGUGAAUCUAAACAAUCUUUUCUUCAUAUGGAGUUUAUUUUGACUGCUUUUUUUCAGAAAUUUUUCCUCCAGUGUUUUCCACAAUUUACUAGCAGAAGUUUCUUUACAGAAUGCAUAUUUCUGCUCUCUGGACAAGCACAAUCGAAUUGUAUCACAUACCAAUCGAUUAAUUAUUUUUCACUACUUCUCCUCCAUACAGUUUGGUUUCUCAUAUUCAAUGGCAAUAUCUAAACCUUGCUGGAAUAAGGCAUCUAGAACUUCACCUUGCCACAUACCGAAAUGACCGGUACCAUCAAAUAUCUCCACCACAAUUCUGGAAUUCGCCACUGCAUUUCUCACUGAAAUUGACGAAUUUGGUGCUACUACUAUGGUUGGUGUAGAGGUAUUUUCACCGUCAACCAUUUCUGCUUCAAUCUAUAUUUAAUAGCUUUCAAAUAUAAUGCGGAAUGACUCAGAUUCUUUUAUGAUAUGAAAGAUCAAUUUAAACUGCAACCACUCAGCAACCUGGCUCUGAUACCAAUUGUUGUGGAAAUCGGGUUAGUUUCCAUCGACAAAUAAGCUAUUAAAUAAACAAUAAGAAAAAAAACACCAGAACUUUAAUGAGGUUCAGCAAAAAUUAUGCUUACUUCCUCGGGCACUACCAAAAUAAUAUUUUUUAAUUCAAUAGAAUUACAAAGAAUUAUUAAUAAGAAGAGAAAGAAGAGAAAUACAAUUUAGGCCAUAGAAAUAUAAGGCCCAUUGUUUUUCUUAACACUUAGAAAAGGAGAGAAGGCCCACUAUAUAUAUAACCUUGGAACUACUUCUUUUUUUUUAGCUUUUCAAUGUGGAAUAAAGGAGCCAAAAAUAACAAAGUGUUGAUCGGUCCAAAUUGUAUAUAUAUAUUUAAGAGUAUUUUAGAGCUUUAAUGGUAUAUUUCGAUAUAUAAUAUGGUGAAAACAUGUGUUCUUACCUCACUUUAGUUUUCUUAUCUAAUUUUAGGAAAUAAUUAUGAAAGAUGAGAAUUUAAGCUAAAAACGCACUAAUGGGCUUUAAUUGGACUGUGGCUGUAAAAGGCUCGAAAUCAGACACGUAGGCUAUCAAUAGGUUGGGUCUAGUCGAAUUCAUUAAGGCCUAAGAAGGAGGAUUUAAGUAAUUGUGAUGUAAUUAUUAGAUAAUUAUCUUUUAAGUUAUUUACUUUAUUUAGGACAGUAAGGGAUCACUAUAGUAGUCAUGUGCUGAGAGAAGAACCCUAACAAGGGGAUCUUUAUAAAAAAUAGAGGUUAAUUAAAACGGGAGAGUUCAGCUACUACUAUUCUCUCUGAAGAAAGGGUUCUACUAGUCUCUGCAGAAAUUUCUAUAGUUCAUCAUCUUCUAUAUCUAACUAGUUUUGUUCCAUCAUUCUUCCAAGAAUCAAAGAAGCUUUCUAAAGACGUGGAGAGAGAGGAUCAAUCUUCUUCAUUCCUUGAAGGGCCUUUGAACUUUGAAGAAGUUUUAGUUUUUUAUUUUAUAUAUCUUAUGUCUUUCUAUUUAAUUACAAUGAUCGUCGAAUUAAGUAUGAUAGGUUAAGUUCUAUAAGUGUUUGGUUUGGCUUUUUACUUAUGUAUGAACCUUAUAUAUUAUGAGUUUAAUAAAUAAUUUCUUUACCUUCAUAUAUGCAUUAGUUUCGUCUAUUAUUAUUGGUUGAACAUCAUAUCAAUUUAGUAGUAAUAUUUGUUAUGAAAAUCUUUAUGUUAAAAGUAUUAGAAACAUCAUCUUUACUUUAAUCUAUAUUGGUAUAAGAAAUCUAAGUUGCAUCAUUAGCUUGAGUGACUUAGGGAAAAAAGGCAAAUUACCAUCUCAUUGUUAGAUUUGGACUUAAGGAAAAUAAGGGGAUUACUAAGUAUAAGCUAGACUAAAUGCUAUUUUAUCAUAUAGUUCAUAUUAAUCAUUCUAGUUGCAUAUUUAUUUUCUGGUUAUUUUAUUUCUUUUAUAAACUUUAAUAUCAUUGUCAAAACAUUAGCUCAGAGUGUAUAUUUAUUUUUAGUAUUUUGUGUGCUAAUUGGUCUUUAUAAUAUAUGUUCUACAAUUGUGAGAUCGACCUCGUGGUAAACUUGCCCAAACUAUCAUUCAGUUCGUACAUUUGCGAGUACUAAUUUAGACACAUCAAGUUUUUGGUAUCGUUACCGGGAAAUUGUGUCAAUAUUAUAUUUGAUUAAUUGUUGAGUAGUGUUUCUUGUGUUUUUGUAUGUUGCAUGUUAUUUAUUUCUGGUUUAUUUUUAAAUUAUGUUUUUAAGUUUUUAAAUCCAAAAUUUUUCCUUUGAUUUUGUAUGCCUAGCAGGAAAACGAGAUCAGGUGAUUCAUUAACUCAAAAUCCCUACAACUUGAGAUCAACUAUCAAAAAGGCAGAAGGAGACCAAGAGAUAGAGAAUGAAUUUGUACCUUCAAGAGAAGAAGAAUUUAAAGAAAAGCUAGAACAAGGGUUUGAAUGAGAAGUUAAGAUAAUGGUUAAUAACCAAAGAGAAGUUGCAGCUCAAAGGCAAAUGACUAUGAAGGACUAUGCUCGUCCUAUAAUUGGGUAACACUACUUCAUGUAUAGUUUUAAGUGAUGCAUCUAGGAAUUAUGAACUAAAGAACAUCUAUUUUAAUAUGCUUCCGUUAUUUUAUGGUAUAUCCAAUGAGGAUGCAGUGACAUUCAUUAUAGAGUUCUAUGCUAUAGUUCAUACAUUUCUAUUACCUCGACUUAAUGAAGACCAAUUAAAGAUGAGAUGUUUUCCUUACUCAUUAAAAGACAAAGCAAAGGCUUGGUUAAUGACCUUGCCUCCUAAUUCUUUUGGGAACUUGGGAUAAAGUUUAUAAAAAAUUUAUGAGUAAAUUUUACUCACGUCAAAAGACCAGAAAAUUAAGGGCUGAAAUUUUUAACUUUUAUCAAAAUGAUACUGAAUCCUUUCAUGAAGUAUGGGAUCGAUUCAAAUCACUUUUACAACAAUACCCACACCACAGAUACCCACUUCUUGUGACCAACCAAUCAUUCUAUAGUGGUCUAACACAAUAAUAUUAAUGUAUGGUUGAUAAUGCAGCUGGGGUGCUAUGUUAGAAAGAACUGUUGAUUAGAUUUAUGCCAUCUUUGAGGUGUUAUGAGCCAAUUGACGAUAAAAGAGUGUGAGAACAAAAAGAGUAGUAGUGAAUGAAAUUGUGUCUAAUAAUAAGAUAGCUAUGUAAAUAGCCGAAUUAACUAAACAAGUUAGGAUUCUUGCUUCAACUGAGAAUGUAAAAAGCAAUAAGGUAUGUGGUAUAUGUGGUGUUUAUGGUCAUGGUACUAACGCUUGUUUGUCUUAUGAGACUUGUGCAGGAGAUGAUUAUGAACAUGUUAAUUUUAUAGAAUCUUAUCAGCUUAGGCAACCUAGAAAUAACUCAUACUCCAACACUUAUAAUCCAGGAUGGAGGAAUCAUCCAAAUCUCUCCUGGAGAAAUAACGACCAUAACCAACCACAAAUACUGAGAAACUAAAACUAGUCCUAGUAUUAGAAUCAAGAGCCUCAAUACCCAAGGAAUCAAAAGCCUUCAUUCUCUAUCAAGGACAAGCCCUUCAAAGAAAGCCAAGUUUGAAGGAAAACUCGAAUUUUUUAUGACGGCUACUCAUGAUAGAAUGGAAAGGAAUGAGAAGAAAACUAAUUCCAUAGAAGCUUCAAUGAAGUGAUUGGAAAUUCAAAUUGGGCAAAUUGAUGAAGCAGUACAAGAAAAUAAGAAAGAAAAAUUGUCAAGUCAACCUGAGCAAGCUAAAAAGCAAUCACUGUUCUUAACGAUGGUGAGUUAUUUUAUAAUAAUAUUGAAAAUUAAUUGAGAAAGAUUCUUCUUACUCAUGUACAUCAAAAGAAGAUGGACUAGUUAAUGUAGAAAUAACUGAAGGAGGCUUACAAAAAGAAGGAAGAGUAUAGCUAAAUCUUAGGCAAAAAGAGAAAGACAAUGAAGCAUUUUUAGAACCUAAGUUUCAUAAGGCAUCUGAGCCUUAUAAGCCUCCUAUUCCGUUCCCAAACAGAUUGAAAGAAAGCAAACAUGAUAAGCAAUUUUCUGAAAUUUUUGAUAUGCUUUCUAAGGUUAAUAUUAAUUUGUCCUUGUUGGAUGUGAUUAGGAAUAUGCCAGCUUAUGCUAAAUUCUUUAAGGAACUUAAUUCCAAUAAGAGGAGAUAUGGGAACAAUAAACAAGUUACGGCAUCUGAAAUAGCAAGUGCAGUUCUCCAACAACAAUUACCUUCUAAGAUGAAAGACCCUGUGAGCUUUACCAUUGAUAUUACAAUAGGAGACAAAAAAGUUGUAAAACCAUGUUGGAUUUGGGAGCAAGUAUCAAUUUGAUGCCAUAUUCAAUAUAUGCACAACUUAGCUUAUGAGAAUUGAAGCCAACUACCAAGUCUCUGCAACUGGCUGAUAGGUCAAUUAAGUAUCCAAGAGAUAUAGUGGAAGAUUUGCUGAUUCAGGUAGGAAAACCGAUAAUCCCUACUGACUUUGUGGUUCUUGACAUGGAAGGUACAUCAGCAAGGGAUAAGAAACAAACAAUACUCCUUGGUAGACUUUUCAUAGCAACUACUAAGACAGUUAUUGACGUGCACAAUGGAAAGCUGACUAUGACAGUUUUGGUAGAGAUUGUAGAAUUUAAAGUGUUUAAUUCUUUAACUAUAUUUCCUAGCACUUCAAUUGAUGAGUUCAUAUGUUGAUUGUAUAGAUUAUUUUAUUUAUAAAACAUAUUUACAGGAUAAGGAUGAUAAGUUAGCAUGAAGAAAAUUUAAAGGAAGAAGUCUUAGACUUACAUAAUAGUUAGAUGAAGCUAUUCCAGUGUUACCUGAUGAAAAUACUAUUGAACCUUUAGAUUCACUUAUUGGAAUCAAAUCCAAAACUACUAAUGAACCACCUAAAGUUAAGCUUAAGGAGUUGCCUAACAUACUCAAAUAUGUCUUCUUAUAAGAAAGGAGUACGUACCCAAUGAUCAUAGCCUCUGAUACGUACCCAGUGAUCAUAGCCUCUGAUCUUUCUCUUACAGAGGUAGAGAUAAUUAUUAGAGAACUAAAAAGGCUUAAAAAACUAUUAAGUGAGGAAUUUCUGAUAUUAAGGAGAUUAGUCCAACAAUGUGUAUGCAUAAAAUUAUUUUAGAAGACAAUUCUAAAGCGGUUAGAGAUACACAACAAUGAUUUAAUCCUAACAUGAAAGAAGUUGUAAGAAAAGAAGUUCAGAAGUUAUUGGAUGAGGAUAUUAUAUACCCUAUAGCUGAUAAUAGUNNNNNNNNNNNNNNNNNNNNNNNNNNNNNNNNNNNNNNNNNNNNNNNNNNNNNNNNNNNNNNNNNNNNNNNNNNNNNNNNNNNNNNNNNNNNNNNNNNNNNNNNNNNNNNNNNNNNNNNNNNNNNNNNNNNNNNNNNNNNNNNNNNNNNNNNNNNNNNNNNNNNNNNNNNNNNNNNNNNNNNNNNNNNNNNNNNNNNNNNNNNNNNNNNNNNNNNNNNNNNNNNNNNNNNNNNNNNNNNNNNNNNNNNNNNNNNNNNNNNNNNNNNNNNNNNNNNNNNNNNNNNNNNNNNNNNNNNNNNNNNNNNNNNNNNNNNNNNNNNNNNNNNNNNNNNNNNNNNNNNNNNNNNNNNNNNNNNNNNNNNNNNNNUAUUCAUAUAGUGCCUAAAAAGUCAGACACAAUAGUUGUUAAGAAUGAAAAGGAGGAAUUAGUCCCCAUAAGAAUGACAACAGGAUGAAGGAUGUGUAUUGAUUAUAAAAAGUUAAACGCUGCAACAAAGAAUGAUCACUUUCCUCUUCCUUUUAUUGAUCAAAUAUUAGAGCGUUUAGCAGGAUAUAAAUUCUAUUAUUUUCUUGAUGGAUUUUUAAGAUAUUAUCAGGUACCCAUUGCUUUUGAAGAUCAAGAAAAGACAACUUUCACAUGUCCCUUUGGAACUUUUGCAUUUAGGAUGAUGCAUUUUGGGCUUUGCAACGCUCCAGCAACAUUCUAAAGAUAUAUGCUUUCUAUUUUCUCUGACAUGUUGAAGACUGAAUCGAGGUAUUUAUGGAUGAUUUUUCAGUUUUUAGUUCUUCAUUUGAUGCAUGUUUAAGAAAUCUGACUCGUAUUCUCGAGGUCUAAUUCACUCUUCCACUGCUGUAAACGAGCCAAAACAACAAGCAUGGUACCAGUAAUUAAGAAAUCGAGCCAUGAAAAAGAUUCAACAAGAGUUUAUUUUUUAGCCAUCUAACUAAUGAUUUAAGAUAAAUAUUAAAUUUUAAUGGAGCUCUUUUAUUUUUCAAACCAUAAAUUAUAUAUUAAAGAAAAUAAAUAAAUAAGAUAAAAAGUAAUUUUGUAAUUUUACUGAAAACUAAUGGCAAUAUAACUAAAAACUAGACAAAAAAACCUAGCAUAAUAUGAAAAAAAGAGAGAUUUUAAAAAUUGAGGUCUUGAUUAAAGUAAUAUUGUAGACUUCAAGAUAAAAAUAGUAUUAGGGAUAAAUUAGAUUGGAGGUACCAAAUUAUGUAUUUUGUAACAAAAAUUUAUUAAAUUUUUAAUAUAAUUAAAUGAUCACUAAAUUUUAAUUUUAAUAACACCGAUAAAUUUUUUCGACAAGUGCGAGGAUUACAUGAGCAGUCACCAAACUUUACACUUUGUAACAAAAAAUAUUAAAAUUCUGAUUUUAAAAGAUACAUGACCGGUGCUUUUCUUGUAACAAAUUAAAGGUUUAAUAUAUUUUUGUUACAAAAUAUAAAAUUUAGCGACUAUCCAUAUAAAUUUACUAUCUAAGUGUGAUGAAAAAUUUUACUAGUGUUAUUAAAAUUAAAGUUUAGCAACUAUUUAAUUAUAAAUCAAAUAUUUACUAUCUUUUUAUUAUAAAAUGUAAAAUGUAAUAAUCGUAAAUGUAAUUUACUGAUAAUAUUACCUAAAAAUUUAUUUAUAUACCAAAUGAAAGCAACUGCAACCUAAAAUCGAUAAUAUUGUUUAUACAUCAGUUAUGGUAAAAACAUCACAUUUAACAUCAUCCCUUUGCAAGGUUGGUUUCAGUAGAUUUCUUAAUUAAUCACAAUUUUUUUACAAACCAAGACUUUGUUAAAGCAGAAUUUGGGCAAGGUACCCAGUACAAAAACUGACCAACCAUAUCAACAAAAAAUGGAAAAUGAAUCGCUACAAGAACAAAAAUAAUAUAACACAUAAAACGCACGCGAUAAAGUCACUCUCUUGUAACAGUUGCCUUUGCCAAGUUGUCUGCAUAUUUUCAAUACUUAUAAAUUAGUCUAAUAUGUUUAAUUUGGAAGCAUGCAUGUGAUUAUGCCGGGUACAAAUUUGCAGGCAAACGUGGCUUUGCGAGUGCAACUAAUGGUUUGGCAAGUUCCAAACUAUUCUUAGACUCUGAAAGAUCAAUGCUUGUCUCAUUAGGGGGCACGCUCCAGCUAAACCCUUGAAGAAGCCUAGCAAAUAACAUAACAGUCAUUGCAGUUCCCAACAUGAUGCCUGGACAACCUCUUCGUCCUGUACUAAAUGAAAGCAAGUUCAAAUCAGGCUGCGUCAGCAUCACUUGACAUCCAUUUUUCUUGAAAUGACGCUCUGGUUUGAACAUGUGUGGUUCAUCCCAAAUCCGGGGAUUCCGGCCGAGGCCGACUCGGCUAAGCAAGACAUGGCUACUUUUUGGAAUAAAAUAGUUAGCAACAGUUGUAUCUGCUAGGGAGACAUGAGGAAGAUUGAAGAAGCCAAGAGGGUGGAGGCGAAACGCUUCUUUAGCACAUGCUUUUAUGUAAUUGAGCUGUGGAAAAUCUGACUCUUGGACUAGUCUCUCCCUUCCAACAACUCUAUCCAAUUCUUCUACUGCGUUCUCAAGAAGUUUCGGUUUGUUUAUCAUCUCUGCAAGUGCCCAUUCUAUAGCAUUUGAUGGAUUAUCCACUGCUGCCAGCAUUAUAUCCUGCAAAAAUUGAUAGGUGAUAUGUAGCUUUGUUGAAUCAGUUGGUGGGAACUAUAGUAAUUAAAUUGGAAGAUGCAAUAAAUUUGAAUCUUAACCAACAUAUUUAAUGUAUGCCGAACUGAAAAUGACGAACUAAGCUUCUUGCAAGAAAAGAACAUGCAAAUGGAAGUUUCCUUAAUUCCAUUUCAUCAUUCAGGCAGAAAAAUGUUAUAUUUGGGAUAUGUUGUAUAUAUUGGACAACUUUUAUGGGAGAGAAGAAAAAAAUUAUUGAAGAGAGGGAUAUACAUUAUAGAUAUAUAUUUCUAUAAUUAAAAUACACUUUAUCUUUUAACAAGAGAUAGCUUUCCACCCCUACCACACUACUAAUAUUAUAAGUUAUUUAUAAUAGCACUUAUAUGAAUUUUCCCUUACAAAUUUAAUUAGUGAUAUUCAUGACACUUAAUAAUCUAACCUUUCAUAUACUUAGAGCUUUAGCAUAACCAUAACUCUCUUUAACAACUAAUCACUCUUAAAACAAUAAUAGCAAAUAUUGAAGUUUACAUUUUCAAUAGUAUGCAUGUGAGAUAGAGUGAGAGAGACAGAGCUUACAGUAAUCUGAGCUUUAAUCUCUUCCAUUGACAGCAAAGAGUUGCCAUUGGCAUCUUCUAAAUUUAUGAAAACGUCAAGCAAGUCAUCCACUUCCUUCUUAGUGCCAUCCCUCCAUUGUUCGACCCUCGCUUCAAUUAUGGGAUCUUGAUAUUUUUUUAUGAUCCCAAUAGCAUCCUUCAUGACCUUCUCAUGACCAUCCAAGUCGAGCCCUCUCAAGCAUGGCAUAUAAUCAGACAAACAAAAUGCAUAGGUAUGAGCAAGGGCUGUUAAAAUCGCAUCAACAUGCUCUUUUUCCUCGACACCAGGCCCUCCGUCCUUCAUUCCCUCCCCGAAGAACCUUUUGUUAAACACCAUCUUCCUUAUUACAUUUCCACAAUAGUGCCGUCCAGUGAUUCUCACGUCAACUGAUCCACCUUCCUCGGCAGUCUUGCAUUGGUUAUACACAUAACGAACAAGGUGAUCAGCUUCUUCAAGUCUUUUUCCGUAAAACCACUUAUAUUUUUCCGCAGAAAGAACUUGCGUUACCAGCACUCUCUUCAUUUUCUUCCAUUGUUCUCCUAAGGGCACAAGAGUUGUUGUCAAAUAACCACUUGUAGUGAGAUCGGUGGACAUGGUUAACGGCCUGCUUGCAAAGACAGCAUCCUGUACUUUCAAGAAUUCACGGCUAAUCUCAGGAGAAGUGACAGGAAUCACAUGAACGUUUCCAAGACGGAUACAAGCAAUUUCAGUGUUCAUUUCUUUCAUGAGCUUGUGUAUCCAUCGAAAGGUCGGCUUAUUUGCUAGCAUCGUUGGCAGGCAUCCGACAAGAGGCCAAGGUUUUGGGCCAGGAGGUAGUGGGAGUUGCUUGGCGUUUUGGCUUUCUAGCUUUUGGAAUUUGGUCAAGUAAAUUAAGGCCAACGCCAAGAGAAGAACUAGGGAACAGGAGCUCAACAAUGUUCUGAGAAAGCCAAUGCCAAUUCCGGAAAAAAUCUGGAGUGCCAUGAAGAGAAGCUAGCCCAGUGCAAGAUAUUACAGAGGUAGCGUUCUGCAUGGCCACAAAACUGUCCAUCGACAUGCUGCUUCUAUUUAAUAGAACUGGAAAGCCUGCAUACUUUGCAGGAUGCUGUUUCUAGCAAACUCUCAGCUCUUUUAUCUCAUUUGCUUUUUUCUUUUCCUUC
rnacentral:lncRNA from 1 species